rnacentral:lncRNA from 1 species
AGUCAUUUCAAAGUUUAAAACCAAUUCAAACAAUCCCAAAUCAACCUUAUUUAACAUAUAUCCUAUCAAUUAUGCAUCUAUGCAUUUAGAUUUUUAAUAAUCAAUGCAAAUAUCAACAAAGUUCUUCUUUAGACUCUAAAAUAAGUAAAAUUUUCAUAACUUAUAUUUUAGUCUCUACUACUUGGAACACAUUUGAUCUUUCUAAUUACAUACCAUUCUAUUCCAAAUUAUGAAACAUAACCUCUUGGCACUUGGAGAUGUGAUGAGAUGGAUGCCCACGACCUCAACUAUGACCCUUCAAAAUCAUUAUACCUACGCGUUGAAAAUAAACGCGUUAAGUCGGUGAAGACUUAGUAAGUACCCAUGAUAUUCAAAUUUUAUUAAAUUACUUAAUUCCCAAUAUCUCGUUUCUUUGUUUAUUUAUUGUCGAAACCAUUUUUUGAAAACAAAAAAUUUAGGUUGUCGACUCUAAAAAAAUGAAAAUUUGGGAGUCGCCACCAAUCUUUUAUUGAGGUGUGAUUGGAUCUCCUAAAAAAAUGGCUUUGGUCUACGAGUUUUAGAAAAACGGAUCCGGGAGUCAGUUACGUACGAGGAAGGAUUAGCACCCUCGUAACGCCCAAAAUUGGUACCUAGUUAAUUAAUUAGUAUCUUAAGGUCGAGAAUUUGGAAAAAAACGUAAUCCUUAGCAAAACUUAAAAGGCUACGUAUUAAGACCCUUAUUAUUUCAGAGAAAGAAGAUACCACACCCAAUGCGUUAGGGCACAACAUUCUAAUUUUCCCCAAAAUGAAUUGGGCCAAAAUACUUGUACAAUAAAACUUUAAAAGAACAUCCACUAAUCCAAGAUUUAAGAAAUCACAGCCAAUACGUUAGUGCACGAUUCCUCUAGAAUCCCAAACUCGGAAUAUUUCCUUUACUUUAAAAGAACAUCCACUUAUCCAAGAUUUAAGAAAUCAUACACAAUACGUUAGGGCACAAUUCCUUUAAAAUCCCAAACUCGGAAUAUUUUCUUUAUUAUUUUUUAAAAAAAUCUUCAUUUCGAGAUAUCAAUGCGUCACAUCCAAUACGUUAGGACACAACGUGUUGAAUUCCCAAUAAUGAGUUUUUAUUUUUUAUUUUUGAUUGAAGAGAAAUGCUCGAUUUUCAGAUUUAACGAAGAAAAUCGGAACCCAAUACGUUAGGGCUCAAUUCCCUUGAAAAUCCUAAAUACGAACAUUAUCUCAAUUUUUUAAAAAAAUUCUAUCUUUAAAUUUGAGUAAAAAAUGAUGUAACAUGAUUUUAUACAUACAAAUGCUAUAAUAAUAACAAUAAUAAAUACAUCAUCGACAUAAAAUAAUAUAAGCAAAUGAAUAAAACGAAAUAAAAAAGGGUAAUCCAUGACAUGCAAAAUAUUAAAUGUAAACACAAUUAUACAAUGGAUGGGAUAGCAAACAAAUAAAUAAGGAUCAAAAGAUGUACACAUGGAAAUUAUGAAGAUUAAAAAUAUACAUAUAAUUUACAAAUAAAAUUUUAGGUUAUAGAAUUUAUAUAUAAAUACAACACAUCAUAUACUUAUGAAAAUAAGGAAAAAAUAAGUAUAUUUUAAAAAAGGAAAAAAAUGUGCGUAUUUAAUCACUUAAAAACGUAAAUAUAUACAUAUAUAUAUGAAAAUAUUCAUUUAAAAAAAAGGAAAAUAUUCGUUUUUAAAAAAUAUAUAUAUGUGUACAUAUAAAAGGAAUAUAUAUAAAUAAAAAAAUUAGAAUAAAAAUAAUAAUUACACUAUUAAUUAAUAAAAUAAAUAAAAAGAACAUAAAAAACUAAAUUGAAUUGCAAUUAAAAAAUCUGGGGUAAAUCCACAAAUAAAUAAAAGUAAAAGGACUAAUUUGAACGUACGAGUUACAUAGAGGGGCUGGAAGGGAAAUUUUCCCUUCUCCUCUAAAAUGGCGUCGUUCAAAAGGAUUAAAUUGGAAUUUAAAAUAAAUAAAAGGGUAAAUUAAGAAAAUAAAAAAAAACUUAAUUACAAAAACAUUAAAAGGCGGAGGGGCUAAAUAAAAAUAGAAUAAAAUUCGCAGUGGUAUCACCUUCUCCUUUUUUUUUAAAAUCGUAAAUAAGUAAAAAAUAAUCGAACGAAAAAAAUAGUAAGCCACAUUUAAAAAACUGCCAAUCGUUCUCUUUUUUUUUAUUAUUUCUCCUCACUCCCUUUUCUCUUUUUUUUAUUACAAUGAAGGGAGAGGCCUCUAUUUAUAGCCGAGCCUCCCCAAAUCCAACUGUACAGAUCAGUUACAUCAACGGCUGAGAUUAAAGGGUAUCUACAAAUUAAAUCUCUAAGAUUACAAAAUCAUAUAUUCUAAGAUUGCAUAUUUCAUAUCUUGGAUUGCAUAUCAUAUCUAAGAUUGCAUAUCCUCAAAAAUUAUGUUUCCAUAUGUGAGCUCGGGCUAAAAUUGGGUAUUACAGCUGCCCCUAUUUGCUCGUUCUUGUGUAACAGGGACGAAGCAAAGACUUUAAAAAUGCCCGAUUUUGUCCGGUCCUGCUGGAUCUUGGUACUCUUCUUCUUUAAGUAGCCUCAUUCCUUCCUACUGCAUCUUCAGAGGUAUAGGAAUUAGUGCUUCAAUCUACUCCACUGCAACUUCAGGGAGAUAAGACUUGCCAUCUUCAGUCUGCCUCACUGCAACUUCAGGAGGAUAAGACUUGCUUCCUUAGUCUGCUCCACUGCAACUUCAGGGAGAUAAGACUAGAUGCGAUCUGCUCUCUGCAACUUCAGAGAGAUAAGAUCUAUGAUUUUAAUCCGCUCUACUGCAACUUCAGGGAGAUAGGAUUAUCGGCUUUAUUCUGCUCCACUGCAACUUCAGGGAGAUAAGAUUUGUCAUUUUCAGUCUGCUUCAUUGUAACUUCAGGAGGAUAAGACUUGCUUACUUAGUCUUGUCUACCGCAACUUUAGGGAGAUAAGACUAGAUGCGAUCUGCUCUCUGUAACUUCAAAGAGAUAAGAUCUGUAAUUUUAAUCCGCUCCACUACAACUUCAGGGAGAUAGGAUUACCGGCUUUAAUCUGCUCUAUUGCAACUUCAGGAAGAUAAGAUUUGCCAUCUUCAGUCUGCCUCACUGUAACUUCAGGAGGAUAAGACUUGCUUACUUAGUCUGCUCCACUGCAACUUCAGGGAGAUAAGACUAGAUGCGAUCUGCUCUCUGUAACUUCAGAGAGAUAAGAUCUGUAAUUUUAAUCCGCUCCACUGUAACUUCAGGGAGAUAGGAUUGUCGGCUUUAAUCUGCUCCACUGCAACUUCAGGAAGAUAAGAUUUGCCAUCUUCAGUCUGCCUCACUGUAACUUUAGAAGGAUAAGACUUGCUUACUUAGUCUGCUCCACUGCAACUUCAAGGAGAUAAGACUAGAUGCGAUCUGCUCUCUGCAACUUCAGAGAGAUAAGAUCUGUGAUUUUAAUCCGCUCCACUGCAACUUCAGGGAGAUAGGAUUGUCGACUUUAAUCUGCUUCCCACUAUCUUGGAAAGAUAUGAUUUGUCGUCUUCGAUCUGCUCCACUACUGCUUAGGGAGAUAAGAUCUACAAUCUUCAACCUACUCCGCUGCUGCUCAGGGAAACAGGGCUUGGUGGCUUAAAUCUGCUUCCCACUAUCUUGGAAAGAUAAGAUUUGUCGUCUUCGAUCUGCUCCACUACUGCUUAGGGAGAGAAGAUCUACAAUUUUCAACCUUCUCUGCUGCUGCUCAGGGAGACAAGGCUUGGUGGCUUAAAUCUGCUUCCCACUAUCUUGGAAAUAUAAGAUUCGUCGUCUUCGAUCUGCUCCACUACUGCUUAGGGAGAUAAGAUCUACAAUUUUCAACCUUCUCAGCUGCUGCUCAGGGAGACAAGGCUUGGUGGCUUAAAUCUGCUUCCCACUAUCUUAGAAAGAUAAGAUUCGCUGUCUUCGAUCUGCUCCACUACUGCUUAGGGAGAUAAGAUCUACAAUCUUCAACCUUCUCCGCUGCUGCACAGGGAGACAAGGCUUGGUGGCUUAAAUCUGCUUCCCACUAUCUUGGAAAGAUAAGAUUCGCCGUCUUCGAUCUGCUUCACUACUGUUUAGGGAGAUAAGAUCUACAAUUUCACUGAUUUGUUCUCUAGGAAACAUGACCUGUAUAAUGAACCUAUAUUAUGCCUAAGAUUAGGAUGGCAUGAUCCAAAUGCGUCAAAUGCUCCUAACUAGACAUGUGCGAAUGAUGUUUGCAUGAAUGUUUUUUUAAGAGAAUGAUCCCACCUGGGUUGUCAUUGUUCGAAGGUUAUUAAGGCUUUAACACUGACGUGCUACAACGCUUUCUUGCUUGGCUGGCUUUUCUGAAGAAAUAUUUAUUCAGGUUGCCCCCACUGUAAACCUCAAAGUUUAAUCCAUUGGGGCGCAAAAAUUCAUACUAUUGUUCUCCCACUGUAACCCAAGGGUAUGUGGCUUUUCUUCAAUCCUCUCCUAUCACAACUCAAGGAUACAGGAUCUAAAUCUUUCUGGUCUCUUACACCAUUCCUAGGGUGUCGUACCAAAGGCUCAUGCAUAAAUGAAGGCUCUCUUCCCUGAGGUAACCUCUUUCUAUUGCUCGGUGAUCAUUACUUUGUCACCCACCUGACGUCUUUUCAUUUUGUUCGAUCAAUGUUUUUUGACAACAAAAUCCAAAGAAAUAGUCUUCAUUUAGACUCUGCCUUCUCAGAUUUCUAACCUUUUUAAAACUUAGUGCGUUCUAAACAAUAGUCCUGUUUCAGGUUCCUGUAUUAUUUAGAAACUUCUAAACUAAUAUGCAAAACCUCCAUUGUGAAAGUUUUAUUAGUCCAUUAAUCAUUAUUCCAAUGCAACAUGUUUGCUAAAAGGGUAUAAUAAUAGAUGAGAAUACAAUUGGUUUUGAACAUAGCUCGAAAGGAAUAAAUUAUCAACAAAAGUAUAUAAGGAUAGCAAAGAAAUUGAUUGGGAAUGUGUAUCUUGGAAAAGAAUGAAGUAUUCCAAGAAUAACAAAUUCAAUAUAAAAAAAUUGGAUGCCCCAGAUAUCGUAGCUUGAACUUCUCUGUACAAACUUUCUGAAGACCCUCCUGAGUUUGACAUGUGUUUGAGAGAUCUACAGUACUCUGUCGAUGCCUCAAGAUGUCGUCUACCCUUUCCUGUUGAUUCAAGUAUAGCAAGAUCAUCAUAUGCCCCAAUCUAAUCAAAAUUUAAACUGCUCUGAUCACCUCAUGCCCCAUUUUGAUUAAUAUUUGAGCCGUCCUUUUUGGGUUUUCAACUCAAAUCCCCUUUGGUCUCAAGGCGUCCUUUGCAGAUUUUCACAUUGGCCUCUCAUUUUACUUUUUCUUUUUUCCUUUUCUUUUUCCUCUUUUUUUUUGAAAUAUUUUUUGAUUGAAUUUGAACUCAUAGGAUUAGGCAUGUCCUUAUUAUCCCUUCUGAUCGACGCUUUUCCAGAUAAGGCCCUCAAUAUAAGGUCCUUCUAAACUUGGAUAAAAUUCUUUUUGUAUGGGAAAGAUCCUCUUCAAUACCAGGUCCCUCUCAAGGAGUUCUCUAGUGCGGACCUUUUUUUGUGAGCUCGCAUCAUUUUCUUUUGGCGCAUUUGACCAUGAUGGAUAACUUUGAACAUUCCUCUUCAAUUAGAUCUUAAAACUCAGAGUGAAAGAAUCUUACCUUCAAUAGGCAAAACCACGAUAGGCCCAAGAGAAAGUCAUUGCCCCGGUAGAGUUCUUUUUUUUUGCUAUCUUUUCUUUGGGCAAUAUAGCAUUAAUCGUGAACAGACUGCAAACUUUUGAUAUUGUGUUGUUGUUCAAAUUUAGUACAUUGUCAGAUAUGAUCCUUUUGGCGUUCUAUAUGAUUCUUCAAGAAUUGACAUACGAAGCAGCUUCCACAUAUUUAGUAAAGUAAUUGACGAUCACAAAGAUGAAUUGAUUACCGUCAGACUCUUUUGGCGAGAUCGACCAAAUGACCUCCAUGCCCCACAUAAGGAGAAGUCAUGUACCCUGAUAAUUCUUUGUAGGGUGAGAUCCAUUUUCUGACUUGUUCUACCAUCCUUAAUAGGUCCAGAAAUAGGCUACGAUCUAUGACAUCUUCAAAGUUAUGAGAUCCCUCUAAACACAUGUCUCGCUCAGAAGGAGAUUCUGAGUCAGUAGCAGCGUCACUCAUGUCAUUGAUAUAUGAGGACCCAUAGUAAUUGCAAAAGAAUAUACAAAAGAAUGUGUGAAUUUACGAAUGAUUAUUUAUACAAUAUAAUUAUGAACGAAAGAACGAUAUGAAAGAAAAUCCAAAAGAAUGAAAGAAUAAUUACUCGCAAAGAAUGAAAACAUAUUGGCUUAAAUGCAAAGAUGUAUGUUAUUAGAAUAAUGAUGUUCAGACAUGAGCCUAUUUCACAAAGGAAUUCCUAUCGUUUUUAGGCUAAAAGCAACAAGAAUGUUCUGAACAUUACUCUAAACAAGCUCUAAAGACUACAGAGAUUUCUUCCACAAUCCAAUUACUUAUAACACUCCCAAAUUUUAUAAGGGCAGACAUCUAACAAGGUCCCUUUUCAAUUGUGUCUCCGUAUGUGAACUCUUCUCAACACCUCUUCAUAUAUUGCAUUCAUACCAUUAUCAAUCAUGAUUGGGUAGCGAAUUUCCUGCAUUAGAUGAGUCAUCCAACUUGACAAUACCCAUGUUGAUGAAUUUUUCAACUAGCUUUUUGAAGGCAAUGCAAUUCUCUAUUGAGUGCCCCGUAAUUCCCGCAUGAUAAUCGCAUUGUGCACCUGUGUCGUACCAUUUGGGAUACGGGGGCUGUGGAGGUUUCACAUGUAAAGGAGCAACAACAUGCGUAUUGAAUAAGCUUUGAUACAGCUCCUUGUACGACAUUAAAAUUGGCGUGAACUGGAGCUUUUCAGUACCUGGCUUCACAUAUGAUUCUUGCUUUAAAGGAACUUGAUGGCUGGUGGUUUCUGUCUUUAACCGGCCCACAAUGAUUGGUCUUGAGUGGCCCUUGUUAUAUCUACCUUCAUUUUUCCCCUUAUUCCCUUUCUUCCUUGAGGCUUUUAUAGUAUCUGGGUGCUCUACCUUCACCUGUUUUAUUUCUGAUGAAUUGUCAAGAGCAACAGGAUUGGAUUUUGAGUUUGUCAGGUGAUAUACUAGUGUCGAUGUACCAGUCAGAUAUUGUCAGGAUCUGAUAGUAAAGAGUGCCUCUUGUGGACAUGCGUCUGGUUGGGCUGGACACUUAUCAAGGUAAAAUCUGAAGAAUAUAUAGGGUCCUCAUUAUCAUCCCUAAAGUGAGCCUCUAGGCUUUUCCCUUUACUCAAUAACUAGGUUAGCUGGCUCAUAUUUAUUUGGAAUUCUGGCAUCUGAUUCCUCAUUUCUUGUUAAAAUUCAGUCAAUUGCUCUUGCAUCUGUAUUUGCAUUUGCUUUAUUCUCUCCAAUCUUUAGUCCAUGCCUUCUAACUUUGCUUGGGUACUAUAAUGGUGUUCGGUUGAUUGGUUGGUUUCCAGAUUAACUGAGGAAUGAUGUAAAUUAAUUAGAAUCUUUUAAUGUUUUUAAAUGCAUAUGAAGUAAUGCAAUGCAUGAAUGCAAAAAGACGUCAAUUUUGAUUCAAUUCCAUAUAAGAAAACCUUACUAGAAAGCAAAUUUUUUUACAUAAAGCGAAUUACAAGUAAGACUUUGCCCUAGUACCCAGAACUCUGAUCUUCCUAAGUAACAAAACUAAUUCUUGCCCCCGAUCCGAUUCUAAUUCAUACUUCAUACUCAGCAUGUCAGCCUGUACUGCUAAAAUCUGUACGUAAUCAGCUACUUCUCGAAUCUAGACUACAGCUUCCUUCAUAAGAUAAUCUCUGCUCCUAACUUGACUCUGAAAAUGGUGGAGCUGUUCAUUAUUACUACUUUCGUUUGCGUUCAAGUGCUUGAUCUGGAUCUCACAAUUUUGCAGAACCGUUUCUAGCUCUUCCAAGGAAUGCACUUGUUGUCCCUCUUUUGCUUAACUGGUGCAGCGACCCACUACUCACUCAUCCCUGUUAUACCUAUCAGCUUCUUUGAAAAGGUUGGCACAUUUACCGUUCUCGAGUAAACUCUAUCCACUUGAAACUUUGAACAUCGGAGUAAAGCCACAUAUUUUUCUAUCGUAGGUACCAAAUCGACAUUCCCAAAUGUGAAGCAAUUGUAAGCAGGAUUCCAAAACUGGGCGAGGGCUCGAAACAAAUGUUUGUCUACCUUCACAUCAAGCAAAUAAGGCAAGUCCCCAUAAUUGUCGUAAAAUAACUGCCUAGCCUCAUUAUUCCAUUGAUUCCAAAUUUCUUUCAACUCCUGCAAAUUGUUUUGAGUUACACUGAUGCGAGUAAAAUCUCAUAAUUCCGAUACAUACCCAUCGGCCAGGCUAUCACCCUUUUCUUGCUGUGUUGUUUCAGACCAAGUUCGGACAGCCGCAUUGUCCUCCACUUUAUCAAGAAACCCUUUUUCCAUGUCAAGCUUUCUAUCUAGCAACCGAAUCUGAACUGUCGCCUUUUAUGAUGAAAUGAAAUGCCAUGUCAUGUCAUGUCAUGCAAACAAAAUAAAACACAAAAGGUCAGUGUCAUAUAAUAAUAUAAAAUAUAAUCAAGAAACAGUAAAACACCUAAUCGGAUGUCUACUAGGGUUCAGUAUAGUUCUACCUAGGGUGGAUUCCUAAGGUUCAUUAUAUGAAGUUUUGCUUCUAGGGUAAAGGUACCCGAACCAGCAGAUUCCUCCAUCCUCACCCAUUAUAGGCUCAUAUGGAUCGAGUUCGGUUCAGGGGAAUUCAUUUCCCUAUGGCUGCACGGAGAUGAAAAUCUCACGAAGACAUAGGUACGGAUGUAUCCUGGAAGCAAUCCACAACCCUACACGGAGGUGAAAACCUCACGAAGGCAUAGCUUCUCACUCCCACUUAAAAGGGUAAAAAUGUUCAACUCAUGAAAUGCAUAAUGCAAACAAUAUUUAAGGAAUAUGAUAAUGAAUGCGAAAUGAUGUUAUGAUUUUUUUAAAAAAAUAUUUUUCUCGACCGUAAGACAAAAAUUAAUCAACUUUGUGGCUCGACUCUCUUCUUUUUUUUAAAAAAAAUCUCCCUAGUGGAGUCGCCAAGCUGUCGAAACCAUUUUUUUGAAAACAAAAAAUUUAGGUUGUCGACUCUAAAAAAAUGAAAAUUUGGGAGUCGCCACCAAUCUUUUAUUGAGGUGUGAUUGGAUCACCUAAAAAAAUGGCUUUGGUAUACGAGUUUUAGAAAAACGGAUCCGGGAAUCAGUUACAUACGAGGAAGGAUUAGCACCCUCGUAACGCCCAAAAUUGGUACCUAGUUAAUUAAUUAGUAUCUUAAGGUCGAGAAUUUGGAGAAAAUGUAAUCCUUAGCAAAACUUAAAAGGCUACGUAUUAAGACCCUUAUUAUUUUAGAGAAAGAAGAUACCACACCCAAUUCGUUAGGGCGCAGCAUUCUAAUUUUCCCCAAAAUGAAUUGGGCCAAAAUACUUGUACAAUAAAACUUUAAAAGAACAUCCACUCAUCCAAGAUUUAAGAAAUCACACCCAAUACGUUAGGGCACGAUUCCUCUAGAAUCCCGAACUCGGAAUAUUUCCUUUACUUUAAAAGAACAUCCACUUAUCCAAGAUUUAAGAAAUCACACCCAAUACGUUAAGGCACAAUUCUUAUAAAAUCUCAAACUCGGAAUAUUUCCUUUAUUAUUUUUUAAAAAAAAUCUUCAUUUCGAGAAAUCAGUGCGUCACAUCCAAUACGUUAGGACACAACUUGUUGAAUUCCCAAUAAUGAGUUUUUAUUUUGUUUGAUUGAAGAGAAAUGCUCGAUUGUCAGAUUUAACGAAGAAAAUCGGAACCCAAUACAUUAUGGCUCAAUUCCCUUGAAAAUCCUAAAUACGAACAUUAUCUCAAUUUAAAAAAAAAUUCUAUCUUUAAAUUUCAGUAAAAAAUGAUGUAACGUGAUUUUAUACAUACAAAUGCUAUAAUAAUAAUAACAACAAUAAAUACAUCAUCGACAUAAAAAUAAUAUAAGCAAAUGAAUAAAACGAAAUAAAAAAAGGGUAAUCCAUGACAUGCAAAAUAUUAAAUGUAAACACAAUUAUACAAUGGAUGAGAUAGCAAACAAAUAAAUAAGGAUCAAAAGAUGUACACAUAGAAAUUAUGAAGAUUAAAAAUAUACAUAUAAUUUACAAAUAAAAUUUUUAAUUUAUAUAUAAAUACAACACAUAAUAUACUUAUGAAAAUAAGGAAAAAAAAUAAGUAUAUUUUAAAAAAGGAAAAAAAGGUGCGUAUUUAAUCACUUAAAAACGUAAAUAUAUACAUAUAUAUAUGAAAAUAUUCAUUUUAAAAAAAGGAAAAUAUUCGUUUUUAAAAAAUAUAUAUAUGUGUACAUAUAAAAGGAAUAUAUAUAAAUAAAAAAUUAGAAUAAAAAUAAUAAUUACACUAUUAAUUAAUAAAAUAAAUAAAAAGAACAUAAAAAAACUAAAUUGAAUUGCAAUUAAAAAAUCUGAGGUAAAUCCACAAAUAAAUAAAAGUAAAAGGACUAAUUUGAACGCGCGAGUUAAAAUUGGAAUUUUAAAUAAAUAAAAGGGUAAAUUAAAAAAAUAAAAAAAACUUAAUUACAAAAACAUUAAAAGGCGGAGGGGCUAAAUAAAAAUAGAAUAAAAUUCGCAGUGGUAUCACCUUCUCCUUGUUUUUUAAAAUCGUAAAUAAGUAAAAAAUAAUCGAACGAAAAAAAUAGUAAGCCACCUUUAAAAAACUGCCGAUCGUUCUCUUUUUUUUUUAUUUCUCCUCCCUCCUUUUUCUCUUUUUUUUAUUACAAUGAAGGGAGAUGCCUCUAUUUAUAGCUGAGCCUCCCCAAAUCCAACGGUACAGAUCAGUUACAUCAACGGCUGAGAUUAAAGGGUAUCUACAAAUUAAAUCUCUAAGAUUACAAAAUGAUAUAUUCUAAGAUUGCAUAUCAUAUCUAAGAUUAUAUAUCAUCUCUAAGAUUGCAUAUCAUAUCUAAGAUUGCAUAUAUCAUAUCUUGGAUUGCAUAUCAUAUCUAAGAUUGCAUAUCCUCAAAAAUUAUGUUUCCAUAUGUGAGCCCGGGCUAAAAUUGGGUAUUACAUUUAUCAUAUUACAUCUCAAUUUCUUAUUAUCAUAUUCAUUUGUAACUUUUUACUUAUUUCACAAUUUAGUCCUUAAGUCCUCAAAUCAACCUAUAAAAAGUACUACUCUUUUUAAUACAUGUAUCAUAUUUCACCAUUUAGUGUAAAUUUUCAUAAUUCCAUCACUAUUUCUUCCACCCUUUUUUUUACAUUUUUAACUUACUAGUCAUUGUCUUUCUUAUACUCCCUCAAAUACAUUCAAUUUACUUAUGUCUUCACUUUACUAGUUCAAUAUUUCGAACAUUAAUCGGAGAUAAACCUUUACCUUGUAACGAAAAUUGUUUACCUUUUUAGAGAGGCCCAGUAGACUAAAUAGAACUAUUAGGAUAUACGAAACUGAUACAGAGGUGCACUAAAGUGCACUAAUAGAACAAUAGGCACCAAAGUGCAAAGUAGUAGGCACUGAAGUGCGGAACGAUAAACACCGAAGUGCGAAACGGUAAGCGUUAAAGAGCAAGACAAUAAGCGCGCUAAAAUUUCCUUAAUGGCAUGACAUCUAUAUCCCAAUAGUUCUAAUCUCAUCUACUUGGGCAAAUUAUAUCAUGCACACAUAUCACUUUAACACUUUUACAUAACACAUUUAUAUUUUUUUACAAUUUAGUCCUUGUAACAACAAUCCAUAUACUUAUAUCUUCCACUAUCUUUAAUACAUGUAAUAUAUCUCUAAAUUCAAUAUUCAUCUAUAAUUAACUAAUAAUCCUUAUCAUGUAUUUCACAUAUCACUUUUAUAUAUUUUGUAAUUUAGUCAUUAGCACAAUAUUUCAUGUAACAAUAUAUUUUACUUUUAAUAACACAUAUAACGUAAUUCAAUACUUAUUAAUAUUCCAAAAUUCACUACAACAUCAUUUUUUUUCUCAUUCUAAGUGUUAUGCACUUCACUUCUCUAUUUCUAAUAUAAUUUUUUUCAAAUUUACGAUUUAACCCUUAAUUUCCACAACUUAGGAAAUAAUUGUAGUUUGGAUUACAAAAUUCAUAUAUUAUUUUUUUACUAUGUGCUUUAUUAUCAAUAUUUUCUUGCAAACCUUUAUAAUUUUCCAAUUUUGUAACACCCCUUACCCGUAUUCAACACUAGAAUAGGGUACGAGGCAUUACCAGAACACAAACGCUUGUAAACGUAUUUAACCGUAUUAUAAAAUUUCAUCUAAAUUAAAACUUUCAAAUUUUUUUAACAUGCUUUUAUAAUUCUUCACAAUAUAUCCUCAAAAUAUUAUAUUCAUAAUAAAUAGGGCUUACGAGACCCGAUACAUACCUAUGCAAUUCAAUGCGUCAUUUCCAUUUCAUUCAGUUCACAAUUUCUCAUGCUCACAAUUCAAAUCAUAUCACUAGCAAUUUCUAUUUAAUUCACGUACAAUUCAAUAUUAGUAAGUUCAAUACUAAUACGUAUUUACCAUUUUACUUAACGUUUUUCGAUUAUACCAUUCAUUAACACAUUUAUGAAAUUCUCAAUUUUGCAAUGAAAAUAUCACUUUAUCUUAAAUAACAACAUCAAUUCAACUCAUCAUCCCCUUUUUCGUCAUUUUUCACUUCAAAUAUGAACUUACUAUUUCAUUACCUUUCCACACCCAUUUCCUAUGCAUAUCACAUAAGACAUAAACAUAUCGUUCAACCAUAGUCGCAAGCUAGUACAUUUAAGCAUAAUUCUUUUUGGAACUAACCACAUGAUAAACCAUUUCACUAGAGAUUACAUAAUUUAAACCUUACCACCCCUGUCAUGAUCACAAGCAUAUUCCCAUUUAGGCACUUACCAUUUCAAUGCAUAACUUAUAAGCUUAACGUGGCAUAAUCCAACCACAACUUGGUCAAAGCCUAAGCAUGUACAUCAAAUAUGUUAACCAAAUAAACAUAUAGCAUAAGCAUUAUGAGCAUGGAUGAGCACAACAUUUAUUAAUGUAUCAAACUUACCAACAUGUGUUAAUUCAUAAACCAUUCAUGACACUACUUCAAGCUAAAUCAUAUUCCAAAUAUACCAUACACACAUACUAUGAAACUUUAUUUUCCCACAUGAGCUUAAAUCAUGACCAAUAAUGCGCAAAUAUAAGCAUUAUUUCUAUUUCAUCGUUUAUCAAUUAUAAUCGAGCAUAUUACCAAUUAUACACAAAUCAUUCAUAUAUUUCCCAAUUUUCCUCCUCCUCCUUUCCAUUCCACAUCCUUAAUGUGUAUAACACACUUAAACAACAUUAUCCAUACUUUCACUAUUUUUUUGUAUGUAAAUUCAAACUAUCUGUCUGAGUCUGAGUCACUAAUUUAUUUAUAUCUCGAGCUACCGAUCUCCAAAUUAAGAUCCGUUAAUUUUUCCUGAAACUACACUCAUAUACUUCUUACCAUAAAAUUUUUAUAAUUUUUUUUCUUAGCCAAUAAAUAUAUUUUAUUCUUUAAAAUUUCCCUUGUUUCACUGCUCGAUAGUUUUGACAUUUCUUCACUAAAAAUUAAUUAUUUCAUAGUACAGAAUUCAGAUAAUAUUCUCGUUUGUUUCUUUUGAAAAUAGACUCAUUCAUAAUUCUAAAAAUAUAAAUUUUAUCCCAUAAUUAUUUUUUUAAAAUUUUUAAUUAUUUUCCAAAGUCAGAAUAGGGGAUUCCAAAAUCAUUCUAGCUCUAUCUCACUAAAAUUCAAAUAUCUCAUAAUACAAAACUCGUUUGCUUUCUAUAUAUAUUUUAUGUGAAAAUAGACUUCUUCAGAUUUAAUUUCAUAUCUUAUUCACUCUCUAAUUAGAUUUCCACCAUUUUUGGUGAUUUUUCAAAGUCACACAACUGAUGCUGUCCAAAACUGUUUUGUUGCUAAAUUUACUCUUUCAUAAUUUCACUUACUCCAUUGCAUCUUACCGAUGGUUUGAUCAAAUAUCGAGCACAUUUUUCAUAAAUUUUCACACUUAUACCUACAAUCAUUCAUCACAUAGUCAUAUUUAAUUACAAUUAGUCGUUACUUGAUCUCAUGUAUUUUCACUUAGUCAAUUUCCCGAUAAACACUUUGGAAUAAUAACAGAUACAUGGUGGAUCAGCACAUAGCACCACCCUUAUAGUCAAUGAUACUCGGUGGAUUCAGCACAUAGCAACCACCUUCAUAAUCAAUAGUACCAGGUGGAAUCAACACACAACAACCACAUUUAUAAUCAAUGGUACCCGGUACACGUAGUAGCCUGCAUAUAGUACUACACACGUGACCAUUACUAUCUCUUUCACAUAGUGUUCGGCACACAGCCCGUGCCACACAUGUGAUCAUUAUUUUCACUUCAUUCGUAUAUUUUCUAUUCCGGAGGUUCAACUGGGAAAUUUCUCACUUUUAAUAACACAUUUAACUUACUUAACACUCACAUUAUUCAAUUUAGUCCAAAAAUCACAUUUUUGCCAAAAAUACAUUUUUCCCCUAAAGUUUCACAAAAUUACAAUUUUGCCCCUAGGCUCGUAAAAUAAUUUUUAUUCAAUUUCCUUGCAUUUUAGUCCUAGACAAACCAUUUUAAUAACUAUAUCAGUCUACAAUUCUCACUUAUUCGCACACUUGUGACAUAUUUUAUAACUUUUACAAAUUAACUCUUUUAGGCAUUUUCAUCGGAAAUCACUUAGUAAAAGACAUUCAUCACACUCCAAACAUUCAUAUUCUUCCAUAAAACAUCAAAAUACAUGCAUAUCAUUCAUAGAUAAAUUUUUAAACACAAACCCUAGUUCAAAAUAAUGGUAAAACUAGGUAAAUCUUGUUACGAGGAUUUCAAAAACGUAAAAAUCAUUAAAAAAAGGGCUAGAACAGACUUAUAAUCGAAAUGAGAUAACCAUGAGUUGAGAGAUGUGAAAACGUAGAAUAAAAUGAAAGUUUAUAUGGUGAUAAGCCCAUCCGUGUUUGCUUGGCGUGCAUUUGAUGUUAUGUGCUCAACAUAUUUGAUUAAGUAAAUAUGGUAAGCAAAUAUACACAAAUAGAUGGAAUGUGUGUUUAUGUGCACUUGCUUGAAUAAGUGUAAUCAGUAUAUUUAUAUGAUAGAAUCUUAUGUCUAAUUUUUAAAUUAGAAAUAAUAUGGUGUUUUGUUUUAUGUCUUUAUUGUUGAACCAUGAAUAUUAUAAUAGUAUGAAAAUUGAAUUGGAAGAUCAAAUUGAGUAGAACGCGGGAAUGAGUACUUUUGUUUAGUGAUAUGUGAUGAAUUGACAGAAAAUAUCAUGGUUUGACCAUUGCAACAUGUAAAAAUGUGAUUAUGUGUUUCCGUGUAAGACCAUAGCUGGGCUAUGGCUUCGGUGUGUGAUAUGUGGCGAUGUGUAAGACCAUAGUUAUACUAUGGCAAUGUGAAAACAAAAUACUCAAUUUUGUAAGACGUUCUCUAAUUUGACAAAUAUCGGUAAGUAAAAUGGAAGCCAAGUAUUGGAAUUUAAUUAGAUAUUAAUAUUGAGCUCGAGCAAGUAAAUCCAUUGUGUGAAAUUGUGGGUGAAAGAAAAUAAUGGUAAAAAUAGGUAAAUCUUGUUACGAAGAUUUCAAAAACGUAAAAAAUUAUUAAAAACGAGGCUAGAACGGACUUACAAUCGAACUUGGAAGCUUGAAAAACUCUAGCCAUGGUUUCUCCAUGCAAUUUUCGGCCUAGGGGUUGAAGAUGGACAAAAAUUGGCUUUUAAUUUUGUUUUUAAUUCAUUUUAAUAACUAAAUGACCAAAAUGCCCUUAAUGAAAAACUUUGGAAACAUGCCUAACCAUGUCCAUUUUUGUCCACCAACUUAACCAAUGGUCUAAUUACCAUAUAAGGACCUCCAAUUUAAAAUUUCAUAACUAUUGGACCAUGAAUAUUAUAAUAGUAUGAAAAUUGAAUUGGAAGAUCAAAUUGAGUAGAACGCAGUAAUGAGUAUUUUCGUUUAGUGAUAUGUGAUGAAUUGACGGAAAAGACCAUGGUUUGACCAUGGCAACAUGUAAAAAUGUGAUUAUGUGUUUUCGUGUAAGACCAUAGCUGGGCUAUGGCUUCGAUGUGUGAUAUGUGGCGAUGUGCAAGACCAUAGUUAUACUAUGGCAAUGUAAAAACAAAGUACUCAAUUUUGUAAGACGUUCUCUAAUUUGACAAAUAUUGGUAAGUAAAAUGGAAGCCUAGUAUUGGAAUUUAAUUAGAUAUUAAUAUUGAGCUCGAGUAAGUAAAUCCAUUGUGUGAAAUUGUAGGUGACAGAAAACAUUCGUAAGAAAUAGAUGUGUUAAUUUGCUUGGAAUGAACUAUGUGGUUAUGAUGGUAUUACAUUGAUAAUCAAUGCUAAGUCAUAUAUAUAUAUGUAUUUAUGUGAGUAAGUCAGAUGCUUUACGACCUCACCAUCACCCUCCUUAUCAGUAUUGCUUUAUGAUGAAAUUUUUAUGAGAAUCAUGUUGAAUAAGCUCAUAAAUGUGAACUGAAGAGUUCAGUGGUCAAAUAAUUAGUAAAGUAAACAGAGUUAAGUAUAGUGUAACAAAUGAACUUGGUAAAAAUAGGUAAAUCUUGUUAUAAGGAUUUCAAAAAUGUAAAAAUCAUUAAAAAAUAAGCUAGAACGGACUUACAAUCGAACUUGGAAUCUUGAAAAACCCUAGCCAUGGUUUCUCCAUGCAAUUUUCGGCCUAGGGGUUGAAGAUGGACAAAAAUUGGCUUUUAAUUUUGUUUUUAAUUCAUUUUAAUAACUAAAUGACCAAAAUGCCCUUAAUGACAAACUUUGAAAACAUGCCUAACUAUAUCCAUUUUUGCCCACCAACUUAACCUAUGGUCUAAUUACCAUAUAAGGACCUCCAAUUUAAAAUUUCAUAACAAUUGGACACCUCUAACAUGUAGAUCUUAACUUUUAUACUUUUUACAAUUUAAUCAUUUUGACUAAAUUGAGUGCCCAAACGUUAAAAUUUUCAAACGAAAUUUUCACGAAAUCAUUUUGUGAAAUAGUAGACCAUAAAAAUAUAAUAAAAAUAAAUUUUAUUCUCGUCAGAUUUGUGGUCCCGAAACCACUGUUAUGACUAGGCCUAAAAUCGGGCUGUUACAACUCUCUCCCCUUUAGGGAUUUUCGUCCUCGAAAAUCUUACCAGAAGAAAUUACUUCCAACUCUCAUAAAACACUUCACUAACUUUCCAAAAUCACUAAUCAAUUUAAUCUUGUAUGUCUCUUUUCAAUAAAUAUAUCUCUAAGGAUAAAAGAAUAUAUAUAUAUAGAAUAUCCAAAAAAGAUCAUCGUGUUCAUUUCGAUUAUAAUUGUCACACACAGGCAUCUUUACCACUUAAUUAUCAUUUCUCUAACUAAUUCUAUUAUCACGAAUCUCACAUUAUUCCAUUCACUAAUAAAAAUCAAUUCAGAAGAAUUUUCAGUUAAUACAUGCAUUCUUUAGGUAUCAUACCUGAAUAUUUUGUCUCAUCAAAUUUAACUUCUUCUUUAACAGUGGCAUUACAUAAUAUGUAUAAUCUUUAAAAUAAUCUGAUAUUUCUUUUAAAACUGAGUUCAUUUGUUACACUAUACUCAACUCUGUUUACAUUACUAAUUAUUUGACCACUGAACUCUUCAGUUCACAUUUAUGAGUUAUUCAACAUGAUUCUCGUAAAAAUUUCAUCAUAAAGCAAUACUGAUAAAGGGUGAUGGUGAGGUCGUAAAGCCUCUGACUUACUCACAUAAAUACAUAUAUAUAUAUGACUUAGCAUUCAUUAUCAAUGUAAUACCAUCAUAACCACACAGUUCAUUCCAAACAAAUUAACACAUCUAUUUAUUACGAAUGUUUUAUGUCACCCACAAUUUCACACAAUGGAUUUACUUAUUCGAGCUCAAUAUUAAUAUCUAAUUAAAUUCCAAUACUUGGCUUCCAUUUUACUUACCGAUAUUUGUCAAAUUAGAAAACAUCUUACACAAUUGAGUACUUCGUUUUCAUAUUGCCAUAGUAUAACUAUGGUCUUGCACAUCGCCACAUAUCACACACCGAAGCCAUAGCCCAGCUAUGGUCUUACAUGAAAACACAUAAUCACAUUUUUACAUGUUGCCAUGAUCAAACCAUGGUCUUUUUCGUCAAUUUAUCACAUAUCACUGAACAAAAGUACUCAUUCCUGCGUUCUACUCAAUUUGAUCUUCCAAUUCAAUUUUCAUACUAUUAUAAUAUUCAUGGUUCAAUAAUAAAGAUAUAAAACAAAACACCAUAUUAUUUCUAAUUUAACAAUUAGACAUAAGAUUCUAUCAUAUAAAUAUACUGAUUACACUUAUUCAAGCAAGUGUACAUAAACACACAUUCCAUCUAUUUGUGUAUAUUUGCUUACCAUAUUUACUUAAUCAAAUAUGUUGAGCACAUAACAUCAAAUGCAUGCCAAGCAAACAGGGAUGGGCUUAUCACCAUAUAAACUUUCAUUUUAUUCUACGUUUUCACAUCUCUCAACUCACAGUUAUCUCAUUUCGUACAUUAAAACAUACUUAUCAUGAACUUCUAUUCAUACCUUUCUAAAUUUCAUUUAUUCAAUAACACAUUUCAAUCGCCUCAAUAUAAAUUUUCAGCAUUAUUGGAAACAAUUCGGUUAGAAGUCAUCUCUGUCUUAACAAAUCAAUUUCAUUAGAGCCGAAAAAUAUUACACUAUCACGAGUAAUAAUAUGACAUGUAUAGCUAAACUCACAUACGCUAUGUUAGUCCGAGAACCGACUAAACCAUAGCUCUGAUACCACUAAAUAUAACACCCCUUACCCGUAUUCGACACCCGAAGAGGGUACGAGGCAUUACUAGAACACAAACGCUUGUAAACGUAUUUAACCGUGUUAUAAAAUUUCAUCUAAAUUAAAACUUUCAAAUUUUUUUAACAUGCUUUUAUAAUUCUUCACAAUAUAUCCUCAAAAUAUUAUAUUCAUAAUAAAUAGGGCCUACGAGACCCGAGACAUACCUAUGCAAUUCAAUGCUUCAUUUACAUUUCAUUCAGUUCACAAUUUCUCAUGCUCACAAUUCAAAUCAUAUCACUAGCAAUUUCCAUUUAAUUCACGUACAAUUCAAUAUUAGUAAGUUCAAUACUAAUACGUAUUUACUAUUUAACUCAACUUUUUUUUGUCAUGGUCAAACCAUUACUAUCUCUUUCACAUAGUGAUCAUUAUUGUCACUUCACUCGUAUCUUUUCUAUUCCGGAGGUUUAACCGGGAAAUUUCUCACUUUUUUUUCACUGAUCAAAGUCGAUUUCUCGUCUUUCUUGAUUUAUAAUAACACAUUUAACUUACUUAACACUCACAUUAUUCAAUUUAGUCCAAACAUCACAUUUUGGCAAAAAUGUAGUUUCACAAAAUUACAAUUUUGGCGUGCAUUUGAUGUUAUGUGCUCAACAUAUUUAAUUAAGUAAAUAUGGUAAGCAAAUAUACACAAAUAGAUGGAAUGUGUGUUUAUGUACACUUGCUUGAACAAGUGUAAUCAGUAUAUUUAUAUGAUAGAAUCUUAUGUCUAAUUGUUAAAUUAGAAAUAAUAUGGUGUUUUAUUUUAUGUCUUUAUUAUUGAACCAUGAAUAUUAUAAUAGUAUGAAAUUUGAAUUGGAAGAUCAAAUUGAGUAGAACACAGGAAUGAGUACUUUCGUUUAGUGAUAUAUGAUGAAUUGACGGAAAAGACCAUGGUUUGACCAUGACAACAUGUAAAAAUGUGAUUAUGUGUUUCUGUGUAAGACCAUAGCUGGGCUAUGGCUUCGGUGUGUGAUAUGUGGCGAUGUGUAAGACCACAGUUAUACUAUGGCAAUGUGAAAACGAAGUACUCAAUUCUGUAAGACGUUCUCUAAUUUGACAAAUACCGGUAAGUAAAAUGGACGCCAAGUAUUGGAAUUUAAUUAGAUAUUAAUAUUGAGCUCAAGUAAGUAAAUCCAUUGUGUGAAAUUGUGGGUGACAGAAAAUAAUGGUAAAAAUAGGUAAAUCUUGUUACGAGGAUUUCAAAAACGUAAAAAAUUAUUAAAAACGAGGCUAGAACGGACUUACAAUCGAACUUGGAGGCUUGAAAACCCCUAGCCAUGGUUUCUUCAUGCAAUUUUUGGCCUAGGGGUUGAAGAUGGACAAAAAUUGGCUUUUAAUUUUGUUUUUAAUUCAUUUUAAUAACUAAAUGACCAAAAUGCCCUUAAUGAAAAACUUUGGAAACAUGCCUAACCAUGUCCAUUUUUGUCCACCAACUUAACAAAUGGUCUAAUUACCAUAUAAGGACCUCCAAUUUAAAACUUCAUAACAAUUGGACACCUCUAACAUGUAGAUCUCAAAUUUUUCACUUUUUACAAUUUAGUCCUUUUGACUAAAUUGAGUGCUCAAACAUCGAAAUUUUCGAACGAAAUUUUCACGAAAUCAUUUUGUGAAAUCUGAGAUCAUAAAAUUAUAAUAAAAAUAAAUUUUAUCCUCAUCGAAUUUGUGUUCCCGAAACCACUGUUCCGACUAGGCCCAAAAUCGGGCUGUUACAAAUUUAAUCACCUUUUAUGAUAAAAGUUGUCUAUUCAUUAUUAAAUAAAAUUUUUUUCACAUCUCACUUAUUUCACACAAUUAAUUACACUAUCUCAUUUUCCACAUUAAAUUUCUAUGUAUUUCACUUGUAUUAUUUCCACCACAUGUAUUUCUCAAGUCCUUUAAUUUAAUCCUUGUUUCCAUAAAAUUUCACAUUUUCCCAUAAUUUUACUUAUCUAAUACUUUGUAUAUAUAUAUUUGCUAUUACAUAACCCAACUAUUAUUCUUUUAUUAUAAUUUUCUACUUCACAUAAUAAAUUAUUUCACACUAUUUUUUUACUUAAUUACUACUUAGCUUACAAAGAUCACAUUUUAAUCCUUAAAUAACAAGGAAGUUCAUGGGUACUUACCUCUUUUCCAUCAAAAUCUCUUGUUUUGCUCUUCUCUUACCACUUGAUUCACUUACUCAACUUCUCUCUUCAUCAACAUGUCAAAAACACAAUAUUUUCUCAAGAGAAAUCUUUACUUUAACACCAUUUUUAUGCUUUUCUAUCACUACUAAACUUAAAAAUAACAUAAAACCUUAACAUCCAUACCUUAUUCUCUUGAAACCAAACUUUAACUUGACUUCCUCUCUCCUCCAACUUCUAUUUUUUGAAUCUAACUUUAUAUUCUAGCUCCCCAUAAUCUCCUUAUUAUUUUUCUCUCUUGGUGGCUAUGGAAAUUCUUUUGAUUUCUAAGUGAAAAUGGUAAAUUUUUUGUGAAAGGACCAAAUUGUAAAGAAAAUAUUUUUUCUUUCUUUUCUGCUUCUCAUGUUGGAAGCAUGAAAAGAUGAAGAGAAUUCUCUAUCUUUCUUUCCUUAUAUAAUAAGUAAAAAUUAAUAAAAUAUAAAUAAAUGUCAAAUCAAAAUAUUAAUAAACUAAUAUUUAUUUAAUUAAUCUAAAAUAUCACCAACAUCAUCAUUACUCUUCAAAAUAUCUUUCUUGUUAAAUGAUCAUUUUGCCCCUUAUGAUCCUUCAAAAUUCCUCCAUUGAAUCAUCACUCAUUUUAGUAAAAUUACGAUUUAACCCCCUCAUACUUUUUCCACUUAUUCAAUUCGGUUCUAAUUCAUCCAGAUUCCUUAGUUUCUAGAUCCUUCCACCCUUAAAAUAUUUUCACUAUUGGUCCUUCAACUUUUCCAUAUUUACACUUCAACCUCUCAAACUUUGAGUAUUUACUCUUGGGCCACAAAAAUUUUCUCACUUUUUCAAUUUAGUCAUUUCUUAAAUUAAUACAUCAUAAUAUAUUUCUUAAACAGAUUUUGUUGACAUAACUCAAAAUUUCUCUUUUUUCCACUUUAUUUCAUUAUUUUACUGUACCAAAGACAAUAUCUCACUUUCUUACUGUAGUAACUUUCGGGGUGUUACAAUUAUUGUUGUUUAAAUUUCAAAAAUUUUGAUUAUCAUUAUUAACAUUUUCAAGUUGGAGUUUUUUUGUUGUCAUUACACAUUAAUGCCUUAUUUGGUUACUAGUGUAAUAAUAUGAGAAAAAAACUUAGUUAUUAGAUAUGUAUUUCUAAGGUAGAACUUGCUCGGAAGGGAAUAGAACAUGAUUCAGUCUGUGGGGUUUGUGGUCAAGAUUCUGAAGAUGUACUUUAUGCUACUAGAGAUUGUUCUGUUGCGAGAAAUGUUUGGGACCACUUAAUUCCAACCGAAUGGUGUUUUAGGUUUUAUGCAAGAAAUCUUCAAGAAUGGCUUGUUCUAAAUUUGCAAAAUCAACAUAAUUGGCAUUUGGGAGGUGCUGACUGGCAAUGUCUAUUUGGGAUCAUCGCUUGGCGCUUGUGGAAGAACCGCAAUAUUUUCAUUUUUCAAGGUACUUCAUGGACCAAUAGUGAAAUUAUCAAAGUGGCAAAUAGUUGGGCUAAACAAUACUUUUCUUCUAAAGGGAGUAAGGCAAAUGACUCACAAGGUAAGUUUCCACUUCUAUUUUUAAAUAAUGACUAUGUCCUUUUGAGUACAGAUGGAUCCGUUUUGGAGAAAGCCGGAUUUGCAGCGGUAGGAGGUAUAGUACAUGAUCGAGGUGGAGCUUGGAUUCUUGGAUUCAAUAAAUAUUUGUGGAAUUGUUCUAUAUUUGAAGUUGAGCUGUGGGGUAUUCUAGAAGGUUUAUCUCUGCUCGUGGAGUUGGGAUAUGAUAGCGUAUUGAUCCAUUUUGAUUGCUUGGAAGCCAUUACAACUAUUCUAGAGGGAUCUUCUGAAGGGUCCAAUUCUGUUUUGGUUCGAAGAAUUUAUCAAAUACUGUUGUGGUUUAAAUAUUGGAACAUUAGAUAAAUUUCUACGGGGGAAAAUCAGGAAGCUAACCAUUUGAGCAAAAUGGCCUAACAUAGAGAUUAUGGGUUAUGUCUGUUUUUGACCUCUCCUUUAGAAUGGUUGGUCUAGUUAUUGUAAUAUGUUUUUAUUUUUACUUUUUUACCAAAAGAGAGAGAGUAAAGAAUAGUUAGUACAAAUUUAAAUUUGAAACUAGAAAUAUGAGUAAAAACUAUUGUUAAAAAUAAAAAAUCUUCAAAAUAAGCAAAAAAAAUUCCCUUUUUUUUUUUGCUAAAAAUAAGUCAUAGGAAUGACUAAGAAAUGUUUGAAGCUUUCUUUGUUUCUUAAGUUAUGAAGGAUGUCAAGAAGAAGAAAUGUUUUCAUAUUUUAUAUUAUGAUUAUAACUUACGUAAUUAUAUUUUUAUCUUAAUUAAUCAAAAUAUAACAUUACGUCUACUAUUUCUUAUUUUUGCAUGGUCUAUUUGCUAUUUUGAACCUUUAAUUAAUUGCAAUUUAAGUCUCCAAGUCAUUUCCUAAUAAAAAUCUAUAGCGAUUGAACUUUAUAAUUUAAUCCCUUAACCUCAAUUAAACACAAUUUUGACUAAAUUAACUAUUCAAAUUUCUUUUCAUCUAUAUAUUAACUUUAUAAAUAUCUUUAUUCAAUAUUUACAAAUUCGAUUUAUGAAAACAAUACAAAGAACUAUAUUUUUUGGCCAAGAGAUGAUUUUCUUUUCUUUUCUUAAACGAAGAGAAUAGUUUUCCUCGGUAAAGAAAGGCUGACAUUGUGAUAUUGAAUCAUGGGAAAAAGGAGAAACCCAAGUUUAUUGAUUCCAUCAUUAAUCCUAUUAUCAUUCUCAAAUUGUCAAAUUUAAAGCUACAACCACCCUACCAGCCUACUACACAUGCGGUCUUCACCAUUCGUUUGGGGGAAUUCUUUAUUAAGCUGCAUGAAACAAGCCAUGAAAUAUUUAUCUAUCUGUCUAUAUAUAAAAUACAUACUAAAAAGAGUGGAACAGCUGGAUCCAAAUCCAAUAGGGGCUCUCUUUUCAAGGCCGUAGAAGCCAUCAAUUUUAUAAGCAAUAGCAGGCAAGGGAAAAGAAGGGUAAUGGGUGGGAGGUCAAUGCUUGCUUGGAGUUAGAUAUGGAAAUUGGAGCUCUGCAAACCGGUCUAAUAUAAGCUACAAUCCAAAAUUUAAAUGAUUUGGCAUUGAACUCUUUUACAAACAUUUGCAAUCAAAGUGAGAAUGCUGGAAAUCGCUAACUUCUUUAGUUGUUUUCACUCAAAUAUGAACAUAAAUGGUGGUGAAUAGGGUAGCCAAAAGUGGGUUACUAAAAGUAAUUGUAACUUUCCUUCAAGAGCACUAAGAAUCAUUUAUUGCAAUUAUUGCCUCUAAGGUCAUACUUAUCCAUUGUCUAGGCUCUAGACCCUAUCGCUAAACUUGCAUAAUAUUUCAAAUGAAUGGUAAUGAAUUUCUAAUUAAAUGACAAAGGUUGAAGACUAUUUGAUGCUCUUUUUCCGAUGUGAAAUACUCCUUUGACCCCAAUAAUGUUUGCUUCCUUAAAAACAUGUAUGACAGCAAUUACAUAGUACUAUAUGUGUAUACAUCUCCAAUUAGCUUAUACUCGAAAAGAAAAUAAUUCAAAACUUACUAGGCAAUUCCACUUUAGUCGGACCAACUCACGAGAAGCUUUGGGUGUAAUGUAAUGUAAUGUAAGGACCACCAACUUGUAUGAAAUGAUGGCAGCUUUAGAUUGCUUGUUUGUUGGCCAUGCAUGCCCCAUGCUCCAUCCAAUUAGAGCAACCCCCCUCCCCCUUCUGAAUCCAAACCUGUGUACUGUUUUAUCCCCUUGUUUUUCACACGCAUGCCUAUUUUUUAAUCAAUAUAAUAAACCUAGUUUCUUCUCCCACCCCCAUCUUCAAUUCUUCCACUUCAUCAUGAUUAGUUUACUAGGCUUUUGAUUCUUCCAGGCUGUCCUCUAAUUAGUAGUUAUAGAGUUAGCUUGAUUACUAUGAACCUUUGAAAUUUGAAUCCAAAUGUGGGUAAUCAACAUAUCAUUUAAUUCCUCAUUAAUGAAUCUUUGCAAUUGGACGUUGGUAGCUUGAGACUUUACUAAAGCUAAGCUAGCUUCAGGUCAAACCAGACCAACCUUUGAGGUUCAACUUUUACAAUAAAUCAUCUCUCGCUUCAUAUUUUCAAGCUUCCCAACCAACUUUUUGUUAUAAUUAAUGGUAUCCCAUUUCUUUUUAUUUUUUUAAAUAAAAUUUUACUUUGAAUUUGAUGUAGUUUAAUCAGACUUGGAUGGUGGGAAGGUCUGAGAUUCAUUAAAUCAAAAGGUACCACAAAAGCAAUUACAAGCUUUAAAAUGGUUACAACUUACAACUGGGCGCAUACAUAUACUACCACUAUUCUCCAUUCCAACCAUUCCUUAGGUUUACAGCUCGUUGAGUUAGAAUGAUAAGCCGAAAAUAUUCAAAAGAAAAAAGAAAUUAUUUAAAAGUGUUCAGGAACUCAAAUCAAAUGAAUAAUUUAAAUUAAUAUGUAUCAUUAGUUUAUCUUUAUUGUUUCUUAUCUCUAAGGGUAAUUUUGAAUAUUGAAUAUUGCUUAUAAAAAAAAUUAAUUGAAGAAAAAAGAACUAAUAUAAAAUACAGAGUGUAUCAAAUAAAUUCAAGGUAACACCACAUUUCAUUCCCUUUGAACUUUGAAGAUACUUGAUUUCACCAUCAAUCCAUUGAAUGCAUAUAUUGUUUUCAAUCAUAAACAUACCUCUUUGCUCUCCUUAAUUACAAUUCCUUUUCUUUGUUGGAACCAACCUUAGAGUUUUCACAAGCUAUUUACACGUAUGACGAGUGAAACAUAAAUAGUGAGGCUUGGGCACUUGUGUUGUGGGAGUUGUGACAUCUUUCCAAUCCAAAACCAACCAAUGCGACCCCAGCUAGCAGUGAUGAUGAGAUCCUACAGUUAAAAAAAUUUGGAGAAUGAUGUGUCAUUUUCAGCACCAUCCUCAUGAAUCUGAAAAAUCAAACUUUUGGGACCAUAUCUUUCAUUUUCAUUUAACAAAACAUGACAAAAGAAUUUGCCCAAUGCCACAAACUCCGAAACAACACUCGCCAAAUCAUACGUCAUGUUUGAGUAGGGAGAAUCUCAGAUGUACCCAGAAAAACAAGCACCAUAUUAAUACACUCGUAAUAAAUUUAUAAAUGAAACUGGCUGAAAAUUGGGUGUUAGCAUAGGGGUUAUAUAAUGAUGGGUGGUAGAGUUAUAAAUAUGCAAGCCCACAGCUGUAAAGAGUGGUCGUCCCUAAAACACUCAAUUCCAUCAUCGUCAGAGGACGGUACGAUACAAGGGUGGACUUAAUGGUGAACCGCGUGGAGUUUGUUUUGGUUUAGUGAAAGCACACAGCAUUUGGCUUAAUUAACCAUUUGUCGUCAAUCUUCACCAUGCUUUCUUCCUGUUUCCGCGUAUCAAUGCCCUUUCCCACCUUAAUAUUCAAAACUAAUGGGGCGGUCCCUAUUAGACCUGUGGAUUUGAAUAGGAGUAAUUCUCAGAUAAAUUUUGGACAUUAUUUUGAAAUUAAAUCAUUCCAACUUUCUGUUUAUUCAAUUAUUUAGAUUGAAUUAUAUUGUUAAAUUUAUCAAUAUAAUUAUAUUUAUUAUGCAUGUAAACUUUUAAAUCGAUCCAAUACUUUUAUAAUAUCAAUCUAAAUAUUGAAUUUUUUAUUUUAAAUUUACAUUAAAUGAAUAAAUAUAUAACUAUUUUUGUUUUUCCACCUCAAUGAAAUACAUUUUUAAGAUGAAUGAGAUUCAUUUAACUUUUUUAUUCUAUUUUUAAUCAAAUUGCAUUACAUUUUGUCUUUCUUUAAGAAUUAACGUACGCAACAAUUCUAGGUUGCUAACGAACAUUUAUAAUUAAAUAAAAGCAAAAGAUGUAUAGUAUGAUUGAAUCUUGUGUAAAAUUCGUUUUUGACCCAAAUAGGGGUAAAAUUGUAACACGACCCUCACUUGGGCAAACGGGCAACGUAAUGAAACACUAGAGCUCUCGUCUUUUUAAGCUAAUCACAUCCACAAUGAGGAUCCAUUCUACCAAUGAUUUCACUAACAAGUCCCUCCCAUUUUUACAUAUUUACAUUUAUACCACCCUCAUCUCUAUUCAGGGAUAGAACUCAACACAGCCUUGAACUUCCCUCUCCCUACUCUCCCUCUCUUCUCCCCGCCGUUCCCACCACCAGCACCGGCGGCGGGUGAAACCUUCCGGCGAGGAGACCCUUCAGAAAACGCGAAAGGGGUAACCGCCUUACUCCCGCGCCUGCAUUUUUCAGAGGCGGUGGUUUUCAUCAAAGCGGAGCUGGCUUUGACGGCCAAUGCAGCCAUUUCCUCAGCUUGUAAAGGAUGGUUGAGCCAACUCAAGGGCAAAGCGAAGUAAAGUUGACCGGGUUGAAGCUCCUCGUCUUCCUCGAUGGCGGAUACGAAGUCAUCGAAGUCCAUCUCAUCGGCGUUGCAGAUGAAACACAUGGGAUUCUUCUGCAAAACGUAAGAAGCCUUGACGGGGUAAGGAAACUCUUGUAACCGCCCAUCAUGGAGAAUCAGCUUGGCAGUUGCUACGUGAGUCGAAUCGCAAGAACUACAAAUACCCAUUUUCUAUUUUCAGAUUUGUGGAUUUCAACGUCGAAGCUGUCGAUUUUUUUUGGAAUAGAAAGCUUUUUUGAAAAUGUUGGUGUUGGAGAGCUGGGGGAAGUUUAUAAUAUAUAUAUAGAGGAAGGAUGAAAGGAGAGAUGUCUCGGAUUUUGGACCAGGUAGCCACGUAGGAUUUUGUCGUGACGUAGUAAUAAACAUAUUUAUGGGAACAGGAACAGUAGGCAGGGUUGCCAGGCUGUAAGUUAGUGGUGACAGGUUGUAUAAGGAGUGAGGAUGUGGGUCUGAACACAUCAACCCUGGUUUCGAGAUGAUAUUACGUUGACAGGGACUGCUGAGCUUUUUACAGUUCCAUGGGAUGAUUUCACUGCUAAGUGCAAACAUAAUGCAUUUAAUAAAAACGGUAACCAUACCAAUCAAGGAGUUUAACAUGUCUUUGCUUUAUGUUAUCAUAUUUCACUGUUUACCAUUGGUUUUAAAUAAUGCUUUUUAAGUUAGCAAGGUUACUGUAUAGGUUUUCAAGUUUUGAAAUUGAGAAAAAGUGUUUCUCAAGUUCAGUUUCUUUUACCUUUCGCUUUUUCUUUUGAAUUAAAUUAUUCAUUUAUCAUCUUCUUUUUCUUUUUUGAAAUUUAUUUAAAAUACUAUAUUUAUAUGCAGGUUAAAUUUUAUAAAAAGAACGUGUAUAUUUAUUUUUAUAUUAUACUUCUAUUAAUUUUAUUUAUAGAAUCUAAAAAUUCUACUAAUAGUCUCAAAAAAAAUUUAACUGUAAUGUGGGUGAGUUGGCAACUCAAACAUUCAAGGAAAAUACUUAAAAGUAAUGGGUAUUAAUAUGUUGUUUACAUUUCUUUUAUUCACACAUUGAGUAUAUUAUACUUAAAACGCCAACUGAAUUAUGAAAUAAUAAUACUUUUUCACUAAAUUAUAUUAUUAAAACACCAUAACUAAUGACACCUAAGUUUUUAAUAAAUAUACUUUUACAUGAUUCUGUAUGCACAUUUACAAUUAUUAUAAAAAUAAUAUAAUAAGAAAGAGGAAGGGGUAUGUUAUAUGGGGAAAAAAAGGGGCGAGAUAAAAUAGGACAUUCAUUCUAUAAAAGGUCACUAAAAAUAAGAGGAAGGUAAAUAGAUGGAAAAGGAAGGGUAUAAUGGAGAAGUAGAGAGAAACGUGGCAAUUGAAAAUCAACCCAAGGAAGCUAGGGGUGCAACUGUGCAGGGCAAAGCAAAAGACACGUGGAACAGAAGGGCCUUGGGAAUAGUAAACUCGCAGCAUUCCGACAAGACAUGGCGUAAGCUCAUCUGGUUUUGCUGCUGCUCCCUCCCUGUUUCCUGCUGCCCCGCCCUUUUUCUAAUAGUUAUUAUUUCCCCAUAUAGCCCAUGUAUUAUUAUCUUAAAUUCUAAAUCUACAUAACGCAACAUGAAAGCAUGGACAAUGUCGGGACUUUCUUCUACUCGUAUAUUUUAUAUAUUAGGUCUUGUAGGGUUUGCAUGUGCAUGAGUGAUGGAGUGAGAAUACAAUUUUUGAGCCUCCCUUCCUUCCAUGUUUCGUGAGUUGAUUAAUGCCACUAGGUAAAAAUCUAUGGUUUUAUGACUUAAAUGUUAGUUCUAGCUAGUGGCGAUUGAAACAAACAACUUGGUCAUUCUUUGAACUGAAUUAGACAAGGGUAUACUAUUAAUUGGUUUUGCUUUUUUGUUCCCAUAGAAUACAAUGCAUGAUUUUAGUUGUUAUCAUUUAUCAAUCUAGUUCCGUACGUGCAUGGUUUUCAAUUGUUAAAAAGCAAGGAAUUAUUGGUAAUAAUCGAGGAAUGAGCAACGUUUCCCACUACGAUUAAUCCUUUGCAUGAAGCUUCAGAGGAUUGGGGUACCUAUUUCUCCCCCAUUCCAUCCACCCUAGCUAUAGCUACUUGAAAAAGAAAAACCCAAUUUUUUAAUCACAAAAAAAUGGCCUCACAUGAAUGCUGUUCAUUUCUUUAAUCUCCCUUUGUUUCUCUUAUUUCAUUGGAUGCCCUCCAUAUUCCCUCUUUUGACUUUCAUCACUUUUGAAACCCAAUCUUCACCCCCCUUUUUUUUUAUUGCGUUUUAAUUUUGUUGUUAGUUUCGGUAUUGUUAUGAAUUUUAUCAAUUUUAGUUAUAUAAUUUCAAUCCUCAAGUUUGAUUUUUUAAAUCAAAUUUUAUUAUUAAUCCUAUAUUAUAGGUAAGUUGUGAAUUUAGUCAUUAUUUUCUAUUUUAAUUCCUUCAAUUUAGUUAUUUUUAGUCCUUAUAUUAUAAGUAAGAUGACGAUGUAUUUUUGUAAAUAUUAUGUGAAAAUAACAAGCUAACAAUAUUAUAUUACACAUGCAAUAUAAUAUUAUUGAGUAAUAUUUUUCUCAUAUCCCAUUGAGAUGAAUGUUGGGGGUAUUUAUACAUCCUCUUACCGUUACUAUUAUAGUUCAUAAUUGGGUCCACUAUUUUGUCUUGACCUUGGGGCCUCCGGUACUAACAUUCUCUGCCUCUAGUGUUGACAUUCUCUGCACGCUCCUUGGCUUGCUGGACGCUUGUCUAUGUAAUACGCGGUCCUUUCUAAUCCUAGGAUUGACAUCCUUAGCAAGCUUCGUACCCGUUGGUCACAAGUCUAGAUUACUUGUAGGGCUUGCAAUCCUUCCUGCAAACAUAGUUCGUGACCCCAUCCUGCGAGGUGCGCCCUUGAACUCUUCUUGUGAGCUAUCUUGGCGAACACGCCUCUUCCGAGUCGAGCCCACCCGAGUCAAGGGUUGGAGACCCGGAUCUUUUUAGGACAUUUGGGUUGGCAAUUAUGGAUAUAUAAUAAAUAUGUUUGUCGAAUAAUAUUUUAGAAAUAAAAGAAUUUAAAUUAACAAAUUUAAUGGAUACCAUUUGAUUUAAAAUUGAAAUUUCAAAAAUAUAAAAAUUAAAAAUGACCAAAUUAUAAGAACUAAAUUUGAAAUACUAACAAUCAAUAUAUUCUUUGAAUGGAGAAAUCAUUUUUCUACCAAUUGAAUUGGUGAACAUUAUUUGAUUUAUUUAUGUUAAUCCAAUAAAAUUAGGGAAAUUAUUUGGUAAAUUAUUAAUGGAGCUUUUAGAUCUAAUAAAUAGAGAUUAAGGGUUUGAUAAAUAUUCUAUAAGAGUAUAUUAAAAUAUUAAAAAAUAAAUAUUUAAAAAAGAAGAAACACUUCUCAAAAUUUCAGAACUACUUAUAAAAUAAAAAAAAAAUACACCAUCAAUAUAUCAAAUAUUGGCUUAUAAAAUUAUAUUAAUUAUAAAUUACAAGGUAGACCUAGAAGAUAGAUAUCCCUAGAAAACAUAAAAUAAACCACUAUUAAUAAAACUCAUAAAAUAGGGUGAACUUAAAAUGCUUGUCAACAUAUAGGUUUGGAAUCUUGUAAAGCUAAAUUACAUAUAGAUUUGAGGUUACUUAGUUGGGCUAUCAUGGAUAAGUAGAAGAAUUUGAACAAUUUAUCUAGCAAACUUUUUUUAUUUUUUGAAGAACACUUGGUUAAAACCUAAACUAUAGUUGUUAUUUUGUAUUUUUAUGAGAUGACCAGUCAAAACCCAAAUAAUGCAAAACCAUAUAAAUUCAACAAAUAAGGAGAAUGGGCAUAAAAAUAUUGAACAAUCCACAAGGAUUUGAUCUGUAAAAUUAUGUUAAACAUGUUUCUGCUUAAUCCUGGAUUAUAUGGGCAAAAAUAGUUGGCAAAAGAAGAAAUUAAACCCCACCAACCGGCAUAAACACAUUACAAUAUUCAUAAUAAUGUGGUCUAAACACCCUCUUAAAAUAAAUCUGUCUAACUACAUGUAUUUUAUUUGUCUUAAUCACCUAGCUCUUGUAGGUUUUAGAAUGGGAUUUCAACUUUGAUUCAAUCAUGGUUCAUAAAUAAUAAAGGUAGCCAUUGGCACUGCCAUGAAAGUUCCUCCCUUUUGUCUACACUUGAAACUUGUUUAUUUAUGUGGCCCUUAAGGGGUCUGAUAUCUUGCAUGGUCAAAAUCUCAGAUCAUGCCCUAUCCAAAUAAAAUUAUUGGUUUUGAAUGGAUUCAUUGUAUACCGAAGGAUCAAUUUUUUUUUUAAAUGACAAUGAUGAAUGCGACAUAAGAACUUUUGUUUUGUGUUAUACAUUCAUGUUUUUGGUUCAUGUCCUGUCUAAUCCGUACUAGUACCCAAGAUUUUAUAUAUAAUUGGAUAACAUUACAUUACAAGUAUCUUAUUAUCUAUAUAUGCCAAUAUAUUUUUAUAAAAAAAUAAAAUAAAAUUACCAAUAUAUUCAUAUCUAAAACAAAAAUGAAAGUUGUUGUUAAUAUAGACAUUAAGGGUGUAUUUAGUAUUACUUCUAAGAAUCAUUGUUGGGAUAAAAAAACACUUUUGAGACCAAAACAUUUCUAAACAAGUUACUUUUUCAGAGAAAAAAUGUUUUUCCCAAGCAAGAAAUUGGCUCAUAAGCACUUUUUUGAUAACCUGAAAAUUUUAGCUUCUUCCUAAAAUUAAUUUUUUCCUCAAAAAAAUACUUUUGAGAAGUAUUAAUAAACUAAGUCUUAAGUAUGGGCAUGUAUGUCGCGCCAAAUAAGUGUAAUUAUUUGUAUAGGAUUCUUUUUCAUUAGCUAAAAACAUUGUCUAAUAUGAUUACAUAAAAAUAUUUGAAAUGGUAAUUUCCCAUACAAUACAAAAUUAGUAAAGGUAUCUAUAAUAAAGUUUUGAUUUGUAUGGAUAGGUGAUUAAAGUUUUUAUGAGACACUCGUUUGAUACAGAUUCAAAUCGUGUGACACUCGUUUGAUAUUUAAUAAAUUUUUGAAGGUAACAUAAAAAUUUUAAUAAACAUGGAAAAAAUAACAAUAUAAUACAAUUUUUGAAGGUAAUAACAUAGUAUAUUUAAACAUUAUAAGCAAUGAUGGUUAUUUUUUUAAAGUUACAACAACUAAUUAACGUAUCAACGGCUCCAAUCAAAAUAAAUCAUUACAAAUACUGAAAUGAAUAUUUGGCUCAAACUAACUACUCAAGUAAACUAAUUAACUAACCCACACAUAAUUCUUGCAUGGUAAGACUUAAAUCUAAGCGCUCAAAAUCCGAGUGCCACCAAUACUAAUUAAUUAAUACAAAUAUUGUAUCUCUAUCUAAAUUUUUGGUGUGUAUUAUCAAAAAAAAAUUGCAUACAUACAAAUUCUCAUGUCUAUAUGAAAAGUAUAUCCCAAUCGAAUUAAAUAGUUGAUAUUGAAAUGUAGAAAAAUAACUUAAUUGAAUGUGUGAUGAGUAGCGGAAUUGAAGGGUAAGUGUGUACAAAGUAGAAAUAUCCCAAAAUUUACGUGACAUUUUCUUUUCGAUGGAAUGUAAUGCUUUGGCCUAAUUUAUUAGAUUAGGAAGAAAAGAAAGUUGAAGAGGAAGAAAUUUAACCCCACCAACCGGCAAAAAUACAUCUCAAUUAAUUAAUUUGUCUAAAUUAAUCACCCUAAAAUAAAACAUCUUAUCCUAAUAAUUUUCAAAGAAAUUCAUGAAAGUGAAAGGCUUUAAAAAAUCAAUACUAGGAGCACUUAUACGUAGGGUUAGUUUUAUUAAAACUCCUCAGAUUAUAGUUCAUAUUCUAAAUUCAUCUUUAAAUUUCAAGUGUUUUAUUUGAGUUAUUAAUAUAUCAAAGUAUUGUAUCAAUUCUAUCCUUAUUAGCCUAAACCCACAAAUUUGCACCUAAAUUAUACCUUUUUUUCCAUCUUGAUACUUAAACAUUUUUUUUGUCAAAAAUAGUACCUAAAUUAUUAUUUUUUUCGCAAAUUAGUACCUCCGUUAGUCAAACUAUUAAGUUUAUAUUUAAAAAAAAAACAAUUUAACCCAUAAAUUAGUACCUAGACAAUACAAUUUUUCUCAAGUUGGUACCUAAACUUUUUUUUUAAUCUUAACUGAUAUAUUCGUUAAAAAAAUUCUAGUUAAUAAUAGACUGCCACGUCAUAUAAACUUUAAAAAAAUAAUUUUUAAUAAUUUUAUUUUAUUUUACAUUCUCUCUCUCUCUCAUACUCGAAAUUUGCCCUCCCAAAGUUGAGACAUUGGCAAUUAAUUUGUUUUUGAACUUCACCACUAUUUACUUGACUUGAUGUAUUUGAAAAAGUUCUUUCAUUGAUCAAACUAGUAUUUUCAAAAUUGAAUCGUACUAGUUGGACCAAGAACCUGAUGGGUAUCAAUCUGGAGCUAAGAUUGAAUCAAUUGACUUGCAAAUUGAUAUAAACCGAUUGAACCGAGCUAAAAACCGGUUGAAUUGAUUUUCUUUAUAUUUAAAUAUGAUUUAUUUUUAUAAUUUUUUAAUAAUUUAUUUUAUUGAAUCACACGAAUUGAUCAAAUUGAGAAUUGUUGGCUUUGACUGAUUCGACCAUCGAUCCUAUUCUAAAAACCUUGAUUAAAACCAUGAAGCCCAAAAUACUCACACUUGUAGAAGAAAUAUAAGAUGAGAGGAAGAAGAAAGAAAAAAUAUAAAAAAUAUAAAGUGAAAAGAAAUAUAUAUAUAUAAAGAAAAUAUUUUUUUUCCUUUUUUUACCACGUGAUAAUUUUUAAUUGGUUAUCUCUUUUUUUUAAAUUGACUUAACAAUUAAGCUAACGAAUAUACAACUUGAGAAAAAAAAAUUAGGUACCAUUUAUGAAAAAAAAAUAGGUAUUUAAAUGAGAAAAAAAACAAUUUAGAUACCAUUUGUAGGUCAAGAUUUUUUAAGAUAAACUUAACGGUUGGACUAAUGGAAGUAUCAACUGAGGAAAAAAAAUAUAAUUUAGAGAUCACUUAAACAAAAAAAAAUUAAAUAUCACUUAUAACAAAAAUAAAAAUAAGUAUCAAAAUAUAUAAAUAUAUAUAAUUUAAACACUUAAAUUAUUUUCCAUGAAUGUUAAGUUUUGGCCUAAUUUAUAUUAGAUUAGGAACAAAAUAAAGUUGAAGAAGAAAGUUUAACCCACCAACUGGCAAGUUUAACCCACCAACCGGCAUAAGCACACCUCAAUUAAUUAAUCUUAUUUAAAAAAUCAAUGUUAGUGGGUGAUUGGUUUUUAUCGCAUGAUAGAGAUUUGUUCUGUUUUUAAAGCUUAAUUGGAGGAAUUCUUGAUUGUAACACCCCUAACCCGUAUCCGUCGCCGAAUUAGGGUUACGAGGCAUUACCGAACAAACACAACUAUUUUUAAAACCAAACUGAUCACAAACAUGAAAAUUUAAUCAUUUUCGCAUAGCUGUUUAUAAUUUACAAUCAAAAUCUAACUAACAUCGUACUCAAACCUAUACAUGCCAUAAGAUCAAGUUCAAAUAUUUAACAAAAUACCAAAAGAAGUCGAUAGUGUGAUAGACUAUGCUGAUGAUCCCUGAGCUCGUAACGCGUCUCUAAAAUCUAUAAAAACAAAUGGACAAAAACAAUCAAAGUAAGCUUUUAUAGCUUAGUAAGUCUAUAGCAUAUCUAAAAAUACAUAUAAAAGAAUCACAUAAUUCUUUAAGUAAAUUUAUUGAAAUCACAAAUAUCAAAUAUAAUUACUAACUAAACAUUGCUAUAUUGAGUCAUUUUGUUUAAAUCUAAAAGAAUGUAUAUUUAACUAAUAUACAUAAACGGACAAAGGUAUAUACAUUAUAUGCAAAUAAUCAAGUUACUAACAUAAUCAUUAACUGCAUAUACUGAUUUCUAAAGUACUUAUUGUUCGCACUUCAUCGGAUCCAUUUAUAUAUAAUUAUUCAAUUACAUAUACCAAAAGCAUAACUUUUAUACUUAUCAACUAUAAGUGCCGAAUGCACAUAUUCACUUAUACCCACCUAUGCCGAAUGCAUACAUAUACACAUUUAAAUAUCCAACAAUUUCAUGACAACUGAUAUAUAUAUACAUACUCACUAAUCACAAAGAUUCGAACGAUUAUAUACUCAUCAAACAUCUUGAAACAAUGUUCAUAUAUUUAUCCAUUUCAUUUAAUUAAAAUCAUAUAUAUAUUUAUACCCAAUGCUUAGAAUCACUUAAUUUAAACAGAUUCACUGGCACUUCACCUUAUAGACUUAUAGUCUAAUUCCGUUCACCGGCACUUAGCCUGCUAGGCCUAUAGCCUGAUUCAGUUCACCGGCACUUAGCCUGCUGGACAUAUAAUCCGAUUCAAUUCACCGGCACUUAGCCUGCUGGACGUAUAGUCCGAUUCAAUUCACCGGCACUUAGCCUGCUAGACGUAUAGUCUGAACAAUUUCACUGGCAAUAAAUCCGAUUGAUACUGAGCUUUAAUAAAAAAAUCUCAAUUCACAGAAGUUGUAUCUCUUAUUUGUAUAUAAAAUCCACAUACAAUUUAGCUCAAUAUUCAUAACUUAUGUCUGUAAAAUACAUGGAUAGAUAUAAAUCCCAAUCAUCAAAUCUAGCUUAAAUAAUUCAAUGAUUCAACCGAAACACAUUUAUGUAUACAUAACCUCAUACUAUAGAUUCCACUUCUAAUACCAUAAAAUUUAACUUAUAAUAUACUAGGUACCUUAAACAUUUGAAUUCCCUAUAUACCUAUAUAGUUUCAUAUACCAUUUCAAUACAAGAUCUUAUACAUGUACAUAUAUGCAUAUUCGAAUCUAACAACCAUAUAUUACUCUAUACUUAUUUUCGAAACAAGAACAUAUACCUAAAUACUCAUACAUAUUCGAAUUUAACAUAUAUAUGUAUAUAUAUAAUUGAAUAUAAUUUCAUACUUAUACUCAAUAUAAUUAUUAUUCAUAAGUACACAUACUUAUUCACUUCAACUUAUACAAAUGUUCAAAUAUAUCUCAUACCUUUGAAAUUUCAUACCUAAAUUCAAUACAACAAAUUUUACAUAUAUAUACAUGUAUAUUCGAAUAUAAUUUAUACAUAUAUGUUCAUAACUAAAUUUAUUACAUGGACAUUCAUAUGCAUAUUUGUAUAUUCAUAGCCAUUCGACUCUAACAUAUAUAUGUAUACAUAAUUUCAUACUUUCAAAUUCCAAAUUUCUUUCUUUUAUACUUUUUAAAUUUAACUCAACACACAUACCAUUGAUAUACAUACUCAUAUGUUGAUUUAAUAAAAUUAAAUAGCUAAUAGACUUACCUCGGAUUUCAGCGGACACGAUCGACUAUUCGAUUACUUUCGUUUUUCCCCGAUCCAAAUUCGUUUUCUUCGUUUCUUGAUCUAAACAUAAUCAAAUUUAACCUUUUUAUUCAUCAAAACAUUCAAUUAAGUCCAAAAAUACAUAAAUGGAAAAAUUACCAUUUUACCCCUAACAUUUUACACUUUUUGCAAUUUAGUCCUUUUUGCACAAAACACAAAAUACACAAAAUUUGCCUACACUACGCUAGGGCCGAAUGUUCCUUGUCUUCAUACAAGUCCACACAUUUCAUUUAUUUCGCAUUUUAGCCUUUCAAAAAUAUUAUUUUGAAAUUUAACCCUAAUUACUCAAUUUCACCAAAAAUUCCAAUACAAAACAUAUUAAUCUAAAACAUAUCUUUCAUUAUUCACUAUCAAACAUCACAAAACACAAUUAUUCAUCAAUGGCAUAGACCAAAAUAUUCAUCAAAAUAAAAAAUUCAAGCAUGGGUCAGAUAGUAUUCGAAGUAGAGCUGCUCAUGGGCCGGGCCAGGCCGGGUUCGGCCCGGGUCCUAGGCCUGGGCCCGGCCCGACCCGAAAUAUGGGUCUAGAAUUUUGCCCAAGCCCGGCCCGGGAAAAAAUUCAUAAGCCCGGGCCCGGCCCGUUUUUUAAAUAAAUACCAAAAUUUUAUUUUAAAAAUUAAAAAAAUUUAUUUUAAAAAUAUUUUAAAAUUAAAAAAGUAUUUUAAAAAUAUUUUAAAAUUAAAAAAAUUUUAAAAAAGUAUUUUAAAAGUAUUUUAAAAUUAAAAAAUAAAAAAAUUUAUUAUAUUCAGGCCGGGCCGGGCCGGGCCCGGGCCAAAAAAGUGGUGCCCGAGGCUCGGCCCGUUUUUUAAUCGGGCCUCAUUUUUUGCCCAAGCCCAUAUUUCGGGUGGGCCGUCGGGCUGGGCCGGGCCGGGCCGCCCGGCCCAUGAGCACCUCUAAUUCGAAGCAACGAUAUCAAAAACGUAAAAAUUAUCAAAAACCGAGCUAAACACAUACCUUAAUCAAGCUUAGACAAAACCGAACCCUAGGAACUCUUUUUCUUUUCUUUUUCUUUUAAGUUUCGGCAAUGGUGAUGAAAAAGAUGAACAAGUGAUGUUUUGUUUUAUUUUUAUUAUCAUUAUUAACAUAAUUACCAAACUAUCCUUAAUGAAAUAAUAUAAAAGCUAAAAAAUGAUAGUCCACUACCGUCCAUACUAUCAUUUAGUGGCCUAAUUUCAUUUUAAGGCCUCCACAUUAAAAGAACAUAGCAAUAUAGCACUUUAACAAAUAGCAAGUCACUUUUAUAAUUUAUGCGAUUAAGUCCAUUUAUAAAAUUAAAUAACCAAUCGGUAAAAUUAAUUUACGAAAAUUUCACACAUGCAUUCUAACAUGCUUUAAACACAUAAAAUAUAAUUAAAAUAUUUUUAGGACUCGGAUUUGUGGUCCCAAAACCACUAUUCCGAUUAGAGUCAAACCGGGUUGUUACAUUGAUGGUGUGUCAUUGACAGAAGGAAUACUUCAUGACAGAAUUUUGAUACAGACCGAUAAUAUGGAUGUUAUUGGGACCAUUAAGGAAUCCUUUUUGAAGGAGUCAAAUUCUGCUUUAAUAAGAUGCAUUAAUCAACUCUUACGGAAGGAGACAAACUAGUCCAUAGAUUAUGUUCCUAGAGAAGACAACAUGGAAGUUGAUCAAAUAUGGAAGUUGAUCAAAUUAUUAAGUUGGCUUUUGAUAGAGAGGAAGUCGGCUAUUUUACAAAAAUAAUACAAAAAAAUAAAAAAAAAUACCUAAAUAUUAUAUCUUUUUUUAUUUACCAAAAUGGUACAAAAAAAAACAGUUAAAAAAAAACCUGAAAGAAGGGCCUGCCACAGGCGGUACCUUUGGUGCCUGUGGCAAAGGCGGCACCAAUUGUUCGUAUUUCGACCCUUUGUUCGUAUUUUUUUUCGGAUUUUAUUAUUUUAAAAAAUAUAAUAUUUUCUAAUUUUAUUAUUUUACAUUAUUUUAGUACAUUAUAUUUGAAAUGUAUUCAUUUAGUAUGUUUUUUAAAUAAAUUUAAAAAAAACCCUUAUUUCGGCCCUUUGUUCGUAUUUUUUCCUGGAUUUUAUUACAUUCAAUAAAAAUAUAUUAUUUUCGUAUUUUAUUAUUUUACAUUGUUUUAGUACAUUAUGUUUGAAAUGUAUUAACUAAUUUUGUUUUUUAAAUAAAUUUAGUAAAAAACCCUUAUUUUGACCAUUUGUUCGUAUUUUUUCCUUAGAUUUUAUUACUUUUAAAAAAUAUACUAUUUUUUAAUUUUAUUAUUUUACAUUAUUUUAGUACAUUACAAUUGAAAUGUAUUCAUUCAGUGUGUUUUUUAAAUAAAUUAAAAAAAAACCCCUUAUUUCGGCCAUUUGUUCAUAUUUUUUCCCCGGAUUUUAUUACUUGCAAUAAAAAACACACUAAAUGAAUACAUUUCAAACAUAAUGUAAUAAAAUAAUGUAAAAUAAUAAAAUUAGAAAGUAGCAUCUUUUUUAAAAGUAAUAAAAUCUGGAAAAAAAAAUACGAACAAAGGGCCGAAAUACGAAAAAUUGGUGCCGCCUCUGCCACAGGCACCAAAGAUACCGCCUGGGGCAGGCCCUUCUUUCAGGUUUUUUUUUAAACUGUUUUUUUUUGUAUCAUUUUGGUAAAUAAAAAAAAGUUAAACUAUUUUGAUUUUUUUUUUGUAUUAUUUUUGUAAAAUACCCGAGGAAGGCUUACAAAUGCAGUUUCUCCUCUAGUUUCUUUUUAGUUCUUUUAUUUAUUUUUGUAACACUUCUUUUAUUCAUAAAAUAAAAAAUCAAUGCUAGGAGCACUUAUAAAUAGGGUUAAUUUCAUUAAAAGUCCUCAAAUUAUAGUUCAUAUUCUAAAUUGAUUUUUAAUUUCAAAUGUUUUACUUGAGUUCUUAAAAUAUCAAUAUUGUAUCAAUCAUACCAUUAUUAGCCUAACCACUAGUUUAGACAUUAAAUGUUGGUUUGGAUUUGAAGUGAAGCAGAUUUUAAACUACCCGAAUCAAAUUGUAAAUACGUUUGUACCUACCAUAUAGGCAACUUAAUUUGAUGUGUUAAAAAAGCAAAUAGUGUAAACCAUUUUCUUAAUAUAUUAGAUCCAAGCUAUUGACACAUGUUUUUAUAAUUUAACCCACGUACUUUAAUUAUGCUCCAUGCUAAAUUUGAGCGGACAUUUAAUAUUUAAAUUAACGGUUAUAUUAUUUAAAAAUGUGAUUAAUAAAAAGUUAGAUAUUUUGGAAACUCUUAUUAAAUUUGAAUACCAAUGUAAAGUUUUGGUGCAAUUUUAUUUUUGUAUUUUGUUUUAUGUUAUAGAUUCAUAUGUUGUUGGAUUUCCUCAUAUUCUAACAAAUCAAUUAAACAAUAAUAUAAACUUUGGAAUGAAGAAACAAAUAUUAUAAAUUAGAAGUAUUCAUGGUUGUCACAUUUAUUUUCCAGACAAAGCAAAUCAAAUAUUUUUGCAUCAUCAUGCAUUUAUUAAAUAAAAGGGUUCAUGAAUAAUGCAUGAAAACUUCCAUUUUUUAUUCAUGAUGUCAAAAAUGGGAUUUCAUGAUUAGAAAUAAAAGAAGAAAAGGAAGAAACAGACCUUUCCUAAGAUAAGCUCAGAUUUGGUCUGGAUUAUGUAGACCAAUAGAAUGAGAUAUGAAGUUAUGAAAUAAAUCCAAAUAUAUUCCAAGAGAAAGGACAUCUUCUUGGAAACCCCUUUCCUACUCUUCCUUCCAUAACCAUGUAGACCAGUCAAUUUUUUUAUAAUAAAAAAUUAAGUCUGCUCAGCUGAUAAUGGGUAAUUUUAGGAUUCGAAUUUGAUCUUAUAAAUAUCUAGGAAAGAAAUUUACUUUCACUUUUUUCAAUCAUUGGUUGAAAUUUAGAGAUUAAUUUUCAGUGUAUGUACUUUUUAAAUAUACGACUAUUUAAUAGUUUUGGGUGAACUGAUGUAAUUUGGUGGAAGAUGUUCUUCGGAUUUCGGAAGUAUCCUCCAUAAAAGAGGCAAACACAUUCAAUCUAAACACGUGCAACAUUCUAAUAAAUUCCAUACAUGUUGACUUUUGAUUACUUACUAUUCCUUAGUUAGAAAGUUUUAAUAUUGACGAGUCAGGGUAAUUGCACCUAUCAAAGAAAUUUAAAAGGCUGUUAAAUGAAUUUCAAUUUGUUAACUAUUACUUACCAAACCUUGUUUUAUAAUUUAAUUUGAUUCUGUAGUCCAAAUAAUCGAGUAUAGUAGUAAUUAGCAAACAAGAAUACUUGUACAACCCAACAAACUAAGGCCAUUCCCAAUGAUCCACAUAUUAAAAUCUUGCCUAUAAUGGAUAAGCAGAAGAAUUUGAACAAUUUGUCCAGCUUUGGAACACUUGGUUAGAACUUAAACUAUAGUUUUUAUUUUGUAUUUUUUACGAGAUGACCAGUCAAAAGCAAACAAGGAGAAUGGGCAUAAAAAUAUUGAACACUCCACUAGGAUUUGAUCUGUAAAAUUAUGCUAAACAUGUUUUUGCUUAAUCCUGGACUAUAUGGGUAAAAAUAGUUGGCAAAAGAAGAAAUGAAACCCCAACAACACAUUACAUUCAUAAUAAUGUAGUCUUAAAACCCCUUAAAACAGAUCUGUCUAAUUAUAUUUUUCUUAAUCACCUAGAUAUUGUAGGUUCUUGAAUGGGAUUUCAACUUUGAUUCAAUCAUGGGCUCAUAAAUAAUAAAGGUAGCCAUGAAAGUUCCCAACUUGAAACUUAUUUAUGUGGCCCUUAAGGGGUCUGAUAGCUUGCAUGGUCAAAAUCUCAGAUCAUGCCCUAUCCAAAUAAAAUGAUUGGUUUUGAAUGGAUUCAUUGUAUACCGAAUGACAAUGAUCCAUGCAUUUAUAACAAGUUUUGUUUUGUGUUGUGUUAUACAUUCAUGUUUUUCGGUUCAUAUCCGUACUAGUACUGGAGAUUAUAUAUAAAGUUGGAUAGCUUUUUAACUAGAAGGUCUUAUUAUCCAUAAUUCUCAAUAUUUUUCAUAUCUAAAACCAAAUGGCGGUAUUCGUUGUAGAUAUAGACAUGGUGCCAAUAAGUGUUGUUAUUUCUAUCUUUUCUCUUACCUAUAAACAUUGAGUAGAGAAAAAUAUUUGAAUACUAUAAUUUAAACAUUACUUGUUGAAUACAAAUAUUAUGAGGAUUUUUGACGCAUAAUAACUUGUGUUGUAUCAUCCGGUGACCACGACGGUGAUUGGAUGAAAGGGAUGGUAAGAGAUAUCCCAAGGGCUUCUAGUGUCCAUGCCGAAUUAUGGGCCUAAAUCUCUUGGAAUUAGUUGUCAUGAGAUCAAACUUGAUGCCACUGCUGUUAUUAAAGCUAACCUUGAUAAUCAAAUGCUCACGAUAUUGAUUCGAGGCUUCUUAUGAAACAUAUGUUUAGAGAAGGAAAUCAAUGUGUUAGGCAGCAACUCUAUGGAACCUCGGACUGCCCAAGUAUUGGAUUUUGGUUUUGUUGUUAACUGCUAUGAACCCUAUUUGUAUUAAAGAUUUGCUACAAUGAGACGUGGUAUAUAUACGUUUUUUUCUCAUUGAAUGUUGGAAUUAUACGAAAUACAUUCAAAUAAAUAUCUAAAACAACGGAGAUCUACUUGGAAUCCCUUUCCUACUCUUCCUCCUGUAAGAAUGUGGAGUUUGAUUAAUUCGAAUCCUCUCACCAUUCAUCUGCAAUAUAAUUUUUAGAUUAAAAUACCGUUAAAUUAAACCUAUUCGAUAUAAAAUUUAUUCAUCAUGUUUGUUGUAUAUGAAAUUAAUGAACUGUUUUUAAACUAUGAUUAUGAGAAAAACUGUGGGUGUUUGUGGAGAGGAACUUACAUGAAGAGUUUGGUGAGAGGGAUGAUGUUCCUUGGAUUCCAAGCAUCCUUCACCCGUACAAUCUAAACAAGACGAUGUAUAUUUAGAGGCAUGGGUCUCACAUAAACUAAACAACUUGGCUUCCAAAGAUGGCAAUACCCCGCUACUUUCAACCUUAUUCUGUUCCUCCAUUCUUAAUUUCUUUAUUUCACAAUUCACAUAUGAAACUCCUCCUAAUAUAUACGUAUUUGUAUUACUCACAUAUAUGAGAAUAAGGAAAUCAUAGUUCUAAGAGAAGUAGGACACAAGUUUUCCAUAUUGUAUUAGGAAUUCCUACUAUUUCCCUUUUUUGUUGGAUGACGAUUUAACUACAUUAAUAACAAAACAAAUUCGAGGGUGACUUUAUGUACUUUUUGUUAUUGCAUAACAUCUGAAAAACAAAAGAGUGAAGUUCAUUAAUACAUCUCUUAUAUUUUUAGUCAAAUAAAUAUAAGUUAGACAAUGCUAAACUUUUGUACCCUUACCCUCAAGCAUUCCCUUCAAAAUUGAACUAAACUAUAACAUGAAAAUUGAGAAUUUCAGUUCAUAGGUGAGGCAAUGGAGGUUGAUUUUGACUUUGGAACAUGGAUUUGCUUUUUAAGUCUGUUCAUUGAUGGGACAAUUGUCGAGAUAAUAAUGGAGGGGUGAUUUGAGGGCUUUGGAAUGUUUGGCUGAAAUUGGUGGAUUUUUAAGGGGUAAUUAAGAAAUGGCCCUAAUUGGUCAUUUUGGUACAACCGCAAGGGACCCUUUGCAGUUGUAGCUGCAGUUUUUCUUUCACCACCUGCAAGAAUUUGCUGAAUGUUAUAUUUUUAAUAAACUGUAUGAACUAGAUAAAUGAAUCAUUGAAUCGUAAAUUGGCAGCAAACUUUAUUCAAAAAACAUUGAAAUUCAAUUUUAUCGUUCAAGAUUUUGAUGUUUGUAUAUGAUACUGUCAAUGUACACUUCUUAAUUUGAACAUCUAAAGAACUGUCAGGAUCUGCCUGCUGAACUUUUUUGUGUAUGAAGAAAGGGUUGGAACUAGGAAGUUGCGAGUCGCUACAAAGACGAAAGGAGCCAAAGGUUGAAGAGAGUUGAAGCAAAGGAUAGAAACCACGACAUGAAAGCCAUAGCUGCAGACAACUGAUAUCUACUGCAUAUCUUUGACGGGCAAUAUGUUGAGCUGACAUUGACCAAGAGACUUGUCACACUAGCAGUUGAGCAAGCCGCGGCUAGUGAGAGAAAUGACAAGGCCUGCAAUCAGAUAAAACACAUGUUUUUACAUCAAAUUAUGAUAAGGGAUAACACCAUGGUGAUGAUAUGCAUAAUAAGCCUUGUAACAUACCCAGUCUCCAACAAUGACAACCAGCAGUACCCUUGGUUGUCGUGGUAAGCCUUUAACGAACACGGAAUAUGCAUCAACCAAUGCUAAUGACACACUCCAUGGAGUCACUAAACCCAUGACUGUCACCAAGUAGCUGCGAAAAAAUUUAAAGGAAAAUUGGAGAUUGAUUUAUCACCCAACAAUUGGUGACCAACAAUGAAAACACAAACAUUCUCUUCUAUAUCAUUAUAUCUAAUGAGCAAUUGAACAUUAUAGUUUGUACCUGCAAUUGAUCGAACAACACCACAGACAAGGCAAGUUUAGACAAUAGAAGACCUUAUCCUAUGGCAAUUUUUUAUCAUUCAAUAGCUUCUGUUACUAGUGCAAGGGCUUUGAAAUUGCAAGAACAGAUACGGUAAAACGGCCACGCCAGUCAUAGCAAAUUGGUACUUAUGGUCUUAUGUUUUUGAAGUACAGAAUAAAGUGGUUAUAUUCAUUGUCUUAAGAUUGAUCCAGAUGGUUUGUGCUGAUCUAUAGAAGUUAGAUAGCAGAUACAGACAAUGCCUCAUUAUCUAGUUUCAUCUUUCCAGAAACAUGCAAAACACGAGGACCCAAGUCAAGGAAUAAAGUUUAAAUGCAAAAGCCAUACAAGACCACUAUCUACUUUUACAAUUCACCUUGUUAACUAUCUUGAUUCCCUUGACAUCAAGCUUAAUCAUCCUUGAUAUUAGCACUUGAUGAGCUAUUUGGUUCCGGCCAUUUUGUUAAUUGCUUAAAUUAAAGCCUUUUUCUUGUACAAAUGCUCCCAACAUUGUGCAUUUUAUACACAAAAAAAGACACAUUUUUUGCAUUUCCAUUCACCUAGUGAAAACUUUUAACAGAGGAAAAGUCCGGAAUCCAGCCUUGGAUAACAAAUAUCAUCAGCAAAUAAAUUAUAUUCUAUGGUCUAGUUCAACAACUAGCCAAGUAACAGGUCAUGUACAUUGAGAAUGGUUUUGAUAACUCUAAUUGUUGAAAGUCCAAAUUCAGUCAUCCAUACAAAAAGCAAUUGAUCUUUGCAUAUCCCUGAAUCAAAAUAGACUCUCAGAUAACUUUACCCUUUCAAUCAUUAAAUGGCACCUUUCCCUGCAGUCAUCCAUAAGCAAGAAGCAAGAUUUCCUGAAAAUGGCUUUUUUUUAAACCUUAAAUUGUUUUGUUUUCAUAAAAAAAAAAAUUCACCUAAUUCAUUUUCUCCCCAAGCCCAAAAGCCCUUCCCUUCAAAUAAUUUCCAUGAAGAUACCAGUGGAACCAGAAGUACUUUUGCUCUCUCCAACAUGGUAAAGCCGCUAUUUUACAUGGCAAAAAGACACACAAAGCUUGCCUAACCUCAAUCCAAAUCCUUAAAGACCAAUCACUAAAAUGAUCACGAUUGUGAUAGUUUUUCCCUGGAGGUUCCCAAAGUAACACCAGAACCAGCUAUUAAAAGUUGACAACGAAUUGAAUUCCGAGCAAAUAUCAGAAACAAAGAGGCAUGGGUAUUGAAGAUUAAAAGCCAAAGAGAGGAAGAAAGAUAAAAUAUGACCAAAUAAAUGGAAGAAUCUUAAAACGUUGACAGUUACCUGAAAGAAGUAUAGCUAUAGAAUUCAACAUCCAAACACAUAAAGAGAAGUGAAGCAGCGGAGAAAACAGUUUGUCCCAAACGAAGAGCCAAGCUGGCGCUUGUUCCCAACGCCCCUGGCACUGCUUCCAUCGUCCCUCAUGUCAUCUUAUCUCUCUGUUUCUUCAUCUUCAGUGUAUUCCCCUAAAACCCAAUAAAAAAGCAGAGGCCAAACACUAGGAGAAGGGAUUGAAGGGAUUGAAACAAUAGAAUUAGAGUAAAAAAGAAAAAGAGAGAAACAGUGGAGUCCUAGGAAUAGGAUGAAGAAAUGGAAAGAGAGGAAAAAGAGGAGAUGGGUAGGGUGAAUGAUGAAGGAUGAAGGAGGAGGAGGAGGCCAAGUUGUUGUAAUGGCGCUUUUGGGUCAAUGUCAAUUCUCUCUCUCAUUCUUAAUUUUACAAAUGGACUGUCCCUCUUUUCUCCAUUUUUGAUUCUUGUAAGUGGAUUCCCGGGGGUUGUCCACUCUUUUGACGAUGUAAAUAAUAAUGUGUCAUUCCUUCACGUAUAUACUACCAAGACACUGUUGAGUUGAAGCUACUAUAUUUUAUUUCUGAAAUGCAAAUGAAAUUCAAAUUGGUGAAAUAUUUAGAAAUUAAACAUUGAAUAAUUGGAACCAUACAAAGUUGAUUGCCGGGCCAAGACAAUUGGAACCCCACAAAAUGGUAUUUAAGAGAGAACAAAUUCCAUUUCUAAAGACGUGGUUCAUCUAUCCUACAGUUUGGAACACCCAUGAUUCAAUCAUUUCCAACCCAAUGUUUAUAAUAUUACUUGUCUAUCUGCUUCUGCUUUUUCAACACUUCCCUCUAAAUUAUACGACUUUCUCUAUUUCUUAUCUGUAUUUAUCAAAACACUACGGCAUCAGUUGACUUGUCAUUUUAGGCACCAAAUGCAAGGAAACUAUAAGUUUAUUCACACAAAACACUAUUUUGAUGAAUUCAAAAUUGUCUACACUUAGAUCAUCUUUCUUUUUCCAGAUUAUUAUUAUUAUUUAUAAAAUUAUCAUUUAAUAAAUAAAUUUCAUAUUUGAAAAUGAAAAAAAUAUAUAUUCAUUUAUUUAUAAAUAUUUUUAUAAUUUUCUACAUAUUUUUACCAAAAAUUAAACUUUUAAAUAUUUUGUUUUAUGUUUUUCUAAUUUCUAAAUUUUAUUUUUUAAAGAAUCAAGGCUAAAUUCACAAAAUGUAUAAAAUUGAGGGUUAAUUUAUUAUUAUGUAAAAAAAAAAGACCACCACUAAUGAGUUAACAAAGGGAUGACCAAAAUAUUAAAUUUUAAACUUAAAAUAACUAAAAUAAAAAUACACUAACAAUUUUGUAGUUUACCUAUAAACAUUUUCUGAAAUUGAAAAGAUAACCUUUUCUAGUUUCAGCCUUUUAUCAGACUUGUUGAAGAUGCUAAGAGGAGUAGUUUUAUUUGGUAUUAUUAUGUGGGUGGUACACUCAUUGAUUUAUUUAGUUAUUUCUUUGGCAAGUGAAGAGUUUGGGAGAGUAAAUUGGACAACAUUUAGGGUGUCAUUAUUCAUUUGAGUGCCAGCAUACUAGACUUAAAUCAAUAGUUGUAUAGAAAAUACUGUUUAAUGAAUUCAUUCUCUAAUCUAGACUCUUAAAAGUAGAAUUGUUUAAUCUAAAUUCGCCUCUUAAGUAAGGAUACCCAGAAGAAAAAGGUCAAGUGAAUCGUUAGGGUGUAUAUGAUUAACUUAUAGUUACUAAUAAAACAAAUAAUUUUAUAUCUCAAGUUCACGAGACAGAAAGAAUUGUAGUGAAAAAGUUUCACUAACAAUUUGGAUGGAAUGAAAUAAUUAUUUCAACUCUAUCCAAACAUCUAUAUAUAAUGUACAAAUAAAUACACAAGUGUCUUUUUGAAAAGUCUUUAAAAAUUUAUCAAAUAAACAAGAUUAUUCGGAUUUAAAAUCAAUAAAUAAACAUAUGUUUUUGACUUAAGGCACCAACUGGGACAUCAUUAACAUCUUUUCUUUCUCCUUUCAUGAUUGCAAAAAUAUAUGCAUAUCACAUAUAUAAAUAUAUAUUAUAUAACUAUGUAUCAAUCAUAACUAUGCAUGUAAAAUAUCAUGUAUAUAAUAAACUAACUUUUGAUUUUCAUAAAACAUUAAUGCAUUAGACAUUAUACUUUUAAAUCAAAUUCAAGCAACAUGAAUAAAAUGAUAAAUUUGACAUACAUGUCCUCGCGAUAAAGGUUUCUUCUAAAUCAAUUUUUGAUAAGAUUAUUGACCUUGAUGCAUUUACAUUUGUCAAUAGCCAUCCUUUUAGUAUCAUGCUUGUAGUGUCGUGUAAAUAAAUACGCCUUCAUUAAUAUCUGAUAAGUUUUCCAAAAAAAAAAAUCUUAAAAUUGUUGGCGUGUGGAGAUAAAAUAAUCUUAUUAGAAAUUAACCGAAGGCUUCAAGGCUUGUAACCAUGCCACUAUUUUUAAGGAUGAAGGAUAAUAAAAAGAAACUUUUGAAGUUGUUCUUUAUAGAACAAUCUAAGAAUAUUAGAAGAUGAAGGAGAAUAAAAGAAACUUUUGUUUUUCAACUUUUGAUGUGAUUUUGGUGUUACAUACAAAUGAAAUUUCACUCCUAUUUAUAUGACAUAACUUUUGAUAUUUAAGUGACAUACAUUAUCACUAUAAAUAGUGACAACUCUUGAUCAAUAAUCAAGUGAUACAACUCUUGAUUACUUAUAACUUUGGCAUAAUGACUUCUUUAACCUUUCAACUUUACAAAAAAAAAUCAUUUUAGCCAUCCAUUUUUUUUUGUUCGUUUUAGCAUUUGAACUUGUAUUUUUUGUCACAUCACCUCAAAAUGGAUGGAAAAUUUAAUGUUUGUUAACUCUAUUGAUGCGGCAUACAUGUAGAUAGCCAUGUAAAUGACAUGUCAACAUUUAAUUAAUUUUUUAAAAUUUAAAAUUAUUAAAAAUAUAAUUUUAAUGAUUUUAAUUUUAAAAAAUAGUUUUAUAUUUUUAAAAUUUUAAAAAUUAAUUAAAUGAUGAUAUGUCAUCCACGUGGCAAUUCACAUAUAACAUUAGCAAAAUUUUUAAAAAAAAUUGACUUUUCCAUUCAUUUUGGGGUGAUUUAAUAAAAAAUACAAGUUUAAGGGCUAAAAAGGCAAAAAAAUAAAUGAAGAGCUAAAAUAGCUUCUUUUUUUGUAAAGUUAAAGGGUCAAAUAAGUCAUUAUGCCUAUAACUUUUCAUUUACAACUAUUAAAACCCUAUAUUAGAAAUGUUACUACAAAUAUUUCUCCUACAUGUGAAAGACCUACAAAAUUAAUGAUAUCUUAAGUUAAGAAGCUGAAACUAGAGUUAAUGAAAUUUCAACCCUAAAAACUCUAGUCUUUUAAUUUCCUAUAGGUAAAGUGUAGUAAAAUCCUGAAGUUACUCUAGGAUUUCAUAUCUUUUAUCUACUCCAAAAACCAUACUUGUGUCUUUUAAUCAAUGACAAAACAAACCCAACAAUUUUAUCCAAUCAUUAGGAUGGGUUUAUACAUGUUUAAUUAUGUUGUAAUUCCUAUAAAUUAUUAUACAACAAUAAAAGUUAUUUUGAAGCGUUCGAUAGCAUCAAGGUAAUUGUUCACCUUAAUCCGAUCGCGUUUGAUUGUUUGCUGAUGUAAUGGCUUGCUUUGGUGGCUAUUGCUCAUUCCUAUGGCUUUGAAUCCUCCUUUUCGUGUUUAGUAAUGGAGGCCUGAUUGAAGUGUAGGUUUUUCCUGAGCAGUUCAACUCGGACUUUAGAUUGAUCGGCUUUGGGGUGAACUGUGACUCUCGUUCAAGUGUACUAAGAUUGUUGAAAGCUUUGGCUCAUUUGGAGCUAUUGCUCUUGUUGCAUGUAAACCUAUUGGAAAAACAUUUGUUAAGGACCCUUCAGCUGUAUCAAGCCCUUUCUCAAGAAUCGUAAGAGAUUUCAUAGCAGCCACACUUGGUUUUGAUUUUGCCCAGGCCCUGUUUUCACGAUCCACAUUGGGGAGAGUUGUACAAGUAUUUCAUCUUCUAAAUGUUUAUUAACUACUGGAUUAUUAUCUACUUCUUUAGGGAUUUUGAAGAAGAUCGUGAUGUUGAAGUACUUGAAGCCACGGUUUUACCACCACUUGCACGGAAGAACCAAGGCCGUUUAUUGAUGAUUUACAUUCAAACUCCUUAAUGAGAGUGAGAUUAUUUAGUUUCCAGGAUUCCCAGUGCUUUGAUCAAAAGUAACAGGGGUUUGUAGUAGAAGCUUAGAAAAUUAUUAUAAGAAGCCAACAUAGUAACAUACAAAGAAGAUAAGGGUUUCUCAGUGGAUUACUGCAAAGUUUAGCAACACUUGUUUAAAAAUUACAAAACCUCAGCCGAGAAUAAACAAAUUCAUACAAGACUUGUUUAUGAAUCAAGCUGAGCAUACCAGACACCAGUGAUCUUGACAUCCUUUGGAGUCUUGGCACCCAAGUCAGUGUCAGAUGGCUGAAGGCUCUCGAACACACCGAUAACUUCACCGGUCUCCGGCUUGCUCUUUGUGACGCUCAAGGUGAUUUUCCCUGAUGAAGAUGCAGCACUCUUGUUGUUCUCCUUGGCUAGCUCUUCCUCAUCCCCUCUUCCUCCAGCAGGCAAGGCCACUGCAUUAUCGUACCCGGUUGAGCCACCCCUUCCCUUUGGGUCCAAGAAAGAUGAGCCACGGUAGGAUGGUACAAGGAAGUCUCCUCCAAAGCUAUCAGGUUUGCCUGAUGCAACCAAUUGCUUGAUGGUGAACAGGAAAGGCACACGCUCACCACCAGGAAGCUGAACUGUGACGGCAGCAUAAUCAAUCCCAUCUUUCUCCUCGAAUUUGACGGUGCCAUCGGUGGAUACCUCGAAAGGGCCCUCGAUUUCGUCAAGGGUGUAGGUUAAACGGGUCAUGAGCUUGGUGUUUUGGAACUCAGGAGGGGCAUUCUUGUUAACACCCUCAGCCUUGACAGUGAAGGAAGUGGGCUCCAAGCAGAACUUCUUGGCGUAGUAUUUGCCAGGCUUGAAGGCAAAAGAGUCGACACCACCAUCGAUGGUUGGGCACUGGUUAGCAGUUCCUGUUCCUUUGACUUCCAUGUAUGUCUUGCUUUGGAUUUCAUCGUAGGUUAGCCGCUUUGGAACUCCUUCAGCGCUUGCUCCCUUCAAAACAAACCAGUCAUUGUAACAUAUUUGUUCAGAUCACGGAUCAUAUAUGAUCCUUAUGUAUGCAAUCAACGAUACUUGGUUCAAAUAAAAAAUCCAAAUGAUAAAGUUACAACACCAUGCAAGCUCAUUAAGAAUCCUACCUAAGCUACAUAAAAAUAAAUACAGAAAUUUGAAGCAAGUGAGAGGCGAGAAGUAAAUACCGAGACAACAAGAGCAGAUGUAGCAAGAGCGAAACCAGCGAGCUUGGUAGCAUCAACACACUUCUGAGCCAAGUCCUUGAGGUCAGUUUGCAAAGAGCAGGUGAGCCUAGCACCAACAGGCUCCAAACCGAAGGCCUUAGAAACGCUCUGGGAGGACCUGAGCAGCACAUUGGUCCUUGAUGGUGCAGCAACCUUGAUUGGUUGCAUCAGGGUAGCUGCAGCUUGAAGUGAGACCGACAUUGUUACGAACUAUUGGAAAACAAAGAAGAGAGAGUUGUUUUAGUGAGAGCGUAGGGGAAAUUUAGGGGCCAAUUAUGUUGGUGGCAAUGGUGAGAGUAAAGAUAAGGGGAUAGGAUAUGGGAAGUUCCCAUUGGUGGAUGAAGGUAAUGUGUUUGGUUUCAGGGUAUGACACGUGGAGAUUUUGUGAAAUGGGAUAAAAAUGGGUGUUAGUCAGAGUGGAUGAUGUGAGGGACUACAGAUUUUCUUAAAGUUAGUUCUGCCAUACAAAUUCCGGUGGUUGCCCUUCCUCCACUGGGGCCAUCAUGCUCAGAGAGUACUUUGAGUUGGAAAUCAUUUGGUUAACAUAUGCUGUUACUCCCUAUAUUUUGAUACAAUUUGAGAUUUAGUCUUUGUACUUAAAAAAUUUUAAAAAUUAAAUCCUACUUUUUUUUCUUAAAAAUCUCAGUGCAAUCAUCAAAAUCACAAGUACUUUCUGUCAAAAUAUUUUAAUUUUUCGUAAGUAUUUUUUUGUCAAAUUUUGUUAACUUGAAAUUCUAAUUAGGUUUUUCUCAUAUGAUUGAUAGAAAAUAAAUAUAUUAAGUCGACAAAUUUUGAUAGAAACUACCAACAAAGAUAAUAAUUGAACUAGGAUUUUUAAAUUGAAAAAUUAGAAUGAUUGAUUUUUUUUACAUUUUAAGUAUAGGGACAAAAUUUUAAAUCCUACACAAGUACAGGGACCAAAUAAAUUUCAUCAGCUUCUGUCGUGUUUGGGUUCCGACUGGGAUGUAAAAAGUGUCCAAAGUAGCAAGCCCAACCCAAACUAGAAGAGAAGUAAAAUCAUAAAAUAAUGAUAAUGGCCCAUCCAGGAAAUUCGCGUUAUUAGCACGACGCUCUAACCAGCUGAGCUAAUAGGCCUUGAUGGCAAAUGAGAUUUUAUUAUAUAAAUCAAGAGGCUACAGGAUUUCGUAUAACAGUUCAAUAAUUCAUACACGUGGAAAGACAGAUUCGUCAUUGACGAUUAUCAACGAGAAUUGACAGUGUUUGUGGGAAAACCAGUCUAAAAUAACCAACCCCUUUCUUUAUUCCUCUGCUUAAUUUAUUCAUAUAUUAGCCCUAUCAUUUCUCUUAAGGCAGCACCCUCUGACAUCUGGCAUGCAUCCACAGCAUUUAUGAAGAUUGCUGGUUACCUGCAAAACAAAACUUUAAAGUUGUUUCAUAUUCAUAUUCAACCAAAAACAUCAAGCUUGGCUUUUUUGUCCCUAGCUCGCUUAUCAUGAUCAUCAUCUUUCCUUUCGCUUUUUCGAAACAACAGGUUUAAAUGUCAACAAAUAAAAAUACCCAUUUUCCCAAUAUGUUGUAGUUGGGUAUUGAAGUAAAGAUUAGACGACCUCAAAGAGCAACUAAAACUAUGACAAGUAACCUCAUACACCAAAAAGUCAAAGAAAAACUAUAACCUGAAACUGGGGUUGCAGGUUGCUGAUUAUUGUUGUUGUUUGUCGCAUUAGUUGUGGAUGGGAUGACAACGCCAGGCCAUGAUCGGCACAUGCAGUGUUUUCCCACAUCUAUGCUGGCAUAGAGGGUGGAUAGAUGUUUCCCACAACCACCCCAAGUGUACUUUCCACAUUGCCUGCAAUCCACCCUGUAACAUAUUCUUUAGGAAUUUCUUCGCUGGCAAGAUUUUUAAAUCUUGUACUGAUAUUUGAUGUUGCUUCACAUCUCUUUAUCCUUCUCCUUUUUCAGUCUUUAUAAUGAAACCUUUGCUUUGAUGUAAUCGAACACAUUGUUGCAUAAUUAGCUAAAUAGUAAAAUAGAAACUUUGCCUGCUUAUCUUCUUGUUUGUAUCGCUUUGCCUAGUUAUAUUCCUGUCGUCCUAUUCACUCGCAACUAUCCUUUCCGCCCCUGUUUUCAUAAUAAUAAUAAUAAUUGUUGAUAGAUAUGUCAAUGCAUUAAAAAAGGUUGGCACUGUUUAAGAUUCACCAAUAGCAACAUAAAAGGAUAAAUGCAUGUGGCAAUACAAAAAUUCCAAUCAGGCUUUUAAAAGUAGGGAAAUGAUUAUAUCUAACCAUUGAUGUACCGCAAUUACAUAUUAGAUACACUACUAGAUGAGAGCUUUGCACGAAAAUGGUAAGAGUUUUUCAGAAGCAUAUUACAGCAGAAUAUAUCAAUUAUGAAUACAGGCAACCAAAACUGUAGUUUGCUACUACAGAUGGUAAGCUUCAACGGCAGACCCCGAUAACUACUAGUUAGGCAUUAUCAAAAUCUAGGACCCAAAAUCAGGAGGCACUGAUGCCGCCUCCCUCAGAUUAUGGGUCAAUUGUAGGUUUCUUUAUUGAGCUCGAUUCUACGGCACCUGCACUCAUCAAAACACGCUUCACUCCUCUUCCUACGAUGCCAAGACGAGUGACCGCCAUGGCCCCAUUUGUAUGAGCAGUGGAAACAGUUGGAGAGUCAAAAUGAUCUACGUUGCUGUUAGCAGGAGACAUAUGUGAAGAGUUCACUGCAGCAGGAGAUGCAUUAUUCUCACCGCCCCUUGACUUGCCAGAUGCCAUUCCCUGGAUUUCUGCAAUAAUUGACUUUGGGUCGGAGAUCAGCUGCUCUAGAUCUUCAAGCUACAAAUAUGAAAAUAGACAGAAUAAUAAAGUAUGUUUUACAUCAUUAUUAUUUAGUUCAAAUAGAUCAUCAAAAUUGCACUUGCCUUCUUUUCCAGGUCUUCAGCAAGUCCAACAAGAUUGUCAAUUUCUGAUUCUUUAUCUUUGACAGAUAGAACAGUCGGAGAGCCCUUAGACAGUUGUUCACCGUCACCCAAUUCAGAGGCAGCUGAAGAUGAUGCUAAUCCAGUGGAAAUCAUUAUCUCAUUCGUGAGCAGUUGCACCCGAGACUUGCAAACUGAGAUGGCCUUCUGACCGUAUGGAAUUGCUUCUUUGGGGUUUGAGCCAAUCUCCAAACACGUACAAAUCCGAAAAUUCCUAAAUUAUAGAGUUAAGCAGCAAAUAUAAAAACUAAAUGACAUUGAAGGGUUGACUUAAGGAGAUCCACAUUUCUUCAACUGACCAAGAUACCGCAUUAUUUAAUUGAACCUGGGACAAUCGAAGAAACAAAGAUAUUUCAACCUUAACAAGGAUACUGUUCAGCUAUUUGCCGGUGAUCUGGUUCAACCAGCUGUUGCAAAAUGGAUAGAGCUUUCUGGUAAUUGCCAAGUGAAGAUUCAAUGUCCUCUAAAGAAGCAUAACAGGAAAAAACAUGGAUGCUUCAAUAAAAACUGGUAAAGAGGGUUCCUCCCCCCCACCUCAACAAAGCAUACACAAGCUACAACGAGCAGUCAAGUACUGACCCCUUUCCAAGUCAACUUCAGCCAAUGCAGAUAAAAUAUCCACUUUCUCCAUGGUGUCACCCAACUGCUGUUUUUCAGCAAUUGCCCUCGCAGUAUCUAGCAUUUUCCAUGCCAAAUCCAAAUCCAAUUCCGAUUCAUCCAUGUCCUCAUUUGCUUCAGCUUCAAUCACAUCAUCAGUGUCGCUAUCGUCACUAUCCUGUCUUUUUCACCUGAAACACAGAACGAAAUCCAACUGAAUGUGUAAAAGAACAGUUAACAAUUUAGUUUAUGAACUAUAACAUUGAUCGUGGAGCAGCUGUUAUGCACAAUUCACAACAAUGUGAACGAAAAUGAAAGAGAUUCAACUACACUGCUCAAUUCAACUAGAGGUAAAUAAUCCCCUCAGAAUACAUACUGCCAUCCUGUUCCGAAUUGCUUCAUACAGAAGCAACUGAAGAUUCCCGAGUUACAGCACUUUUGGUCGGCCCCUCUUUGUUCGAGUCUUGCAGAAUCUCACCAUCCUUUUCCGGAACAGAAACCAGAGGACCAGUCUCCUCUUGAGCCUUGCACAGCAAUGCGCGUCCAUACAGAUAGUACACGUUGAGACAUGCGACUGCAAGUUCACCGUGAUGCAAACCCCUAGUAUGAAAAAACCUUAAAUGGUUAAAUGUAACUUCAACUACAAAUGGCAAUUCACUAAACCUCUGUUUGAUGGGUUUUUUCCCCUAAUUGCACUUUGAAACUAUCUUAAUUACUUCACAUAACAUAAAUUAUAAUAAUGCAAGUUAAUGAAAAAAGUUAAAAUUUUUAUUUUUCUUAAAAGAAAGGGAAAAAAAAAGGGGGUAAAACCAAACCCUGAAUCAUAGAUUUAGUUUAUUUCCUCAUAAAUUAAAUAAAAAAUGGAAAAGAGAUCAGAUGAAGCAGAAAGCACAAGGUUUAAACCUGAUUUCAAGGGCACGGCGAAAAAAAUGGGCAGCUUGGGUGAAAUCGUUUUCUUUAAAAGCCUUGGAUCCUUUCUCCGUCAACUCAUCUGCCAACUCCAGCGCCUUCGCUCGGCCAAUAUCCGGAGCAAUUCCACAGCUUUCAGUGUUGUUCUCAUUAUUGCAUGUAGACUCGGUACCUCCACGAACCGCAGAUUCGAUAGUGGCUUCUUUUGAACCUUGCACUUCUAGGGUUUCCACCUUUUUCGGUUCUGGGGUUGGCUCCGUCAUCGUCACCGGACACCGCCGUAACUUCUUCUUCAGCCAUCACUUUUUUGCUUUAAUAUUUACCGAAAAAUACAAAAGUAUGGAUAACCGAAAACAGGUCUUAGGCUUUCUCUUGCCCGCCUUCCAGAAAUCCUUUCUGGCGGAAAAUCGAGGUUUGAAAGGAAAGACUGAAACCUUGAACGACAAGCUUUGAAGGAGAGAAGUGGAGGAAGGGUACUUUCGUAAUUGAAAGGAAAAAGGUUUCUUUUUUGUCAAAUUAUUAUCAGUGUCAGACGAUUCUGUCAUUUUGAUUUCGAAAGGUAAGGCUCUGAGGAAAUGAAAGCAAAAAAUGGCUUCCACAACUCUUUCUCUCAGUCCGCUGUAUGUUUUUAUAUAUAAUAUAAUGCUUGCUGGAAUUAUAGAAUCUUGUUGAUGGCAUAUAUUUAAGAUGAUAAAAGGGAGCUGAUAAGAUAACAAUCUUCCAAACAAAACGAUUAUAGUAUUGUAAUCACUUUACUAAUCGAAUUAAAACACUUUCUGGGUUUCAACAUUGAUUAACAUUUUACGAAAAGAAAAGAAAAUUUUUAUAGGAUGAAUAGUAUUCACAAAGCAGUUGUUGUUCAGGUCUCAUCAUUCUCGCCGAGAUGAAUUACCCAACAAGCUGUUUGUUGAAGGUGAGCUCUGUCCACUUGACCAAUGAUCUUGUACUGAUAUAGGAGACCUAUUUUUUACUUCUUCUAAUGAGGUGGUUAAACAUUCUCCUUCCCUUUGCUUCAACUUCAUCAGUCUCCGGCUUCCCACAUCGGACAUCUUUGUUGACUUGUUGAAUGAUUUCUCACUUUCUUCAUCUGAGGAAGCUGCAGGAGACUCUAUGCACAUGCCUGGAACCCAAGCGCUGAGUCUGAUGUGUUCUAGCUCUUCCGCGACUUCGAUCAUGGUUGGCCUCAUGUCCCGAUGAGGAGCGAGGCAUCUAAAUGCUAGCUCAGCCACAUUAUGAAUUGAUGAAAGUGUCCAAGCAUCUCUAUGUGGAUCAAGGUAUGGAUCAAUUAUCUCAUCCACGCAGCCUCUUCCUAUCCUAUCGAUAGCAAGUGCAGCUAAGUUUACCUCAUUAUGAGCGCGUGAAAAGUCAACCACUUUCAGCGCAGUUAUUAUCUCCACAAGAACCACCCCAAAACUGUAUACAUCACUUUUAUCUGAAAGAUGGAAGUAUUGAUGGUAUUGAGGAUCAAGAUACCCUGGUGUUCCUUGAGGGGCAGUUGAGAUGUGGGAUGAUUCAGCCAUCCCAAGCCUGGAAAGACCAAAAUCAGCUACCUUUGAUCUAUAGUUGUAAUCCAAGAGAAUAUUGCUAGACUUAAUAUCUCGGUGAAAAAUAGGCGGAUUCACGGAGUGAAGAUAGGCAAUAGCCUUAGCAGUUUCAGCAGCUAUGGUGAGCCUUACUGUCCAUGGAAGUCCUGAACCCCUCUCUCUUUGUAGAUGCUGUGAUAAAGUUCCAUUAGGCAUAAACUCAUAGACCAGCAUAGGUUCACCCUCCUCCAUGCAGCAACCUAAGAGGCGAACAAGAUUUGGGUGACUGACCGAGGAAAGGAGCUUAAUCUCAUUCAUUACUUGGUCAAUACUAUCAGGAUCUCUAUAUCUGAACCUUUUUAUGGCAACCCAGUCAUCGCUGUGGAGUUUCCCUGCAUAAACUGUACCAUAGGCUCCAGUUCCCAGUCUCUGUUUAUCACAGAAGCCAUUAGUAGCUCUUUCAAUUUCUCUAUAGGCAUAGCAAGGAACACUUGAAUUGCCUGCGGCUUCGGAUAUAAGGCGCUUUGCACUCAUCUGUUUGUUGAUGUUAUUAGAACGCCUUCGCAAAUAGAAACAUACAAGAGCCACAAUACCCAUUAGCAAUGCCCCACCAACAAGCCCUAAGAAAUUAAACAAACAACGUGGUCCAUUAGUUACUUAGAGAAGAGAACACAGAAUCUGUAAGAGGGAUGGAUGAUGAACACAUUAAUACAAUUAUUUUGAAUUACAGCCAAAUUACCUCCAACCAGAACACCAACUCUUGUAGUUCCCCCGCAAUUGCCAGAAAUGUAUUUUGAAGCAUUGCAGCUAGGCACUGAUUAAUGUUGCAUUCAGAAACAUAUUGUCAAAAACUAUAGGCAUGAAACCGAUAAAAUAUGCAAAAGUCGACUUUCCAAUAGACAAGCACCGAUCAGAAUCAAGAAGACAUUUGUGUAUUUGUUGCUAAAAUAUUUUCAUAAAUGUAGUGCAUAGUUGAUAGGAAGAUCCUUCCAACAAGUUGGUUUACCAAAGAAGUUAAAUUUCGGCCAUAUUUCCUAAAUUACAAAUCUUUAUAUUUUAGGAGGUAUGAAUUACCAUAUCCAAAUCUACUUUUAUGCAUGCCCUUAACUUCCACGAGGGAGCCAAGUCAAAUAUCAGACAAAGAUGUAAGGCAGAACAGUACAUUGUGCCCAAGAAUGGAAAACUCCAUUAGUUUUACCAAGUCAACAACGCUGUUUUUUGUUGACGUUGACCUCAUUGUUGCCUUUCUUGAAGAGGCUUAGAAUUAUGGAUUAUGAUGAAGGUGAGCGAUCAGUUGGCCCUCACAGCCAAUUUUAGCCACCAUUGAGGUUGAACAUUCAUGACACGCAUUACCGGUAAAAAUAAGUUUCAUCCUUUUGGUGCAAUUCAACCACUAAAUAAGAUGCAACUUUACAAGCAGAAACUCUUGAUCUUGGUUCGUAGUAAUGCCAAAAUUUGAUGAACCAUAGUGCAAAAGCAUCAAAUUGUAUAUGAUUUCACCAAGAGAUCAACUCCUACAAUUCUACGCCAUUUUCUUUUCAAAUGUAGUUAAACUGUUAAAGCUACCAUUUCUAGAGAAACAUUACUAGUCAAGAAUCCCACAAUAAUUUUGCUCUAAAAUCCAAGUCAAAAAAAAAAAAAAAACAAACCCGACAAAAUAAAAUAACAAGUAAAACAAAAUCUUAGACUUGGAAGCGUUGACUAACCUCUCCGGCAACCACCGCCUUCUUUGAAUCCAUCUCCUUCAAACCCUUCCUUGCAAAAACACUUACACCCCACCGUCUUGUUACCAUUCUUGACGUCCGUACGGUUAGCGUUUGGGUCGCAAUUACAGUCUUUAACCCACCAUUCCAAUUUAACUCGUUCCAAAUCCACAGAGACCGCUGAGUUCCUCGCCGGGUCAACUACAAUAGCGGUCGAGGAAAACAAGAAACGGCACUGCGUUUUAUUAACUUCCUCGAAACUCAACAGCCGGACGCCGUCACCACCGCUGGAGAAACAGCUUAUGUUGUCACUCCUAGCAGCGCAAGGGCCAGCUUGAAACGACCUUUCUAGAAACAUUGGCCUGAUUUCACAAGGACCUGGUAAGGGGUUGGAACAGUUUUGGAGAAGGAGAGUGUUGUCCACCGAGAGCGCGUAGUUCUCACCGGAGAGAACGGCGAGUGAAGCAAGCGGUCGGUAGCAUUUGGCGGGCAGGUCGAUGAUGAUGUCGUUGGAAGUUAUGUUGAGGACAUGGAAUUCUCCAAUUCCGACCCCGGUCGAGUUGCAGUUGAGUUGGAUGGGGCAACCCGGUGUGAACCCGAAUGGAAAGGGUAUGGGGCUUGAGAAAUUGCUGGUUUCGCAGGAGCCUUGGCACUUGUUGUUCUCCGAGUUAACUGAGUUUGCUCGGUAGAUAACAAAAAGAAAUGUUAUGGUUAUUGAGAAGGGUAAUUUUGCAUAGCACGACAUCAUUUUCGAUUCUCAAAGAACAAAACAGAGCAACAUCAGCUUCCUACAAAAAAGAAAAACAAGCUUGAAUAAGAGGAACAGAGUAAAAAGUAAAAUAUGUAGGUAUUGAAAAAAAAAGAGGGAGUUAUUGAAGGGGGGGGAGGGAGUUAAAGCAGAUCGAUUGAUGGCGUUGGGAAGUCCAUCAAAACUCAAUAAAUGCUAAUACAAAGAAAGGUCAAUGCAUUGUAAAUUCGGGAAAUUUCUUUCAAAAAGGAAAUUUUUAAUGAAUGGGCUUGGUUUAGUUGAGAAUAUUUAUGAGCUUACCUUGUUAUUGUUUCUUCUUCAAUGGCUGCAACAAUUGCCUCUUCUUUAUUCCAAUAACAGAGCUUCAAAUAAAUAUCUGAGCUUUGCUAACGCUUCUUUAGAAGUACUUUGAUUUUGGGUUUUUGGUUUUCAUUUCAAAUCAAACAAGAAAAAAAAAAAGAGAGAAUUUUGGAGAAGAAGAGGAAAUGGGAAAUGAGUUGAAAGUUUUUAAAUAUAACACAGAAAGAGUUGUUAAAACUCCAUUGACAAGUGUAUAGUGAAUUAAUUAUUAUGAAAUAACUGUUUUACCCUUUUAAGUUCGGGAGCUGAGGGAAAUGAUUAGACGGAAAUGUCCUUCGAAAAGUAGGUUAAAUUACGGAGAUAGACCAAACCAGAUAUUAUAUUGUGGGUCAGCACCGCACACAAUAAAAAAGAGGGUUUCGAGUUUUGACUAAUAACAUAGAUAUAUAUAUUUUUUAAUAAAUUUAAAUACAAGUAUAAAAACAAUAAUAUUUUAGCAAAUUUUAAAUUGUAUUUUUUAUUUAAUUAAUUUUUAAUUUUAAUUCAUCGAUUAUGUUUUAUUUAUGAUUUAUAUUAUAAACAUUGACGUAGAAUCUUGAAUUUUAAUCCUAUAAAUAAAAACAUAACUCUUAAAACAAUUUUUUUCAAUUAAAAUCCAAUGAAAUUAGUCAACGAGGGCUUAGUAUCAUCAACAAAUGGCGAGACUCUAGGUUUUAAGUGUCUAGAUUCGAAUCUUAUUAUGCACAAUUGUCAUGUGUAAGUAUCUCAAUCUUAACAUGUGUAGUUUUUAUAAGUGGAUUUUGUUAUAUUAUAUUUUGAUUUUUUAUGCAUUUGUAAUUGUAUUGGUUUGAUUAUACACUUCAACUUAGGUUAGUUUUUCUCUGUUUUUCUUAUUUUUAAAUCAUUUUUGUAUUUGGGUGGGUUGGCUUUUUUUUUAUGGUUUGAAACCAUUAAUUUGAGCUAAAGAACAGUUCUACCAGUUCAGAAUUUGUUGGUCAACCCUAAUUCUGAGUUGCUCACUCUAAAACCAAUCUAACCCCUUUAACUAAAUUAAUAUAUUAGUUAAUUCUUGAUUCAAUUCAGUUUUGACAAUAUUACUUUAGGUGCCAACAAGAGGUUUAAUCACGGCUCCCUUACAUAAUUGGCACUCCUUCCUUACUAUAAUAAAGAUAUACUAGAUUAUCACGCACUAGGUGAAAAAUUAUAUAAUAAAUAUAUUUACUAAAAAUGUAUAUAAAAAUAAAAAGAACCUUAAAUGUAAAAAUUAAAUAUUUAAAAUUCGUUGUUUCAGGAGUUCAAAUUUUACUAGGGUUAAAUAUUUAUUGAUUUUAUAUAAAAAUAUAAAAUGAAAAAAAUAUCUUAUAAAAAUUAAGAUUAUUUUAAUAAUCUCGUAACAAAAAAUUAUUAUGAUAAUUUCUCAAUCGAACUCUAUUCAAUUGGCUCGUGACAUUAACUCAUUUAAUAUAAGUAUAGAUAUAAAAUAUUGUUAUAAUAAGUAUGUGGCCUCUUUUUUUCAAUUUAGUGAUACUAUUUAAUUUGUUAUAAAAUAAGUUAUACUGUUUAAUAUAUUAAAAGUGGAUUAGACUUUGAUUUAGCGGUAAAAAUUAAGGUUUUUUUUGGUAAAGGUAGAAACUUUAAUUUAAUUUCAUCUAAUUAUAUUUUAUUUUUAGAUAAGGUUUCAUUACUUUAAUGGUGAUAGGUGAAGGUGAUAAUUGAUUAUAAUUAUAAUUUUAAAAUAUAAAUAAUAAAUCAAAUCAAAUUAAGCUCAAAAUUUUUAUUACAGAAAAACUAAUCCAAAUUGAGGACUUGUCUUUUUCAUUUUUCUAUUUGGAGAAGAAGUCAAGAGGUUUAAAAGUCAACAAGACAAAAGUGGCAUUCUAUUAGAGGACUUUUCUUUUUAUAAUUAUUUAUAUAUACUAGGAUAAGUAAAACCCAAAUUGAAAUUCUGGUAAUAUAAAAACCAUGUGGAAAUUUUUAGUUAAUUUCUACCCCUUAUAUUUCUGAAUUUAUAGAAACAAAAACAAAAGUUUACCAUCACAAGAUUAUUACCUUUGUUGCGAUAAGCUGUGGUUUUUUUUAAAAAAAGUAAUAUUCUAGUCGUGAUAAUUCUAAUAUUUAAAUUUGGUUCAAGUGUGGAGGAAGAAGUCCAAUUAUUUGCUGGUAAAUAAAUAUAUAAACUUUUAAGAUGACAUCUACUUUGAAUUUCGGAUUAAAUUUAACUUGAUUUCAAAGAUAAAGCCCUCUCCUCAAUUUCUUUGCAAGCAAUGCUAUUGGUAAGAGGAGCAGCAACUUUUGACCAGUGAAGGUUGUAUUAUUUUCAUAUUUCAGGGCCUUGAUUUGUGCAGCAUAGACGAAAAAAAGCUUCUUCAAGGGUGUCAAGCAUGGCGUAUAAUUAAUUAAUUUUUUUAAUGCUUUCCAGAUAACAUUGAACGACUUUCCCGUUAGGUUAUCUACUUUCUGUAAAUUUUCACCAUAUUCCUGGCAAAUUACAAUAGAAUUUUGGCAUCAACUUUGAGAAGGUAGUGCCAUUUUACUUCCACAUUAACUUUUAGGUACAAAAGUUGAAAUGGUGCAAAGAAAAUUACAGUUAAACAAUGGCAUCGCAUGCAAGUAUAGAAGAUUAUUAAGAAAGGAGCAUGUGUUUAUUUGUAGAUUUCCACCACUUCCACUCUCAUCUUAUUUUUCUUAAAAAUCACAUUUUAUUUUCAAAUCAUCACUCGAGCGAAGUCCCAUACCACUUCACUCAACCCAUUCAGAAUUAUCGAUGAAUAAAUAUUUGAAUAAACUCUUUAAAAUAAAGAAAUAAUUUUCAAAUUAACAAGUAAAAAGAUGUUCCAAUUGAGAAUUUCAUUACAUCAUUCAAGAUAAACUCGUUUUAAAUUAACUGUUUAUGUUAUAGAUUUGUGAAUGAGUUGGUAAUGAUAAAUCCAUAAAUGUUUUUUUAUUCUCAAAUUUGAAAAGGCAGGCAAAAAGAACACUUCAGUUUGAGUUCUAAUAUAUGUAGUGUUUGGUUGAGGGUACAUAGAUUUGGAAAUGGAAGUCAAAGGGGGGUGGCACAUGGCCAGCCCUAAUAGAUUAGGGCCAACUUUGCUUUUUCAUAAUGUCAACAAUAGAAGAAAAUGAUGCAAUUAUAGACCAAGGCUUCUACUUAUUAUAAACCUUUUUCUCAACUCCAAUUUAAUUCACUAAUGUUUAAUAUAUAAUAUUUAGGGUAAAUUAUACCAGUAGUCAUCUAAUUAUGUUCUUUUUUCUAGUCAUCCAAUCAUGAAAAAUUAUAAAAUUUUCACUCAAUUGUUCAACUUUUAUCUUUUUUGGUUAUCCAACUAGCUUAGAUUUUUGGAUGUUUCUAUUUUUACGUUAACUCGCCGAUGACAAAAAAAGACAAAAUUGAAUAUUGAGUGACUAUUUUGUAACAUUUCAUUAUUAAUAAUUAAGUGACUACUAAUAUAAUUUAUCCUAAUAUUUAUUAGGAUAAAAAUCACUCACCCCUCAAGUUUACUGUAAAAUAUAAUUUCCCUUAUAGUUUGAAGAAUACUCUAAGCAAAUUUAAAAUAAAAAGACAAUUAACUCUAUUUAAUUUAUUCAUUUACCUUACGAAAAUUUAAUUCUAUUUUUGAACUACCAUAAAAUUAAAUAUAUUUGACUUAUGUAUUAAAAAAAAUCUAUUUCACUUCAAUUAAAAUAAUGUAUCUUAAAUUUAUAUUUAAUUUAGUUCAUGUUAAUCUUUAGAUGAAUUUAUUAAAUUAUUUUUAUAAAAAUUAAUUAAUAAUCAUUAUUUAAAAAGUUUGAAUAAAAAAUUUACUAAAUAAUAAGAAAAAUGAUUAACCACAAAGAAAAAAUAUUGAGGACAGAACAAAUAAAUAGAAGGCUUAAUUAAAUAAAUGUUGAUCCUUCCCGCUGUUAAAAAGAAAAAUCAGAGCUAUCAUUAAAAUCUAAUUAAAUAAAAUAUAUAUUAAUAUUAAAUAAAAUUAAAAAAAAUCCUCCCCACCAAAGCAGGGUACGGAAUCGCGUUCCAGUCCACAACCAAAGCAACCUAUCAAUAUCUGUUAGUAUUCAUGAGUGACAAACAAUGUGGGGAUCCUGAAAUCCCGUUGUAACAUUACAUCCUUAAGCUGCACCACAAAAACAAUCUGAAUCAACUUCAAAUGCAGCACUCAUCCCACCACCUCCUUACCUUACAACUCUUCUUUUCAAACGUAUUUGUGAUUUCAGUCUGAGAUGGUCUCUUUGGAAUCAAUUUCAGCCAUACCAUCAAGUUAGAUUAAGUUUCAAUUUGCAUAGUUUUACACUGCGUGUUUUAGAUUAAACCUCGCGUUGGCUCAAACUUAGGGGGAGGGAUGGUGGUGGGAGAGAGGGAGAAAAACGAUGUGAUACCUCACACCCGACUCAAUUGCCGAGCCCAAAUGUGAGACACCAUAUUUGUUGUCAAAGCAACUCAAACUGACUCGUACAUUGAAUUCAUCAUGAUAAUCAAACAUUAAUGCAUAAGUAACCCAACUGAACACGUCAAUUUAACUUAACUUAACAUGCAAGCAACACCUGUUUCAUUGAGUAAACACCAUAUAAUGAUCAUGCAUACCAACAUAACCUCAUAUUCAUACCACUUCACAUAUAUACAAACUUAACUUGGCUUACGAUUCACUAGCAUUGUAAAUUUAAAUCAUAGAAAGGGGCUUUAAAGCUAGCUUUGACACUAGGUGCAUGCCAACUCGAAACAUUAUAUUUUAAAGAUUAUACAAACAUUGCUCAAUUGAGAAGUGAGUCAUGGAUGCUGUCGAACUUUUUGUACCCACGAGACCUAAUCGUCACUAAAUUAUUUGUUCGUCUUCUGUUCUUAGCCUUACGUUGUUCCUCAUUUUCAACCUUGCUCAAUGACACUAGUGUAGAAAUGAUAUUAAUUUUUCAUCAUUAAAUAUAUUAUUCAAACCUUUCACUUUAGUCUCCUUAAAUCCUAUUAUUUAAAAUUCUCGUAUUUUACUAUUUACCCAAUCAAUUUAUAACUAUUCUCCAGGGACCUCAAACUAUCAUUAUUUACUAAUAAAUCUCAUAGUCCUUAUUUUUUACAAAUAAAUCCUUAGUAAUUUAACAAACAUCACCACUUCAAUUCUAAGAUGUAUAACAUAAAAUCUAAAUUCAACAACUAAGAUUUCACGGCUUUCUAACUUAAUAUUCUACAUUAAAACUUCAUCAAUUUAUCAAUCUAACAAGUGAGUUUUUCAUAUCUAUCAUUGAUUAUAAGAAUCACAAAGAAAACCUUACCAAUUUUUCUUACGGCAAUGAAGGAAAACCAAAGCCAAAACUCCUUUCUUCUUUCUUGGUUCGGCGGGAGAGAUGAUGAGAAUGAAUAAGGUUUGUGUCUCUUGCUCAUUUACUAUACCUUAUUUCCAUCUAAUAACAUUAAUCAAUGGCCCAAAUUUCUCAUGAAAGAUCUAGUGGAUGUUUAUGGCAUUCAUCAAUGCUUGCUACUAACUUCUAAGUCAACUAUGGGUUAAUUAAGUUUAAGUCCAUGUUUAAUUGUUUAGUAAGGACCUGCUCAAAUCUUAAAUCAAAUCUCCUUAUUUACUCACCUUAUAAUUUAGUCUUUGUACUAUUUGUGUAAUAACUUAAUCAAUUUAAUGGUUCAAUUGUUCUACCAUCUAACUUUGUACUUAUCUCUAUAAUUUUUUGUUUUAAAAUUUUUGGAUGGCUCGGUUUGAUAAGUUCAAUUUCGAAAUUAAUUUUUUUGGCACCAGUAGAAAUCAGGUUGUUACAAGUAACGAGGAGAGGGAGGUGUUGAUUUGAUUUAACAUUAAUAUAAAAAUUUUAUUUGAUUAUUUAAUAAGGUGAUGGUGUGGCGCUUCUUAAUUAGCUCUGACUAUUCUUUUAUAGGAAUAUAGUGAUAAAGACCAACUUUAAUUACGGAAAAUAAUUUAAAACCGAAUUCAAACAAAUGACAUAAUUUAAGAGCCUCAUAUUAAAUUAACCCUAAAUUGGAUAAUAAUUAAGUAAUAAAGGGUUAUUUAAAAUUCAUUUAAUAAUUAAAACUUGAAGAUAGUAUAUUUUUUUUAUCAAGCUUCAACAGAUAAGUGGGUAUCUUUCAAACCAUAUCGGUUUCCAUAAUUAAAAGAGGGUAGGCGAAUUUUAUAUCGGUUUAAAUACUUUACCUUCUAAAAAAAUUAAUUAUAAAAUAUGAAAAAUUCCAUAAUUAAAAGAUAAAUAAUUAUAAAACAAUAAUAUAUGAUAAAUAAUAUAAUAAUAAAUGUUAAAAUAUGCUCCAAAUUUUUGUAUUUUUUAUACACUUGGAGUUUAAUUCCCCUAAUUUUAUUUUAAAAAAUUUAUGAAUUUGAAAAUGCAAGUUUAAUUGUUAACACGUUAAAAUUCUUUUGUUUAAUUCAAGUUCAUUACAAUUUUUUUUUGUUACAUAAUUAUCAAAUGAGUAAUUUCUUUUAACUUUAAGAUAUCACACCAAGAAAAUAUUUAUUUUAGCCAUUUAUUUAUUUUUUCUCCUUUUCAACCCUUAAACUUGUAUUUUUUUUAUCAAAUCAUCCCAAAAUGAAAUGAAAAGGUUAAUGUUUUUUAACUUUGCGAACUAUACACACGCCAACAUUUAAUUAAUUUUUUUAAAAUUUAAAAAUUUAAAAAUUUAAAAAUUAUAAAAGUUAUUUUUAAAAAUUAAAAAUUAUAAUUUUUUUAAUUUUUUUAAUUUUAAAAAAUAAUUAAAUGUUGAGAUGUCAUCUAUGUGGCAAUCCACGUGUAUGCCACGUCAACAAAGUUGACAAACGUUAAUUUUUUCCAUCCAUUUUGAGUGAUUUAACAAAAAUGCAAGUUUAAAAGUUAAAAGAGGCGCAAAAAUAAAUUAAAAGCUAAAACGAUCUUUUGUAAAGUUGAAAGGCCAUAGAAGCAAAUUAUGCCUUUUUUGUUUCUUUAUAAAAUAAGAAAAAAAAACAACAAAAUACCCCCAUAAUAAUAGACCUAUUCAUAGGUCGGGCCACCCUACUUAACCUGAAGGCCCGUCCGAAAAGUGAAAGAGUUUGGGCAAAAAAUAAGGCCCAAAAAAUGGGUUGGGCAAAAAAUAAGGCCCGUUUAAAAAACGAUCUAGGCCUCGAGUAAGACAUUUUUGAUCCAGUCCCCGCCCAACCCAAAUUCACAAAAGGACAAAAAAAUCUAUUUUUUUUCUAUUUUAAUGCUAUUUUCUUGUUACUUUCUCCUUAUUUUGCUACUAUUUUGUUAUAAUUGCUGAAAUAUUGUAAAACACUUAUUUUAUUAUUAAAUUUGUUAUUAUUUUAAAAAUAUUUACUUGUUAAGUUGCAUCUAUCUAUCGAAGUGUUAUUUAAAUAUACAUAUUUUUUAAAAUUUAUUUUUAAUUUGUUGAAAAAUAUUUAUUUUAAUCUUUUUAAUAUUUUUGAUGUAUUAUAUAUAUUUAUAAAUUAUAUAAAAAGUUUAAUAUGGGCGGGUUAGGUCACUUUUGAGUUUUAACAUCUUUAUCUGGGCCAAACUUCGGGAAAUUUUAAGCCUAUUUUUUAAACCAGGCCUAAUAUUUUGGUUGAACCCAACGCAUGAACACCUCUACAUAGUAAUAUAAUUUAUUUAAAACAUUUUAAUAAUUUCAUUAACUAAGUUGAUAUCGAAUUGACUCAUGACACCGACUUAAUGAUGCAACUUAAAAAAAUAGUAUAGAUAUUCCAAUUUAUAAUUAGUUUUCUAUUAAAUGAAAUUAUUAAUAAAAAAAAGUUACAUAAGAAAUGAUAACACUAUUGAGAGCAGGAGGAAUUCGAAGCUGAUUCAAACGGAUCUUUUAACAACUAGAGAAAUGAUAACAUUAUUGAAUUAAUCACGAACACAGACAAAAACUUCCUAAGUAAUAAAUAAAAAAAUUAAUUAAUAUACAUUUGCACUAGAGCAUAGUGUGUUGCGAUAUGGAACAUUAGUGGAGUUAUAUUUUCAUAGGUUGACUGAUGUCAUGAUCUUCCUAGGGCAACAUUACAAUAUAGGAAUAUAAAUAAAUGGUUUUAAAAAUACUACAGCUAUUUACAAUCAGCCUAGCUAAGGGGUUGGUUCAUCUAUCAUUAACUUUGGUCAAGAAAACUCAACAGAAAGCCACUCACAAUUCGGCGAGCUACAGGGUUAGGGAUACUUCGACACAAUCUUCCAUCAAUAUAUGCCAGUAUACCUGAAAGCACAAAUUUGACUAUUCCCCAUUUCCAUAUAAACCUUACCUUCUGCACUUCUCCCGUGUCUGCAGGGACAAUCUCUUUCGCUUCAUCUUUCUCUGCUUCUUUCUUCGAUUUGAUGAUUGCGAUAUAUUUAUCCGCUUGACUUCUUAAUUUACGGAUUGCAAAACUCACAAACAGGUGCUCACACAAUGUUAUGAUGGUCGGUCCUAUUCUCCAUUCCUGGAGUAACAAAUUAUCCUCCAUUAAUAGAAUGUGAGUGUGGCAAUAAACAUCAGUGUUCAGCACAGUCCAUUUACAAUUACAGAAUGCACAUACGCAUGUUCCCCUUUCUCGGUAUCCUUUCUUCCCUCUCAGAGAUCUCUAUACUAUAUUUCCAGUUUCCAAAGAGAUGCAGAAAUCAAAAAGACCCACUUAAAAAAACAAAGCAGAGAGAGACAGAGACCAAUAUAAAUGGGAAAACACAAACACACAUGGUAUCAUUAUACAAAUCAAUCUUGCACUGACUGGAUACUAGAAAACGUAGUGGAAAGGAUCAGAAAUGGCAACUUGGAUUGUUCAAGAACCCUCAAAAGCACAAAAAUUUAAUAAAGUGGCAGAUUAAAUUGAUGGAUAAACUUACACUUUCUCCUUGAACAUUGCGAAAAGGGCGGGAAGCUGUUGCAGGAUCUCCUUUCAAUAAUGCUUUGCUUAUAAGAAACCCCUUCACACUAUCCAUGAUCUCAUUUAUGAGGGAACUGUUAGGAGGUAGAUUUUUGAGGAAAACCUAAAUAUAGAAUAAAUCAGAAAAGAGCAUGUAUGAAACUCAUCCGUCAAGUUGGUAAGGCAAAGCAAGAUUCUGAAAAUGAAGGUGGGUUGGGAAGCCAAAAUUUAUCCUCAAAAGCAAGGUAUACUUGGAUGAACACUUUGUUAGAAGUGAUAAUAUAAUUAUGAAAGACCCACAUAAAUUAGAUGUCCCCUUUCGCUGCUAUCUAAAUCUCAAAUAAAUAAAUAAAUUUUGUUGCAGUACUGAUAUUUCUAUUUUCUCACUUAAUCAGUUACCUGGUCAUCAAUUACUCUCACUCGAAGAUAUUCUUGCCUGUACAUUGAGUCUAACAUAGCUUGUAGAUAUCCUUCAAUGUAUAACUGCAGAAGUUGAAACCUUAUCAGUGACCAUUAAAGCAAAAGUAAAACAAAUAGAUUAAUAACAUCAGAAAAAAUCAGCAUCCAUUGAGCAGUGAGGCAAAGCAAUAACAAUCUGAAUUCCUACAGAAGUAAUCACAUAAAGAUGCUGCUUAAUAUCACAUGCAAAAAAACACUAGUUUUCAUGUGUGUUUUUCAGGUUCUCUGGUCAUGGUUCUGUAUCUGACACUCGUUACUAGGUAUCUAUAUCCUCAGCAUUAUUAGUCAAUACUGCUUUCAUUACUGUAAAAGGAGACUUGAACCGAACAGUAUGAUAUAGAAUUAAGAGUACAAAAAACUGAGAUUGUUACCUCAUCAACCCCAGGGCUCCUAUCAAGCUUGAUUUUUCUGUCUGGCCCACUCCCCAUCAAGGCUGUACCCAGGACCGAAGGCUCCAUAGCCAAUUUUAAUAUUCCUUGGUGAAAUCCACUCACCUUUAGAAUAAACAGUCGACUGUCACUUUCAACAGUUAUCCUUAGUAAUACUUAGAAAAUAAGCUAGAAAACUUAUGCAAAUAUAUGCAAAAUGACACAUUGACUGGUACCAUCCCAUUGAAACCGCUUGCUUCUGCCCCCUUCAAAACAGAGUCAGAUAUUUCGGUAACAGCAGCAAAAAUUACAUUAGAGCCUGCUGUUUUUAGCUGCAGAGUUGGCACAGAAAUAACAUAGGUAAGUGCAAAGGAAGUAGAAAGAAAAUCACAUUCCUUAUUGAAGGUUUAUAGAACUUACAGUUUUACCCAGAUCACCAAAGUAGCGUUUUGUUCCCGAGAAACCUUUACCAUCAAUACAUCUACUGAUGAAUUUAAAGGUACCUGUGCAAAAUGAACAAAGCAGAAAUAAAAUAUCUCAACUUACAAACAGCCAUAAUCAAUUAUGAUAAAAUAAAUAUAUCUGAAUCUAGAACCUGAACUUAAUCACAGAAUAAGCAGUCUACACAUAAUCAGUGCCUUGAAAAGUAUAGUCCCCAGAACUAAACUAUGAAUCUUUUAUAUUUCUCAUAACUCUUAUAAUGCAAAAUUAAAAAAAAAAGGGAAUUCCCAACUCCAGUUUCAGUAAUGUAGCAUAUGCACCUAAAAUCUAGUGAUGAUGACCCUCUCAUAUAUGCCCAAAUAAAUCAUGCAUGCAGAAUAGGUAAAACAAAUAUCAUAGAUGCCACUAUUAAUUCCAAGGUAAACCCAUACAGGAAAGGAAGACUUGAGUGAACAAACCAUAUAGAAACCAUACCCCAUUUGAAACCAGGAAGAUUCAUCAAGCCUUGAGAAGGAUCAAAAAAGAUAUCAAGGGAAGACGAAGCUAAGUCAUCAAAUAUCGACGCAAAAGCUGGGGGCAGUAGUUGGCUACCUUUAGCAAUAGAAAUGGACCUCAUGGCAUACCUGGUUAAUUAUAUCAUUCUGAAAGUGAGGAUACCAUAGUUGCAAAACAAGCAAAACAUAAAUGAAGAUCUUACCAUGAAUAAUGUUGUGCACAUCUUAUUAACAAUUCACGAAUUGUUACUAGAGCAUGAGUAACCGAGACACCAUUUAGCUCCACAGCCACCUUUUUUAUAGGAGGAACCUAUAGAAGCAAAAGAAAAGUGUAUAAGAAAAAGGAAAAUGACCCUACUCAAGAUGACACCAAAGAACGCAUGUUUCACUAUAUAAGAACAACUAAAAUCAUGCAAGCAUAUAUUAAGAGCGAGCACAGAACACAACUCUCACCUUUACAACACUAUGUAGCAAUGUUCUCAGAGCUUCCUGGGCUGAAUUAUAACUAGAAUAGGAUUCCCCAGGAACAAAAGUUGCAAUAAUCUGUAGGUAGAAGAUAUAUUAAAACUAAUGUGGUAGUUAAGACAGUCAUCAAGAAGAAAUAGAAGCAAAAAUAUAUUUCCUUUAUUGGGUGGAUCUCAAAAUUGUCAAAAUAAAACUGCUGACUCGGAGAACUUGAGUCACUCAGAGAUGUUCUCCAAAAUGAGACGAUUUUCAUCAAAGUAUCCUCAUCAAUAUUCAAAUCAAUUGGCUGCAUAAGAAAAAGCAACAAACUUUGAGCUGCUGUACUCUGUUCAGGGAAGUAAAUAGUACCUUCAAAUUUAAGCUAUUCUUCACAGUUCCCAACACCCAUAGUUUCUAAAAGAAAACAGAAACAAAAGGAACAAAUGCUACAAUGGUUCAGGAUAGAUCCCAGAAAGAUAAAUACAGACUGCCUCAUUAUACCUGCAGAAUAACAGAUGCAUAUUUAACUUGUUUAACAUCAGCGCCUGCUGAAAGUAGGAAAAAUAUGAUUUUGAGCAUGCUAUCAUUUGCAUCACUGUCAUCUAACCGAUGUCUACGUAGCAUUGAUGCAACAGGAGCUCCCAUCCACUUGACAUCAACCGUCAAUGACUAGAAUGAUGGUUAAAUCAAGGAGCUAUUAGUACUCACAACACUAAAAGUAUAUCAAUUUAAACUCUUAGCACAUUUUAAGGUAUCAAACACAUGGAAAUAUUUUACCUGAACAGCAAUCUGGUUAUAUUUCUGUUGGUCCAUGAACAAAGAAUCCAGACUAAUGUUAUGAAGCCUUGCAACAGCAAAUGGUGUAUAACAAAGUGUUCCACUCUGGUUUAAAUCCUUGACAAUAUUAUAACAUCAAACAAAGACAAUAAGUUGAACAGACCAAUAUCAUCACGAUGCACUUUACCAAACCUAUGAUAAAUAUAAAAUGCAAUCAAAUAAUCAAAGUCUGAUUUCUACUUUUCAUGCUGUCCAAUUUUACUUUUUGGGAUUUUCACUUUAGCAAAAUCGAAAUCUUUUAGCAAUUUAGUCAAUCCAAGGUCUAUUCUAUGUGUUUCCAAAAGUUCCUUUUAAGUGCAAUACAGUUUUUAUGCCUUAAGUAGUUAGUUCACAAGUCAACAAGGCUUCAUGAUUGAGCACCUAAGACCAAAGUAGAAGAAUAUUCAGUCAUUAAGGCCUGGAAGAGAAUUGUCUAGUUUGGCACAAUUAGAUCUAAGCAGAUAAACAUGGCACCUGCAAAUCAGAGUGAUAUUGCCCUUUGCUAGUUUUCUGAGUUCAGACUAUGAAGGAAUGAAAUUAUCACACAAAGAGAGAGGGAGGAGAGACCUCUUUUGCCUUCUCAAGCAAUUGGAUAGCAAACUGGGAAACUCUCAUCCGAAUCUUAGCACAUGAGUGAAAAGCUUUGUCUUGCUUAUGACUAUCUGAAAACUCACAAAUCCGCAAAACACGUGUGGGACCAUCUGCAUAUACUUCAUAUCCCACCCUUACUGCAUUCAUGCCCUGAUGCUCACCAAAUCUACUUCUCUUACCCUUGGAUUUUUUGUCAAAAAGUAUAUGAGACGCUAACCUUUCUUGUGUAAGUUUAUAAAAGGGCUUCCAUGUCCGCACUUUGUCUAAGUUGAUUUCUCGCGGCAGAUUCAUAUCUACAAGGAAAAUCAGCAUAGCCAUAAUUUCAUAAGCAUUUUUCUCAACAUUUAAGCUAUGGACCACUAAUGUGUAUAUUCAUGUAACAGCCCUGAACGACUAAAUAUGCUUUGUCUAAGUAUCUGCUUAUUGAUCUAAUUGUAUAUUAGUGUAACAGUAAAGCAUAGUAGAAUUCUACAGAAAACCGUAGAAGAAUAUAUUUUCUAGCAGCAUCCCUGUCUAAUCCUCCACCUAAAUUUUCUAUGGUACAUGAACACUUCCAUUCCAACUAAAGACAGAUGAGAAAAUAUAUAAUUCGAACACUAUCUUAAGUUUGACACAUCAAAAAUUAUGCUCACUGAAGUCAAAUGAACUCAUUAGUAGAACAAACUUAAGGCUCACAACAGAGUGAGAUCCAAAAUAGAAUUCUCAAUUAUAAAAUGCAAGAAAAGAUCAAUAUACUUGGACGUACAAGUUCUUUAUGAAUCCCUUUUACUUGUUCUACUAUGAAAAUCAAAUUCCAGAAAAUUCAUUGCAAAGCAAUUACACAAUAAAGAAUAAACCUACAGAAACUUAUCAAUACUAGCUGUAAAAGCAACCUUAAAAUGUAUGUUAAUGAUAUGAACAAGGCAUUUGCAUUCAGCUGGUUAAAUUGUUUUCCACGAAAGUAGAAACUGAUUUACCAAGGCAUUUUAUGCUAAUAUAUAUAAAAAAAAACCCCUACAUCUCUCUUCCCAAAAGCAGCCAAGAAAGCCCUAAUGGUGAAAAGGCAACUAGCAAGAUUAGUUCAUAUCAAAUGCAAAGUAUAAUACCCAUACUCCCUUUUCUCUAACAGUCCUGCUAAAACUGGAUGAUGGUUAACAGAAACCAGGAAACCAUUACAGGCUUAUCUUCAUGGAAAUCUCCAAAAACUAAUUGAGGAUUGCCAAUCGUCGUGAAAUGUCAGUAGAAAUCAGUUACAGGUCAUGUUUCCUGCAUCUUCCUACUUAAAGUUUUAGGGGAGAGUUCAUAAAAAAAUCCAUAGGGCCCUAGUGCAGUUAGAGGAUUCAUUUGGUUAAAGGUGGGAAUGGUGCAACGAAACAGCUUAAGAUGGAAGUUAACAUUAAUUCACACAUCUGUUGAAAUAAAGUUUCUCUCACUUUCAAGAAACUGCUGAUCUCAGUGAAAUAUACUUAUGCAUUAAAGGAAACUUUUAUCAAAGUGUUUGAUUUAUAAAUCAUAUAAUACAUUGUCAGAAAUUCAAAUGUCUAAUCAGAUUAACAAAGCAACCGUCACAUUCAAUGCUUCGUUCAAGUGGUCUUUUCCACUGAUUUUGAGUUGCUCUACCUUCUAACUUUUAGCUGGCUAGAUCAAGUGGCAUACAGUUUUGCAACCAUCUUGAUGAGAACCCGAAGACCAAACUUAAAGUAAAUAAAAUAUAUUGCCUGGCAUAUCACUCAGAUAAAGAGAGAGCAGAAGUUAAUAGAAACAGAUACGUGUGCACCCAUUGUGAAUACUCCACGUUCUAGGAAAUUAUAAAACUCAAACGUGUAAGAAGAAACAGCACAAAUGAUAGAUCCAAACAUGUUGCACAAGGAGUUUGACUGUUCCAUUCUCCAAAGUUCAAAUGUCGGUUAUGUUGAUUACAUCAUAAUUACUAUAAAAAUACAUGCAAGUUUGGAAUAAUGAGAGGCAAGUAAUUACCAUUUAGUAUAACAACCAGUUUACGAGGAAGUGUAACAUCAUCCCAGGUAUAAUCAACAAAGCAUUCAGAUCCAAGAAACUCUGACUCUGAUGAAUUCUGGGAAAUUUCCAAUAAUAAUUAUCAGUAACAAAUUAAUACAUAUGGAAUGCCUCAAUUGAGCAUUAACUAAUUAGACAGAAUAAGUAACAUGGACUCAAAGCACAACCUUCUGAUAGUAAGUGAGGGAUGCACCAUGCAGAUAAUUCUCAAUCCGAUACGGUAGCUUGCUGCUUGGUGGUUUUUGGAAGCGCACUACAAUUGUAGAACCUUCCUCGACUACAUGAACUUCUGCAAAUUCUGCAAUCUUUUUGUCCUCUGCUGUCAACUGACUAGAAUGCUUUCUAAAUUUUAGGAAAAAACGUCCUAAUGAAGUGAUGCAUAAUGGUCCUGACCAGUCCAACUGAGACUCAUUCAACCGAAACUGAAUAUAUAUUAAAGAACUAUCAAAAUCAUUUCUAUGCUUUUUGAUGAUAUUCUCAAAUAAACUGUAUUCUGCCCUCUUGCCAAUUUCUUUCUGCAGCAAUAGUGCUGCACUCUGUCUACUGUUGAUGGAAAUCAUGCCAGCUGUGUCAACCUUCACAUCCAAACACCGAAAAGGGGAAGAACAAAGAAAGUAAGAACUUGAAAUGCAUAAAAUAAAACUGCAUCCUACAUCGGUGGGUACAAACCUCCAAAUUACACUGACGAACAGUAAUAUUUUCCUCUGACUCAUUCAGCACAACAUGCCUUGGAGCAAUUGUUAUUGUUUGUGAAGGAACAACACUAUUCAAGGAAGGUGCAAUAGAUACCCCAAACUUUGCAAUAUAUUUCACUCCAGAUCUUUCCGCUAUCUCCAGACUUACUUCUGUAGGGCCUGAUAGAGUAUCCAAAUCAAUUUGUGGUUCUGAUGCAGGAUUUUCGAAUAACCUGAGAUGCAUCUUACAGGAUCUGGCGGCAGGAGUGCACAAAAAAGUUAUAACCAAUGAAGAAACCAUAAUAUCAAAUAUGCUCUGAUCAUAAAGGUAGAUAACGAACUUUAAAUGCUAUAUAACAGUUCCAAAAAAUUUUGCUUACCGCAAAAACCAUGACCCUGUUGACUUUGGGGGUAAAAAUAAACCUAAUUCAGGACGAAUGCCCUCCAUUUCAUUUCUGCAGAUGUUCAUGAAUUAUGGCCAUGAAGUAUAUAAGAAAGCAUAACCCAGCACUUUAAGAAUUUGCUAACAAUUUUCAGAGAUAGAAACUACCUAAACGGAGGCUUCUGACCAGAAGCAAAGAAGAACAUAGAGAAAUCGGUUUCAUUCUUCAGGAUAUAUGGUGUAUAAACAGUAGCCUGUAACAGACAAAUAAUUCAGCUAAUACAUGCUCUGGAACUUGUUAAGCAUCCAUCCAAAAAUCAAUCGGUAAUAAGAGGAGGGGCCCAACUUUAAAACCACAGGGAACCUAAUAUUUAACAGAUGUGAAAUUACACCACUUAACACUCCCCUCACGUGUAGCUCACAGGGCCUACAUGUGGACAACCUUACCAGGGGUCAGGUUGGAAAAACAACAUAACAAAACCUUGGUUCUCAUAGAUGUUAAGCAUCCAACCUAAAACCAAUUGAUAAUAAGUGGAGGGACCCAGCUUAAAUAUAAGACCAUAGGAAACCUAAUAUCUAGCAGAUGUGGGAUAACACUUAAUAGAACUUCUACAGCAAACAAAACUAAACAUGAUUAAAAAAAGAAAAAAUGAAAACUCAUGAUACGUGUGCACCUCAGAAAAUAUAUCAUCAAGAAAAAUUUAGAAUGUAUCACAUUUGCAAACAACCUCUAAUAUGCCUUUGUAUCCACGGGAUAAUCUUAAGGAUGCAAAGUAUUUUCCACCACAGAAAUCCAGGUCAAUGUCCAAGCAACGAACACCAGUCUUAUGCUUCAGUAACUUCUUGACCCAUUCUCCACUAUUUACUGGUUUAGAUGUUGAACUAAAAGCAGUUAAUGAAACCAAAAAGUACAUUAUAGCAGGAUUAGCAUAAAAAUCAACAGUUGAUCUGCAAGGUAGAGUUGCCUCCUUCCCAAUGUUGUCAUGGCCAGUAGGGGUACAUGAAUCUGCAACAAGAUGGAAGUUAAAAGAGUAAAAAUAACAAAUACUUUAUUGUUCAAAAAACUCGCAGGUCAUACUUGUCUCAGUCAAAAGCACGUGUAUUUCUGAGUGCAGAAGAUUGGAAACGCGCACAGUGGGGAGAAUACAAAUUUCUUUCUGCUCUUGUAGUGAAAUUGGUGCAUUUCUAUUUUCAAGCCCAUCCUUGGACUUAUCAGGUUUCAUGAUAGGAACUUCUCUUCCAAUGCUUUGAAUUAAAAAGUGCAUGUUAGAAACAUGUCCAGCUGCAGAUUUGACUGUACAGGAGGCCGUGUGAUACGAGUCACAAAAGCCCAAAUUCUUGAAGGCGAGGCCCAAUAAGCAAAUUCCCAGCCCAAUCAAGAAAUCCAUCCAUACUUAGUUGAAAAUCAGGCCAAAUUGUCAAAGUGGCCCAAGUUGUAAAGUUUUAUUUUUAUUUAUUUAUUUAUUUAUUUUACUUAGUUUAAAUUUUUAUAUUCAGUCCAAGAGUCCCAAAUAAAAUACCCUUGGCCGAAUUUCCAUAUUAAAAUAAUUAGGAGUUUUUUUUUAGUUUUAGUUUUAGUGUUCUAAUUAAAUUAGGAAAACAUUUGAAAGGCCUAUUUAUAUGGCUUGGCCAGCCACCCUACAUUACAUUACAAUUAUAUUGAAAAUUUCAGAUUUGAUUUGAGUGAAAAUUCUCUUUGAGUUCUUCAAGGAUUUUCUCUUGAGUUUUCUUUAGAAGUUGUUUUAACAAUCUUUUUGAUUGUGGGAGCCAUCUUCAACCUUCUUCUUGCCAUUGAUAUUCUUUGGAGGGGAGAUUAGAGCCGUUUGAAGGGAGUUGUGAGAUCUUUCGAGAUUUCAAGGCUUCUUAGGACUUAUCUUUUAAUUUCUUACUGUCAAUUCUUUCUUUAUUUCUACUUGUGCUGAAUCAUUAUCUAAUCUAUUUUCUGUUCUUAUUGUGUUUUCAGCCUUUUUCUAUCUUAAGGAAUCAGCCCAAAAAUCCCCAAUUUCUAGGGUUUUUCUAUACUCUUUUUGGGUGAAAUUAGAUUGUCGAAAUUUGGGGAAAACUAUCUUGGUGUUCAAUUGGGCAGAAUCACAAUCUCCUUGAGGGUUUCAAGAACCCUAACACUUAUUUCUAUUCUCUAUUUGAUUCUUUACUGUUUUGGGGAUUUUAUUUCAGAUCUGAAAAUUCAAAAAUCUAAUCUUUUAAUUUUCUGUUUCGUUUCAGAUCUAAUUGUUUAGGGUUUUCGUAGGAGUUUCCCGUGACUUGGCAACUCGAUCUUGGUCCGCGCGCAACCUCGUAUCAUUUGGUAUCAGAUUUUGGGCGUUUUGGGUGUUCUUGGUUGAUUUCUAAACUGAUCUCUAUUUUUUAAAGCAUAAACAACAGUAUUACCCAGAAAAAAUUGUUCAAAAAAAAUUCAUUUGAGUGGGUAAACGUUGUCCUAUUGAUCUGAAAUUUUACAUACAUGUUUUUGGCACUGUGAUUGAAUAUAAAAAAAUUAUUCCCGCAAAAAAAUCAGUCAAAAAAGUCAAAAAAAUCAAAAAAGACGAAAUUCAAUAAAAAUUUAAAAAAAGAUUCAGCGGGUUGAAUUUGGUGCCCAAAAUUUCCAGAUCAAAAAUUAAAUAUAUAAGGACAUUCCAGAUUUAAUUUCGUGAUUUUUGGAGAUCGGUAACACCUCGAACGAAGUUGUCAAGUUACUCCGCAGUUUUUCGGGUUUUCUGUUUUCAGCAAUUUUUAUUGAUUCUUAGCUGUAGGUUUUCAUUUGUUUGCUUUUAUUCUUCCGUUACGUUAUCUAACACCUUCUUGUUUCUUGUGUUAGUAGGAUUUACACGUGUGCACAACUCCUUCCUCGGUGCAACACGAAUCACUUGGUGUCUCGUCAGUUUUUGGCAUCCUAGUGCAAAUUAGGAUUCUUUGGUAGUUUGGUUCACACUCUCUAAUUGGUUGAUAUAAACUCUGAUAAAGAACUCACAAGAUUGAAUUCGACCUCAUUGAGAAUUUGAUUUUUCUUUUUGAGUGAUUAAUGGUGAGGUUUGCUAACUUUUAUUUUUGAGUGUUGAGUGUUUAUUUUUUACAGUUUUGAAGAUGUCUAAAGGUGAUAAUAAUGAUCCACUUAUGAAAGUCCAACAACAGUUAGACGGACAUACUGCUGCAAUCACACAAAUAAAUGUUACACUUCAAGCAUUGAAUACUACUUUGAAUGAGGUACGAGUGAAUCAAAAACAUCAAUAUCGAGAUCCAAUUAAGGAAGAUAGGGAUAACCAGCCCCAUAGGUGCAGCCCUCAACGUGUCCCUAGAAUGGAUGAUGAUUUUCAUGAUCGUGGACAAUCAUCUUUGGCAAAACCAAAGAGCGAGCAGCAACGAGAACAUCUCUUUCAUACUCGCUGCCAUGUACAAGGUAAGCUUUGUAGAGUUAUUAUUGAUGGUGAAAGUUGCUCAAACAUAGCCAGCACGACGAUGGUGGAAAAGCUUUGCUUAACCACUACCAAGCAUCCACAACCUUAUCAACUACAAUGGCUUAGCAACAAAGGCCAAUUUAGGGUCACUCAACAAGUGCGCAUCGCCUUUUCUAUCGGUAAGUAUCAAGACAAAGUUGUGUGCGACGUAAUGCCUAUUCAAGCCUGCCAUUUGUUGCUAGGAGAACCAUGGCAACUGGAUCGAAAAGUCACUCACGAUGGUCGUACCAAUAGGUAUUCUUUCAAGCAUCAAGGAAAGAAACUUACCUUAGUGCCGCUCCCUCCGGAACAAGUCCAUGAGGACCAAAUCAAACUGAGAAAUUCUGUUAAAACAAGUGAGGAAAAAGAAAAAGAGAAUGAAAAAGAGCAAAAAGAGAUUGAGAGUGAAAAGGAAUGUGAAACAGAAAAGAAAAUUGAAAAAGAAGUUGAAGAAAAAAGAGAAAAUGAGUUAGAAAAAGAAACAAAAGAAAAAGACGAGGAAAGGCUAGUGAGGAAUGUUUCCACUAACCAAGAUAUGAAUUUUUCUUGUGUUGCUACUUUUCAGGUUCCCGAAAGAUCGAAAGAUAACUUUCAACUUCAAUACCUCUCAAAUGAAAGACGCUUUCAUACGAUCAACUUAGGCAAAGAUGAAAUCACACUACAUGAUCCCGAAGGUAAGCGAGGUAAGGAAAUUUUAGAAACCGAGUCCAGUGCAGAUUUGAAAAUUAUUAAUAAAACUUUUGGUGACUUAGUUCUUAAAAGAUCCCCUCAUUUUGAUCCGAUUAAUUGUUACUCUUCGAUUGUGGUUGAUAAAGUCCUUACGAAAAGAAGCGUGAUUUGUUAUUCUCUUGAUUUACCUUGUGUAAAAUCCUCGAAUUUGUCCAAAUCUGUUUUGGAGAAUAAGGUAACGAAAUUUUCCAAAUUUGUUUUCAAUUUAUAUUCGUGCCUUAAACAGUUUAUGUGGUUGUACAUGAAGUUUGAGUUCCAUUUGACAAAGGUUAACUCAACAACGGAGAUUCGACUACACUAUGCCCCCGAUGAGCGAAGGUUUGUUUUAAAUGAAAAAGGUAAAAUCGACCCUUAUUCUUCUGCUUAUCGAGGUAAGAUGCUUGAAACCUUUGAAACACUUUUGUACUCCUCGGAUAGUGAUAAAGAUCGUGUUGAUGAACACUUAGAUCGAAACGUGCUUGACUGUCCUAUUUUAUUUAUUGAUGAUCUAUCUGUUUUGAUGGUUGAUAAAAAGAUUCUUGUUUUUGAUAAUGCAUGUGUGAGUGAAUCUAUAGACCGUCGAUUAAUGCAUGGUAUGAUUAUGCAACUCUGUGAACCAUGUGAAUCUUUUCAAAUACCUACUUGUGACGAUUAUGUUUACCAUUUGAUUUAUUACUCGCAAUUUAUUCAUGGUUUGUGGGAACAAUGUGAGACGACUGAAUGCCUUAAAACAUGUCCAUCUUUGUUUCAAAUAUUUGACGAGGCAGUGGUGAGUAAAUUAGAUUGUUUGCAUGGUAAUCUGAAUCUGUCCAUUCACAUGCGUUAUACCUGUUCUAUUAUGCUUAUAAUUGGACUACAAGCUUGUUUGUGUUGCUAUUUACUAUUUCAUGGCUAUUCUUUUCAGUGGACUCAAUUGCCAUUACUCCCGUUCGAUAGAGGAAAGUCGAGUUCAUUUGAUUUUUCAGAUUCGAGGACGAAUCUUUUUGAGGAAGGGGGGAAUGAUACGAGUCACAAAAGCCCAAAUUCUUGAAGGCGAGGCCCAAUAAGCAAAUUCCCAGCCCAAUCAAGAAAUCCAUCCAUACUUAGUUGAAAAUCAGGCCAAAUUGUCAAAGUGGCCCAAGUUGUAAAGUUUUAUUUUUAUUUAUUUAUUUAUUUAUUUUACUUAGUUUAAAUUUUUAUAUUCAGUCCAAGAGUCCCAAAUAAAAUACCCUUGGCCGAAUUUCCAUAUUAAAAUAAUUAGGAGUUUUUUUUUAGUUUUAGUUUUAGUGUUCUAAUUAAAUUAGGAAAACAUUUGAAAGGCCUAUUUAUAUGGCUUGGCCAGCCACCCUACAUUACAUUACAAUUAUAUUGAAAAUUUCAGAUUUGAUUUGAGUGAAAAUUCUCUUUGAGUUCUUCAAGGAUUUUCUCUUGAGUUUUCUUUAGAAGUUGUUUUAACAAUCUUUUUGAUUGUGGGAGCCAUCUUCAACCUUCUUCUUGCCAUUGAUAUUCUUUGGAGGGGAGAUUAGAGCCGUUUGAAGGGAGUUGUGAGAUCUUUCGAGAUUUCAAGGCUUCUUAGGACUUAUCUUUUAAUUUCUUACUGUCAAUUCUUUCUUUAUUUCUACUUGUGCUGAAUCAUUAUCUAAUCUAUUUUCUGUUCUUAUUGUGUUUUCAGCCUUUUUCUAUCUUAAGGAAUCAGCCCAAAAAUCCCCAAUUUCUAGGGUUUUUCUAUACUCUUUUUGGGUGAAAUUAGAUUGUCGAAAUUUGGGGAAAACUAUCUUGGUGUUCAAUUGGGCAGAAUCACAAUCUCCUUGAGGGUUUCAAGAACCCUAACACUUAUUUCUAUUCUCUAUUUGAUUCUUUACUGUUUUGGGGAUUUUAUUUCAGAUCUGAAAAUUCAAAAAUCUAAUCUUUUAAUUUUCUGUUUCGUUUCAGAUCUAAUUGUUUAGGGUUUUCGUAGGAGUUUCUCGUGACUUGGCAACUCGAUCUUGGUCCGCGCGCAACCUCGUAUCACCGUGCUAAAGGAACAUUUCACUGAUCCAACAUAUAAAGCCUUUCGUACUUCAUAGCUUAAUUUAUCAAAAAUUCCAGAAAGGCGAAUUGCCUUUCCACCUUUAAUCUCAUCUGACCACUCGACUGAAAGUGAAGUAUCAGAUUGUAUCAAGUCAUGUGACAUUUCAGGUCUAAAAGAAAAUAAGAAGUUACCUGCAUGUUAUCACCAACCACAUAAAGCUCAUAAGAUUUUGAAAUGAUUUCAGAGAAUCACAUGGAAAAUAGCAGAGUAUUCCUUCACUCCUCACCCCCCAGCCAAAAAAGAAAAAAAAAAAAAAAACCCUUUUUUCUCUUUCUUCCCUCCUUUGUCCCAAAGCACUCAAAAUAUCAUCUUCACUAUACUUAGCAAAUAAACAAUGGCAGUAGGUAGAGAAAAAAUUAAAACUCUCUGCUAAUGAUGUCAUCUACAUAAAAGUUAACAAAAUCAGGAGGAAACAGAAAAUAUAGAAUACAGACAACUCCAUUUAGAGUUCUACGGUCAUAAGUUUUUUUCUGGUUGAGCACCCUCCCUCCCUCCCUUCCCCUUCUUCCCCCAAUUAAUAAGGCAAUUUCAGAGGAAAACAAAAGAGCUUCGCUAAUGACAUUGUCAUCUACAUAAAAAUCAACUUAAUCAGAGGAAAACAAGAAAUCUAGAAUACAGACAACUCCAGUUAGUGUUUUGCAAUCAUAAGUUUGUUCUGGCUGAGCACCUUUUUUCCCCAAUUGAUAAGGCAAAUUCAGUAAGUCACAGUUUUGAAUUUGAUCUGAAGGCUAGCUACCCUGACAUAUAAAUCAAAAUAUCUAGAAUACAGACAACUACAUCUUUUUAUGUGUCUAUGUGUAUGUGCAUGUGGGUUUAUAACAAGCUUGAGAUAUAUAAUUAAGAAAAUACUCUCUAAAAGGUGAUCUAAUUUAUCUAAUUUACGAGGGAAGCUGACUACAUGGAAAAGAAAGCAGUCUAUUGUAGCCAGAAGAGGUGCAGAAGAUGAAAUUAGAGCAAUGCCACAGACAACUCCAAUUAGUUUUACAGUCAUAAGUUUAUUCUGGUUGAGCACCCCCCCCCCCUUUAUUUCCCCAAUUGAUAAGGGAAAUUCAGUAAGUCACAGAUUUGAAUUUGACCUGAAGGCUAGCUAUCCUGACAUAUAGUUCAAAAUAUAUAGAAUACAGACAACUACAUCUUUUUAUGUGUCUAUGUGUAUGUGUAUGUGUAUGUGCAUGUGCAUGUGCAUUUAUAAUAAGCUUAAGAUAUAUAAUUAUGAAAAUACUCUAUUAAAAGUGGUCUAAUUUAUCUAAUUUACGAGGGAAACUAACUACAUGGCAAAGAAAGAAGCAGUCUAUUGUAGCCAGAAGUGGUGCAGAAGAUGAAAUUAGAGCAAUGUCACAUUGCAUUUGUGAAGGAAUCUAGUUAGAAAGGGUGUUGAAAGAAUUAAAGAUCUCUCCAAGAAAUUCCAUGAAACUUUUUUGUGAUAACAAAGCAGUUUAUAAGCUGCGAAAAGUCCCAUUCACCAUGAUCAAACUAAAUACAUGGAGAUUGAUGCCACUUCAUCAAGGAGAAGACAGAGGAAGGACUUCUUAGGCUAGUCUACACAUACACAUGUCAGCAGACUGCACAUUCUUACAAAGGCAUUACCUCAAACAUUUUCAAGAACUUGAAGUUGAAACUAGACUUGAUAGAUAUUCUAGCCCAGUUUAAGGGGAGUGUGGAAUUCAAGGCAUGGAAAAGAAUAAAUAUUUUUUCUCUCAAAAGUUUCCUUUUAUUUUCUUUCUCAAUGAACUCUUUUUCUCCAAAAGUUUCUCUUUCUCAACAGAAACAAAGAGAACAUCAAUCAAGCAGGUUCUUUUAGUGCCUAUCACCUUACAGAAAAGCAUGCCUAGGCCCAGCCAGUGUGCACCAAAUCAAAUGAGCCUAACCCAAAAGGAUUUGACACGCUUUUGUUCUUGAGCUAAGGCGCAAGGUCUAGGUGCACCUAAGAACACCUAGACAACAAGGUGAUAUCCCAAAAGAAAUCCCUUAUGUGUCAGAAUAGUUAAAACUGAAGGGCUAGUCAAAUGGAGAGAAUAAAUUAACUUAAGGCCCGGGAAGGGGCAGCAUGGCAUUAGAAUGCAACGCAGAUUAGACAUUUACUAGUUUAAAACUAUGUCCAAAUAAUUAUGUUUAAUUCAUUCAAAGCUUCAACCAAACUGAUGACACAUAACCCCAAAUGCAUGUGCAAGAAAAAGGACUUCUGUUCUUGAACAACUUUUGUAGACACAUGACCAACCAAAGCCCAACCCCUCUAAGGUCAUAAUACAUAUUGUAAGAGCCUAACAAGGAUACUGAUAGAAAAGAUGAGGAUGUUCAAUCACACCAAGCAAAGGAAAAAUAAAGGAUAGUAAAAAGGUAAAUUUUAAACAGCAACAUUAGCAACACAUACCAACAUUUAACGACAUCAAUGCUUUCCUAAAUCCUCCAGAAAAAUGUAUAGCAUCAAAUGAAGCCAUGGAAUCAUCAAAUGUAUCACCAGCCUUUAAGGACAUAGAUGCAAACUCAUCCUCCAUUCUUUCAGGUCGUCUAAUCCGUAGCUCAAUAGACAAUUUAGUUUCAUUCUGUAUUCUGAUUAAUGGAGAAACUACUAUCGACAAACCAUCCUACAAACAAUAAUCAAUGUCAAGAAAGAUCAAGCAAAGAACAUUAUAAUGCAAGCACAUAUAUAUAUGUUUGCGUAUAUGUAACAAGGAGAACACUAAUCUUAGCAAUACCUCUUGUUUCCUUGAAAUGUCAACCACAAUGAAUGGACCAGGGUAAGAUUUUGAAUCUGUUCAAAGAUGGUAGUAGACAAGAAACAAAGAUAAAAGUCCAGAUAAGAUCUAUAUAGAAGGCAAAUGAAUUUAAUUCUUGAACCAUCUUUGCUAGCAAGCAGGACAUUCUCAAAGAACCAGCUAAAAUUUAGAAAUGAAAGACAGCUAAUUCAAACCUCAAAAAAAACACUUCAACCUACCACAAACAAUUUCCACAUACCAGCCUUGUAAAACUUGACUCAGUCUCCAUCUUAGAGAUGCAUCUGCUUAAUUGAAUUUUGCUUCAAUUUUUGACUAUUUGCAAGUUACAACCUCAUAGAAACCAAGAAGCUCCAUUUAAUUUCACGUUUUUAACCCCCCCCCCCCAAAAAAAAGAAAAAAAGAAACCAAGAAGGAAAACAAAAUCUGCCUCCCAAACUUUCUAUUUCCAAAACAAAAAGCCAGAACUUUUUUCUCCCAUAUAUACCAUAUUAUAUGCUGUAAAUAAUUCAAAGUUAGAUGAAAAUUACAUUGAUAUGCAUAGUUGAAUAGAAAACUAUAUUGGUAACACACACUGCAUAAGUAUCCAUUGCAUAAAUCAGCGCACAUGAAUUUAGCUGUUAUACCCCAGACAGUCUUAUUCAGAAAUGUAAGACACAACCAGAGAAUCAGAGAUUAUGAAUUCCUUUCUUCUUUUUCCUAUUUCUUCUCCUAGAAAAACUUUGAGAUUUAACUGAUCACCUCAAACAAUGUUACCAUUGGGUCAAUAGUUAGAUGGAUCCAUAUCCGGAGCAAAUUUAGGUUAAAGAUAGCAUGUUCCAUUCUAUUUAGUGGAUACUAAGAUGCUACUUCUAGAGUCUUCUGGCUCAUCACAGAGCAAAAGAAACCACCUCUGUAAAACUCUUCAAAGAAGUUGCAUGGUGAAGGUAGCAGAUUCACAUACCUUGAAGUGACAAUAUGCGUGUUCUCCAAGAAAGUACUUGAGCUCCUAGAAGAGAAAGAUGAACUGGUGAAGUUGUAAAUGAACCAGGAACAGAAAGCUGGAUUGAAACAACCGGUUCUGUUUCUGGAGGUUGACUUUCAAAAGCUGAGAGCCUGACAAACAUGCAUAGAGCAAGAUCAACUAAUGAAUAAAGAACACUAACCUCAAACACCCAAAAGAAUAAAAUAUGCAUAAAUUAAAUGAAAAGGCACACGUGCAUUACAAAUAAAUAUAUAAGCUCUGUAUGGAAAAACUCAUAACAAAGGUUAAUAGUACCAACAAAAAAUGAAGUCAUGCAAGAAAAGAACUACCAAUUUAAAACAAAGCAGGAAUCUAACUUUCAGCAAAAUGACCUGUAAGCAAGAAGAAGUAUAGCCAGUGCAGUACAAGGAUACCUUAGAAAAAUGGAAGAAGACUGUUUCCUGCCCACCGUCACACUUUGCUUACCAGAGAAGCGACAAAGAAGGUUCAAACCUGUCUGGUUUUCUACCUGCCAUAAUAGAAAUUAUUAUAAUUAAGAAAAAUAUUCAGUGGUAGAACAAUCUUGGAUGGAUGGCAGGAGGGAGAAUGAAUUGGUGGGUUGAUGUAACCAUUUACCCCAACCAGUCUUUGCUUGAAUUUAAUUAAUGAAAACUAUUUGAUAUUAUGAAUCUAGUAAUGCAAGGAAUGGUGAUCGCAGAAAUUCCAUCCAGUAUCAGUUUUUGAUAUAGCUUGAUAUACUCUUCCAUCAGAUACAAGAUUGAAUUGAGAGAAGACGUAUCAAUCCCCACAUGAUUUUUCUACCAGUUAAGCUGCUUAAAGAAGAGAGAGAACUAUCCAAGAAUGGCAACCUGACCUUGCAGCAGUUGGCCAGAACCAUCGAGCUUCUCAGGGAAAAAGGACCGGCCAAAUUUAAUUUUCCGACCACAAAAAGAAGAAUGUCCAAGGAAAGCUCAGUUAGAGAUAUCUCCAACUGCCAAAAAGCCAGAGCAUUGUUGUUGAGCAUGUCAUUAAAAGUAAGAGGAAUAAUCAAAGAAAUAUUAUAUAGAAUAUAAAACUCCAGACCUCUUUGGUUCUACAAUAGACAUGGACAGGCACACCAUGUUGAUUUUGGGGACUAGAACGAUAGAAAGUACAUAUUUCAACAGGGUGAAGAAAAUCUCUCCUGCAACGAACAGAAGGUAGGAAAUGACUGAACACAUUUAAAUGGAAGAUUAAUUUCAGAGAAAGAAAAAUGCUAUAAAAAUUAACUAUUCCCUUUAAGUUAUAAGAAAACACUCACCAGAAGUUUGCCUGAGCAUCAAAAUGUUGAAGCAAAGCCUUUGAGGUGCUUAUAACUCUGGUUUUAGUGUAAAGAAUUUGUAAAGUUAUUUGAGUAUCAAAGAUGCAAGCAUGAAGGAGAGGAAACCUGUCAUUUGCAUCUGACAGUUCAUGGAAGAUGGUUAAAGAAACUUUGUCAAUACUAAUACCAAUGCAAGGCAGAUUUCCUCUCUGCCCGUAGCUUCUCUUUCCAUCUUCAUGUGCUCCAAGAUUUAUCUCAGUUUCAGCAACAUCUUGUGCAACCGACAUAUCACUUAACCCUUUGAACUUGAGUGGAUUUCCAGGCUUUUUGACAAACACUGGAACCCUAUCAUUGAAAGCAACAGCACAGUCAUUCUUCUUGUUCACCAGGUAAAAACUGUUUCUAAGCACACAAUUGUAAGGCUCCCAGUCAAUGUCACCAUCAUAAGUUGGUUGAUAAAAAAGAACUCUCCAAAGUGACCAAGCAUUAUCAGAGGUGCUGGAGAGCUCAACAAAACCUGACCCUGGUUUAGAAUUUAAUCGCAAUGGCUCUCCUGAGUUGUCCUUAGCAUGCAGUGAUAUCAAGGAGAACCACAAAACUGACGAGUUCCAUUUCCUUUGUUUGUGGUACUUGACCUGUACAUAUUGUCGCAUUUGCAUAUAUGAUCAAUCAUAAAUGCUUUAGAAAGACUUGACAUUAACAAUUAAUAAAUCUACCCAAGGGGGGAAUGGUCCAUGAAUGUUAUGCUAUUGCCUUAAUUAAUUAUAAGGGAUCAUCCUUCUCAACAUGUGCUAAUAACAGUAACCAAAUAAGAAAUAGCUGAUAAUAACUAUUUACAUAUUUCAACAAAAUAAUUGAUAAUAACAGGGAUAACAAAUAAGGGGAGAAGACACAAAUAUUUAGUAAUUAAAAAAUUGAAAUGGCAGAACAUCUGGCAUAAAAGCAUUAUACUCUAAGAAAAUAAGAAAAAUUGAGAUCUUAACCUUUUAAAGCUAAACAUUUAGUUGCACAGAAACCUUAAUUAUGCAUCAGCGUGCAUAAAGAUAUGUCUUUUCAUAUAAAAUACAAGCAAACAAAAUGUUAUUUUAAGAAGCUGGCGUGAACACAGCUAGUUUACGGAAAAUGUAGUAAUAUACCCUGAAAAGAGCCCUUUCUCCAACAAAAGAAUAGUGAACAGAACCUCCUACAGCAUACUUAUUUUCUCCACCUUCAACUGUGAAGUAAAGAUGCUGAUGUACAUCUUGAAUAGCAACAAUGGCCCCUGGGCAUAUAACGAGUAAUAAUUAGUACAAGAUAAACAAAAUUUGCAAGCAACAGACAUAAGACAGUUAGAAAAUAAAAUACCAUUAGGGAUCCUCGCCUCAAAAUCAUUGUCAUCUGGUGUGUUAUAAGACCAGUUCCUUUGCACAGAUUGACCAGUUGAGCCUUUGAGAGAUAACCCAGAGAAGGAUGAGACCAUGGACAGAAUCAUCUGAUUUGCAAAGGAGGUUAGAUCCAGCAACAUGAAUCUUAGCAGUUUCAGUCAGAAACAAGAUAGGAGUAGGCUAUACUGAUGGCAUCUGACAAAGACAUCAGGUGCAUGAAAGUUUAUGGUAGAAAGAGGAAAAGCUAAGAAUUUCUUACCUCUAGUUCAGACAACGAAAUUUUCAUAUCAAAACCUGAAACAGAACCACUGCCAACCCAAACCUGUUCUGGGUCCAAAGGAAUAACUUUGCCCUUCUCAACUGAUAAAGAAGCAGUUAAAUGUUUCAAGAUAUAUCCUUGAUGACGCAAGCAAAAUGCCCCCUCAGAAACAGAAGCUCUAGGGUAACUGUCAUCAACCCGAAAACUGCCAUCACGCUGAAAUGCUACAGAAGAUUCUCCAGAUAAACGCUGAGAAGGUAAAUUUGACUGGGCAGAAGAGAAAUUAAAAACUUGGAUUUUAUCUUCUCCACUUUGUCGAAUGUCUUGAGAAAAGACUGAUAACCGAGAAAGCUUAAGCAUAAACUUCUGUUGCAUAUUAUCCAAAUCAAGGUUCAGAAUAAGAUCAAGCUCCAAUACAAAUUCCCGAAUAUGACCUGCGUAAGCAGACUAACUAUUGAAAGAAAUAUUGAUGGUCAAAACAUCCAACUAAAGAAGGGAUUUACUUACAUGAUUCACUUUCAACAACAAGAGCAAGAGAAAACUGAGAGACAUCAAAAUUAAAAGCUUCAGGCAGUUCCCAUUUGACUUGCUGAGAUGUAAGUAGCAUCUCUUGGGCAUGUCCACCAACAAAAUGAUCAUGUGCAGGUCGUGGCUUGCUCCUCACAGUUGAUUUCACAAUAGACAAUGCAUUUUUAAUGUGAUGUAGGUAGGAAGCAGAGCACUGGAUAAACAUUGCCAAAGCUUCUGUUUCAAGGCAAAGAAAACCGUCCUGCCCAUCAUGUGUUAUUCGUCAUAACAUGAUUGAACCAAAUAAAAUUUUCAAAGGCAUAAAUUAUGUCAAAUGUAGGGUGUCCAAAUCAUGCACUAUCCCCCAUAUUUAACUAUUCCAAAAUCAUAGAGCAAAAGAUGGUUCCCAAUAUAUUGCAUGAGCAAGAGAAAACAUAAAAGAAACAUUAAUUUUCUAUAAAAUUUGCACCUGGAUCCCCCAUGCAAUUGCCUGGGAUUUUGCCCCAACAUGAAGAGAUGACCGAAGCUUAUUUACUUUUUGUGCACCAAUCAGAAUAUUUUUCACUGAACACCUUGUCACAAAAACUUCAGCCACUUCCAUUUUCAUGAAUAUCCAAUGGCUUGAGGCUGGCACUGAGAUAUUUGAAGUAAAUCCCAAAUUUUUAAGAAAAUCAGGAGACUGUACACUUGGCUGCAGUUCACUGCUAAAAGAUGUAUCUUCCGCCAUAUUUGAUGUACUAACCUCAGAAGUAGAAAUAUCUAGCAUCUCAUUCACACUAGCUGAAGUGGAAUUCUGAGGCAUACUCAAUAAUAAAGUAAAUAUGCAAUGAGAUAGAAAUACCUCAUAUAAGCAAUUGUGUGAACAAAGAAGGAACGCUCUAAAUGCAGAGCGAUUAAACCUUUUUUUUAUGUACUCCUGGUAUCUGACGAUCACAGAUUGAAUUCCUGAUAAAUCAAUGAGUAAUUCCAAUUUCAUUUCUUCAUAUAAUAUGUCAAAACACAUUCGAGGGAGUGAAAUCCAAAUACCACAAUCAGAUAAGUUAUCCGCAGCUGAAUUUGUGCUACUAGCAGCACCAAAAACCAUCUUAGAACCCCUUGCUUUAUUCCUCAUCCUAGAACCACAGAGAAAGAGAUCCAUUGACUUGAGUUUAAUGAUGCCAUUAAUUAAAAACGUGUUAUUACACAUCAAAGGUGUCGCUAUUGAAAGCUCUUCAUCCUUGGUAGCCCCAGAAACUCUAUAGUGUCUCAACAUUUGGAAGGAUUCAUUAGCAGGUGAACCAAAGUUGUUACAAAUAUGUGAUAAAUCAGACGACAAACCAGUUAGAGCCUGGAAAAGGGAACAUUUAACUGUCAUUAAUUUGUAUAAGUUAAGAAAGCAUGUAAACGAAACAAAAGGAGUAAUAAAGUAUUUAACUUGAAUAUUAAGGAAAAGAAACAAGGAUAAUAGACAGAUGCAACUAAAAACUACUUCAAGGGCAUCUAACGAGUUGUUAAGACUUAAGAUAACUAAUGCUCCAAUAAUUACAAUUGCAGUAGUAAUUAUUUAUCUAGUAUUUUCCAUUAAAAACAGCAAAACUAUCACAAUCACAUAAGAAAUUAAUGCAUGUCUAAAAAUAAUAGGAGGGUAAAAGCCAACCAGACAACAAAGGUUGAAAAGCAUCACCUGAAAGCAAACACACAACUCAUCCAUAAAUAAUAACAGCGCAAAUCCCAUCGCCAGCCCAUAAAAAGCAGUUGAAAAAGCAAUAGAGCUUGUGCUAAACGAAUGAGCACACUGCCUGAGACAGAUACAUGAUACUUGGUCAUCAAAAAGUUUUAUACUAAGGACCGUGAUUGAUAAUACAAUUGAAAAUUGCAUAGCAUAAAAAUAACUGAAUUGAUGGUGUAAGAGAGGGAUAAGAGAAGGGAAUCAAGAUAAAUGAUUCACAAAUAUUUUAGGGAGAGUGAGGGUGUGACAGAAAGAUGGGCAGAAACAAAUUAUUGGCCAAGGAGAUGCCAUGUCAGUUAAGAAUCAUAAGGCUUUCAAGAGAUGUGUAUUGCUCGACACAAUCCAUAUAUUUUUAAAGGAAGCAUAUUAUGCUAAUUUCUCACAAAUAAAAAAUUUAGCACAAAAUUCACAAUUAAAGGAAAUGAACAAAAAAAUCAAUAGUGUUCAUACCUAGAUUCACCUCAGCAUAUACAAUGUUAUUCCAGUAAUUAAUUUUUUUAUGGGAAAUAAAAUCAAUAGAAUAAACAUCAUUGAAUCAUUUGCUUUAAAAGUUGAAUAGGCCAACAGUACCCUAUGAUAUUCAUAAAAAAAAGUUCAUGAGACCAGCAAAAUAUGAAUAAUUAUAAAGGUUGGAGAGUCAGCUAAAAAUUCACUCCGUGCAUAAUACUUUAAGUGAAAGUAACUUCAAAAUGUACAUAAUACUUUAUUAACAUCAAACAAUUAACAAAUGUAAUUGCAUGAUCAAUUAAAACCAAAUCAUAAUUACAAUCAACAAACGAAAUCAAGUAUUUUCCACCAACCAAAUAUUGAAGUUUGCUUAGGUUGAGUAACCAACAACCAAACAAACAGGCCUUCAAGUUGAAUUCGAUAUGAAAAGACAUUGGUAAAUUUAAGGAAGCAGCCAUAAAUUUUCAAUACUUAUAUAAGAUAAUGCAAGGCUAAAAUCCCUACCUGAAGGAUGAAAAUCGAAAUGUUAUGGGAUCCAAUACAAAUAUUUGGUUUUUGUGUCUGUCUACAGUGUCCACCAAGUAAGCCAGCAAACCAUUGAGCUUCAGACAGAAAUGAAGUGAAUUUGCAUCCUUAGAUGUAUACUUAUUAUUUUCCAGUUUCGGCAUAUCAAGUAUCUUAGGCUCCUGCAACCUGAGGCACUCAGGAUAUUCAUCAUCCUGUUCUGUGAAGGCAUGUAUAGGUGCCAAACCAGACUUUGAACUUGGCCAAACAACAACUUCAAUAUCAUGGAUAUCAAAUCCAAGGUGAAAAUCAUCCUCAUUAACUACAUGGUUGUUCACACCUUCAUUUGCAUUCCUUGUUCCGGUCUUCCUCGAUGAGAGUUGGAUGCAAGGACCAGCUAUAAGCACUCCUAUUUGAAUGCAUUUCCCAGGAAGCAUUAUCGUAAAGAACUUCUUUAUUUUACUAGAAUAGCACUCAUAUUUAUUUUCCCAACUAUCCUCUGGCUGGUGCACAGUAGUAUUUUGAGGAGAAUAUGGAAGAUCCCUGGCACUCUCAUUUCCUUGAGUCCAGUGUAGAGCAUGUUGUAUCUGCCUAAGAAGCAUGACAACUGAUAUCACUGAUGGAUAUUGCAAUGCUAUGUUGAACUUUCCCACUGUCAGAUUGCAUUUCCAAAGCCCAGAACCUAGCUUUUUCAAAUCUGGAUGUCUCAAAAAGCUUUUCAUCUCAAAAAGAAGCUGUGGACUUUGAGGACACUUGAUUUCACUUUCUUCAAACUGCUCGCAAUCUCUUAUCCAAUCCAAGCACAUUUUUCCUAUAAAAUUUUCUAGACAUGGGUCACACCCACCUUCAGCAUGAUUUAUGGUACUGGAUUUAUUGCUUUCUGAGAAGAGAAAGAUUUUUGCAGGCUCACCAUGCAGAAUAACUUUCAAAUUCUUAACUCUCUCAUUUUCUUCUCCAACAGAACUGAUGAAAUACUUCACUUUUACUUUUCCACAGGAAAAAGAUAAUGUCUGUUUAAAGAUGUCUUUUGUGUACAUGAGUAAAAACACUUUAAUAGAGAGACGGAAUAAAAAACCAUCUGAAUAUGAGAUCCCAAUACGUGAUUUCACUUUUUCAUUAACAGGCUCGACUGCACUCAUUGAAGAAAGGGUAAUGUAAAUUUUCCCAAGACUUAAAAUGAAGCGGAAGCGUGAAUAAGAAUUAUCAGAAACAUUUCCCAAGUGUCUGGCAAACAUUUCAUCUUGCUUUGCAGAUCUCCUCCAAAAGAGAAGGUGCUCUAAUGGAUGGAUUUUUUGCAUAACUUUCUGAACAAAGGUUUUGAAAUGAGCACUAACAGAGGGUUCUGAGUAAUUUUCAGGCUGUUCACCACUUGACAAAGCCUUAUAUCGAGCUAUUUUCCGAGCCUGUGCAAUAGCUUCUGCAGGCAGCUCUUUCUCAAUGUCAAAAAUCACCUCCCAAUAGUGCUUAGCAGAUUUCAAAUUUACCUUGUCUCUUAGCAUCUUAAUAUCAGGUCUUUCCAAUAAGUGAUUAGGGGAAUAUUGAAUCAGUGACAACAAAUACUCGUAGUGAUUCACAUAAUGCAUCCACAAACUAGUAAGGCUAACUAGCUUGUACCAUGAUAAUUUGGGAGAUGAAAUUACAUGGCCUAUUUUAAUUGCUGCUAUUCUCCAUAGAUACCGGCCAUUCCUUACCCGCUUGAAUUCUUUUGAAGGCACUUUACUAAGUUCCAUGAAAACAGGAAAAUCAACCGGAGAAAAUGAGAAACUUAAUUCUGAAGCACGAAGAUUGAACUCAACAAGUUCAAGAUCAUUUAACUUGAUGCAAGUAACCAGUGCACUGGAGGAACAAACAUGGUUAAUUUGAUUGCUUUUCUUAUAUCCUAUCUUAAAGGAACUACCGCUUACAACCAAAGAUCCCUCCUUCAGAGGUAGAAAGAGAACAUUAACAAGACCCUUGCAAAGGCAUCCAUGAACAAAAUGUAGAGAUUCUGCAUUAAGCUUCUCUAAAUCCAACAGGUAUACAAAGGAAUCGUCUAAAGUGGGAAAUUGCACUUGCAAAUUAAUACCAAGUAUCUGUAGACGGCAAUGUUGGAGAAUGAGAUUCAAAAAAGAAGACUGAAACCGAUUUCUCCCACAAGUAGUAGCCAAGAUUGCUUCCAAAAUAUCAUGCAGAGCACUACCCUGGUAAGGAAGAAAGCCUAAGUUACUUUGGCCAAGAUUAACACAUCAAGUAGUAAGAAAAGAAUCCUUAACUACAACGAGAUAACUGAUUUAAUAAUUUAUCAUCCAACUCAAACACUAUGGAGCAAAGAGAUGUUAAACUAUUAGUUUAAAAGUAAUUAUGCGAUGAGCAACAAGUUUCACAGUGUAAAAUUGAAAUAAGGGUUUUCGCUAACAAGUGCCCUUAGGGCACUCAUUAAGGUUAGUUAAUAUACUAUCUAUAGUAAUUAUAUUAUAUUAAAUGCAGUAGUUGACAUCUUUAUUCUUGUUAAUGCAUGGCUGAAAAUGUUAUGAUAUAUAGUAACCUAGAAGAGUAACCUUAGAACACCAGUCAGCAAAAUCCUGGAACUAAAGGCAUCUCUAUCACGAUUCAAGGAGUUAAUUUUAACAUAAACUCAGUACUAAAAAAAGAAUGAAUAAUGCUAUUUACUCCGCCACUAUUGUCCCAACUAUAACAGUUAACACCCCCGGAUGGAACAUACAGUUAGGUAUUACCAAUUCCGUUGAUGAGUUUAGCCAUUCAUAGCAAAAACAGCAGAGCUUUACUGCUUCUUAGUGUCACUAAGGUGCAACUUAGAAAGAUGAUUUCCUACUAGACAAUAAAAAUUUAAACAAAAUAAUGCCAAAACUGGGGGGAGGGGGAACCUCGGGAUCUAUCAGGGAUAAAUCCUUCUUCAAACUCUCCAACGCUGCAUUACUCGAAUUUCGCACUUUUGCAGUACCUUCCUCUUCCAUUUCCCUUCAAAAAAAACACGACAAUUAAUUUUUUUUUCAAAUUAACAAACAAAAGGUGCAAAGUUGUGACGUUGCUUACUCAAGCGACAUAGUAACCUUGACUCCACGAGCUUCGAAAACGAAGGCAGAAUCUGACCAAUUUGAGAAUCGAACAACGAACUCCUCGAUAACGAAUUCUUUGAAAAAGAACCGCGAAGACGAUGAACCAUCUAUAAUCAGGCGGUUGAGAGUAGACGUAUCAAGGCGUAUGUUUUUGGCGACGGCGGUGGAAUUUAUGAACCCUAACUGGAGGUCUAGCUCGAGAUCUUGUUCCAGCCAUGGGCGAAGCAGAGAUGAUAGUAUCCGUUUAAUGAAGUUAUUGAAGAACAUUUCCUUGAGGAUUUCGGUUACUUGAAGCGGGUUAAGUUGAUCAAUGUUUCAUCUAUUGGACAAAUAAGAAGAUUUUCGCGAGAAACAAACGGAAAAUUCAUUUUACGAUGAGAGGAGAGAGCAAGAAAGUUCGAUUAUAUCACCAGAGUGAACAAACAUGCGCACUCAGCAUUUUUCUCCAUCUGCAAAUAAAAAUUUAGGCGUUAUCCUUUUCUUGUGUUUUGACGUUUUCUAACGAGAAGGUGAGCAAAUCCGGGCAAAUUACUAAAAAAAAGCUCUUUUUUUUCAAAAUUUACCGAAAUAGGCCCUUUAUGUAAUUAUUGACCGGAAUGGUCCGUUUUCUGUGAAAUCGCGUCUACGUCAGCGCGAUUUGCUGACGUGGACACAAAUCGCGUCCCUUAAGACGCGAUUUGCUGACAUGGCAUGAACAGUUUAUGUUUUUAGUUGAAUUUAAUUUAGUAGGAAAUAUGUUUGUUUUUUAUUAGAAUUACUAUUUGCUAUACUAAUAGUGUAUUUUUUAUUCUAAAAGUAACCUUAAUAAAUUGUUUUGUGUAUUUUUUUUCUUUAAAUAUUUUUUUAAUAUUUUACUUUUACCCUGUAACACACUUAUUAACCUUAUGUUUUUACUUGUAGAGUUUAAAAAUUGCAUUCAAGUACACAAAUAUUUUUCCUUUUUAUUAUGUUUUAAAAGCUUUGUUUCCUAAAAAAACUUGUAAUUUUUACAUAGUUUUAAAUAAAAUAUUUAUUUCGAUUUAUCAAUUUAUGGUAGUAUUAUACAUAACUAAUUUAUAUCAUAUGUAAUAUUAUACCUCUAGCAAUUAAUUAAAGAAUAUUUAUAAACAAUAUUAUGAUAUAAUAUUAUGUAUAUAAUCCCUUAAUAAAGCAUUUAUAAUGUUAUAUACAUGGAUGAAAACAAUUAUGUAAUAAGUUCAUUAAAACUUGAUAUGAAAAUUAUAUAUGACUCUAUUGAAAUGGUGAAGAUGUGGAAUGAAUGUAAUGAAAUUUUGGAUUCAAAUCUCAUCAUAUAAAUUCUAGAUUUUAUAUGAAAAGGAUGAAAGCAUCCUUAAAAUAUUAUUUAUUGUUUUGUUAAAAUGAUAGUCUUUUAGAAUAUAAUAGAAAGUAACAAGAACCGUAAGGGUGGCCUAGCUCAAGGUAAUGGAGGCGAUAGGGUUACCAAAAGGAUGGGCGUCUUAAUGAUGGUGGCAUGGACAUUGAGACAUCAAAAGCAAUCCCAAUAUCUUUUAAGGACAAACUUUUAAACUGGAUAAGAAAUCGAAAGGAGGAAAAGAUUCACUCUUCGAGUAUGAUAUUGUGUUGAAGGAAGGUGACAUGGUUAAAGAGAAUAUUAAGGGCUUGCCUACUAUCAAGUUCUCCAAGCAAGUCCAUGAGUUGGUGGAUCAAAGUAUGAUGUGAACAGUGGUAAUCAAACUUUUGUGGAGAAAAAUUGGGUUUAGUGUACUAUGGAAUAAGAUUAGCUCUUUGUGGAAACCUUAAAGUUCUUUUCAAUUAAUGGGCUUUAGAGAAUGAUUACUUCGUAGUCAAAUUCAAGUUUGCAAUCAUUAAGCCAAAGCUUUAUCAAAAGGACCAUGGUUCAUUUUUGGACAUUAUCUAACUGUUCGAUCUUAGAGUUCAUCCUUUUCAACUUCACAACCAUACCCAUUGAAUGUUGUUGCAUGGAUUAGGUAGCCCAAUUUAUCAGUCUUUUUAUACAAAAAAUCAUCCUUAGUGAAAUCAGGGAGAUGGUUGGAAGUGUGAUUAAAAUAUAUUAAAUACUGACGAUAGGAUUAGGGGGUCGCUUUGCUCAUAUGGUAGUGUGUGUUAACUUGAACAAAUCUGUUAUAUCCAAAAUUGGGACUAAAGAAAAAGUCUAACAUAUUGAAUAUGAAUCCCUUCAUAGUAUUUGUUUCUAGUGUGUGCGUUACAGUCAUGUCAAAGAGAUAUAUUGUAACACCCCUAACCUAUAUCUGUCGUCAGACUAGGGUUACAGAGUAUUACUGGAGUUUACGGGUCUAUUUGUUUAGGGUGAAAAUGUUUUCUGGAAAACAUUUUCCUUAUUUUACGCUGUUUGCUUCCUGGAAAAUGAAUUCCUAUAGGAAAACAUUCUCCAAAACACGGGCAAAUCAUUUCACAAUUUCUGGAAAACAUCUUACCGAUUUCUAAGCCGUAAGACAUUUUCCAUUCUCUUCUCUUCACUCUUAUCGCAGUGGUUCUCCCUUCCUCUCUAUCCAUCAACCUCCGCCUCUCUUCCUCAUCUCUAUUCGUUGGCCUCACCUCAUCAUCCCUGCCUCGUCAUCUCUGUUGGUCGACCAUCAUCCUUACCAAGUUUGUAUUUUGAAGAAACCCUAAAAAAUCAGCAGCUACAGUCCUAUUAAUUUAAUCUCUCAUCGUUGAGAAAAGAAGACCCAGAAGGUUUCUUUUCUUUUCUCAUUGUCGGUUCCUUCAAAAUCCCUGGCAAAGUUUAUCUCAACUCGGUACUGAUUUUUACUCCCUUUGUUUUUAUAUCACCUUUUAUUAUAUAGUAAUUAUCGAUUUUGGAAGUUCCUGGUUUGAUUUUUUGGUUGGGGAGGAAAAAGGAAUUUCAGGGAAAAUCAUUUGAAUUUCUUUUUCUUUUGUUUUGAUUCAAAAUAGGGAUUUUUUAAAGCAUGAAUCUAUGUUUGAAUGAAAAAAUUUCUAUUCUUUUGGAUACAGAGUAUAUAAAUUUUAUGAUAAUUUUACUUAUUUUAUUUUCAUUCUCGCUUGAUCUCACUGCUUAUGCCUUAUAUUUUUGUUUUAUUACAAAUUAGAUGUUUUUCUUUACCUUUACCUCUUAUUAGAUAGAAAUUAUUGAUUUCGGAAGUUUCUGGAUUCGAUUUUUCGGUCACAGAAUGAAGGAAUUUUCAUGGGAAAUAGUUGACUUUUUUCCCUUCGUUUUGUUUUUAUUAAAAAACGGAUUAUUCUUUGAGCAUGAUACUAUGUUUGAACAAGUAAAGUUCCAUUUUUUUGGGCGUCACCUUUGCCUUAAACAUGUAAUGAACAUUUCAUGGGAUUGAAAUGGCAUGUUCUGCCUGUUCUUUUUUCCAUGCUUAUGGUAAGUUAUCUAGGAAGUGGUUUUGUAAGUUUAUCAGUCAGAUACUGCAAGUGUAAAAGUCCCAGAACUUGAUUUGGAGCUAGCUAGUGGCACACUCGGUGGGGUUGUUACAACGGUUGAAGGUUUGAUUACCAAAAUUAGUGAAAGUAGGACUUUAUUACUCAUUUAGUUUUUCCAUGUGAAAAUCUGUUUGAUUGUUGAUUCUAUUAUUUAUAGUUCUUUUUCCUUCAUUGUUUGCUAAGUUUGAACACUUCACCCUCAAAUGGUUCUCUUCACAACCUCGUUUAGGUGUUCCAAAAGAGAGAAUUUCAUUUGCUUGAUGAUUCUGUUGUUUAUAGUCCACAUCCACCUUUAUUUACUAAGUUUGAGCCUUUCACAUUGUAAUGGCUCUAUCUUACAAGUGAUGCUUUAUAUUUCUAGAGCAGAGUGAGGCUAGUUUGCUACUAUGUACAGCGUAGACCUCUGCAUCUUCAUUUGGCUAAAACUUUGCUUCAUUCCUAGGUUAUUCAACCAAGUUCCCUCUAAUUGCUUCCACAUUUUUUAUAUUUGAUGUUCUUGGGCAACUAAAUUAGGGAAUAUUUUGAAAGUUACUGCAGAUGAGAUGGAUGGGAAUAUUAUGCGGUGUAAGGGCAGCAUACAUUACAUACAUACAUACAUACAUACAUACAUACAUGCAUACAUACAUACAUACAUACAUACAUUCACAUAUAUGUUUUUCAAUUUUUUAUUACAGUAAUAAUAUGAGACAUGUAUAUGUAUGUAUAUACUGUUGGGAGUUGAGACAUAUGUUCCAAAUAUAAUAGACAUGAUAAUUGUAGUAAGGAAAGUGAAUUUGAAGGCAAUUAUUCGUAUCCUUGUGCCAUGGUAAAAAAUGCUAGGAACACAAGAGCAACGAUUAGGGAAUAAUUCAAAUGGGAAUGCUUUCUUACCGACUACUAUGAUCUAUUAGUAUCCUCCAUUUGAGAUCACAAUGAAUUCAGCCAGUUAAGUAGUCUUGGUUAUCGUAAGUUAUAAUCUCAGUGAGAUUGAUAUUUAAUUUAUUGAUAUAUAUUAUAUAUCUUUUUAGUCUGUUGCUCAGCUGGAGGUAUAGUAAAAUAAAUCGUAGUGUUCUUUUGCUCGAGUUUGGUUAUUUUGCUGAAAUUUAUUUGUUGGGCUAACUUUUUUGAACUAUGAUUCUAUCUUAAGUCAUAAUGUGUUAAUGAUAUGGUUGUAAAAGGUUUUUCCACACAUAAACCCUGAUUUCUAACCUUAUCAAUCUUUGAUUCAUGAUUCUGAUUCUGAUUCUGAUUCUGGUUCUGAUUCUGAUAUGUUUGUUUUAUUAAAUUUGUGCUGCAGAGAUGGUCAAAUAGCCUUAGUAGCAAUUUUUGUUUUGAUGCAUGAGAGGUGAUUUACAUAAAGGAGUUAUACGGUUUAGAAACUUAUUUAAAUAAAAGGUAAAUUGAAUUGGUGGUUCAAUCAUGAUUUUACAUUCAUAUGGGUUUUACUGGCAAGUGCCUUAAGUAAACUAUUACAGUGGAUCAUUUAUUUUAAAUGUAGUAGUUGAUUAUUAAUGAAAUGAAUUCCGAUGCAUUGGAGAAAAUAUUACGUAAUAUGAUAACAUUUUUUUUUGAAAGUUAAUAUGAUAACAUUGAAGUGUGUCCUUUGGGGACCUUUUUACUUGUUCCCUAUUUAUAUUCAAGGCAUUUUAUGUUAUAUUACUUUGUCUUUAAUUAUUUACUGAGUGUGAGGGUAAAUAUCUAAUUGAUCUUAGUUCUCUGUAGCUUUUGAUUAUUGAGUUAGUGAAGUUGUUGUGCAAUUCAGAGCAUUGGGUAUUGCUUAGAAUUUCUAGUUGAUUGUAUACAUGUGCCACUUGCUAGCUGUUAUAGAUGAAUAUAACAUAAAAAAUUGAAAAACUGACUAUUCAAUGUUUUGAAAAGAAUCUAACCAUGCCUCAUGAAUAUCCAUAAGCUCCAGUGACGUUGCAUAGGGGUUACUAUUAUUGAUGAAUAUUUAUCUGAAAUGUUUUGUAGGAUGUUUAUCUAUUAGGAAAAUAUAUUUGUUGAUGAAUUUUCAGACUAUGAAAUCUGAAGAAAGAAAGACCUUAUUUAAUUUUUAUGGAGGGACCAAAAUUGAGUUAUAAAAUUUUGCAAACAUUAUAAUAUAAUUUUAUUAUUAUACUACUUUUAUAGCUUUCAAAUUUUUAUAAAUUAAAGAAUAAUAAUUUUUUUCUAUUUGUGAGGGAGGCAAAAAUACUUGACAGCCUCUGUCGCCACCUCUGUUUUUAUGCAUUUAACUUUUUAAUAAAAAAAUAUACUUUAUAAUCAGUUCCAUUGGGUUCCAUUUUGAUAGCUAAGUAUAUAUGCCUAAGAAUAUGCAAUCUUUAAUUAAAAAUUAUUUUGAUUGCAUGAUACCAGAAAAUAAUUAAAAUAAUAUAUUUAAAAACUAAUACUGAUAUGAUUAAUAUUUUAACGAACCAACCAUUGAAUUCAUCAAUCUAAAAUAUUGUAUAUAUUAAUAUUUAUUGAAGUGUUGGUACAAAGAAAGUAGCUUAAUUUCUCAAAAAAUUAUUAAUGCAAUUAUAAUUAGCCUGAUAUGUAUGUAUGCACUUUAGUCAUGGUAACUUUUAGUCAUAUAUGUAAUCUUAUGAAAAUCUUGCAUCUUUUUUGUAGUGAUCAAAUAUUUGUGUGGCAUUAUUUUGUGUAGAUAGAUCGUAAUCAAGAUCAAAAUGCAAUUGUCGGAGUCGUGGCUUCAGUUUUAGCUUUUGGAGCUCUUUGGAUUAAAAAAUUAAAAAUAGGAAGGAAAUUUCUUCUCAACCUAGUGUGAAUCGAGAUUAUGAAAGAUAAAAUUAUAUUAAUAGUAUUUUAUAUGGUGGUGACCAGCAUUGUAUUGAUGUGAUAAGGAUAAGACCGAUCACCUUUUUUAAUUUGUGUAAUAUUCUUAGUAGGAAUAAUUUGUUACAAUCAACUAAAUCUGUGAAUAUUAGGGAGCAAGUAGUUAUAUUUUUACAUAUAAUUGGUCAUGGUGUAAGGUUUCGAGUGAUUGGAUCUAGAUAUUAUAGAUCAACUGAGACAAUUCACCGUUACUUUAAGGUUGUAUUGAGAGCUAUUUUGAAAUUGUAUAAACUAGUUAUUAAAUUACCUGAUGAGUCAACUCCUAGUGAAAUCAGAAACAAUCCAAGUUUUUAUCCUUAUUUUAAAAAUUGUAUUGGAGCAUUAAAUGGAACUCAUGUUCGUGCAUUCGUUCCACUUAACAUUCAAGGAAGAUUUCGUAGCCGUAAAGGGGGGACGACACAAAAUAUAUUGGCUGCCAUUACAUUUGAUUUGAAAUUUUCCUAUGUUCUAGCUGGUUGGGAAGGUAGUGCACAUGAUUCUCGUAUUUUAAGUGAUGCACUUUCAUGCCUAGGGGGAUUAAGAAUUCCGGAAGGUAAUAAUUAUCAUUAAAUACCAAAUAGUUCUAGUAAGCUCAUAAUUUAUUAGUAUUAAUUAUGUUUUGUAAAAUUGUAGGUAAAUGUUAUAUUGCUGAUGCUGGAUAUGGCAUACGAAAUAGAUAUAUUACCCCAUAUCGUGGUGUCCGAUAUCAUUUAAAAGAGUUUAGUGCUCAGGGGCCUGAAAAUGUAAAGGAACUCUUUAAUCUUCGUCAUUCAUCAUUACGAAUCACUAUUGAAUGUGUUUUUGGGAUUUUGAAGAAACGGUUUCGUGUAUUAGAUGCUGAACCAUUUUGGAAUUUUCAAACUCAAGUAGACAUAGUUUUGGCUUGUUGUAUCAUUCAUAAUCAUAUAAUGAGAGUUGAUCCUAGUGAUUUACUUAAUCAAGGAUUAUACGAGGAGGAGUCUGAUUUGAUAAUACCAACUCUUACGGAGCGAGAAGAAAGAGAAGAAGCAAGAGAAUGGUCUGCUAAGAGAGACGAAAUUGCACAAACUAUGUGGACUAAUUAUAUGGUUAGAAAUAUUAGGUAGGUUUAAGGCUUAGGAUUAUUGUUUCUAUGUUAUGUAUGUUUUAGUAUUAAAAUUGUUUUUUUUUGUUAAUGUUGGUUGGAUAAUGAUAUUGAAAUUUUAGUUUGUUGGAUUUUGAAAUUAUUAUGUCUUGAAUUUGUUAGAUAUUGAUUAUGUUUUAAGCUUGUUAGAUAUUGAAUUUAUUAUGUUUUAAGCUUGUUGGAUAUUGAAAUGAUUGACAAUGACAAUUAUUAAUGUAGAAUGGUAAGGGCAACAAAGAAGGGACCUUCAAGUAAUUCAGGUGGACAAAACUGAUGGAACAUCUUUUUCUUGAAAUUCUAGCAGAGGAGGCCCAGAGAGGAAAUAAGCCUUCUAAUACUUUCAAAGCAGUUUCUAUUAAUCGAGUUACCGAAGCUAUUUCUGAAAGAUUUCAAGUCCAAUGCAAUGUGAAGCAUGUGGAAAAUCAUUUGAGGACUGUAAAAACCAAGUGGCAGAUUAUAUGCACAAUUCGGGGUGAAAAUGGUUUUGGAUGGGAUGAUAACAUGAAAAUGAUCACAUGUGAUAGAGCGACAUAUGAUGUAGCAGUGAUGGUAAUAUAUGCAUAUAUAUUUUAAGUAUAUUUCAAUUGUUUUUUACUUGUUAUUCUAAUUGUGUAUAAUAUCCAACAGGCACACAAGAAGUAUGAACCAUUUUUGAAUAAAAGCAUUGAUCAUUAUGAUGAAAUGACUUUUGUUGUUGGAAAAGAUAUGGCAAUAGGGAGUUUUGCCAAAACAUUUUCUGACAAUGAAGAGACUGAAGAGGUAAGAACAAAAGUAUCUUCAUCUGGCACAUCCAAAUGUAAAAGAAAAAAUGUUCAAUAAAGUGUCGUUGAUGACAAAAUUAAAUUUGUGGGUGAACAACUUGGCAAAAUUGCUAAUGCUUUGGAACAAUUUACUGCGGAUAAGACACCACAUCUUUACGAAGAAGUGAUGCCGAUGGAGGAAGAAGGAUUUGAUGAUGACUUCCUGUGUUUUGUGUUUGAUUAUCUAGAUAGUCAUGAAUCUGAGGCCAAAUCUUUUUUAGUUAAAAGUAAGAAGCAUAAAAAAAAAUUGGCUUCGAAAAUUUUCUCAAGGUUGAAAAUAUUGAUACUUUUAAUAUGGUGUAAUAUUAGUUAUGCACUUGGACAAUCUUGUUGUUAUUUUGUGGUGUACUACUAAUUAUGCAUUUAGAUAAUAUUGUUAAUUUCUAGUAUUAAUUGUGGUUUAAAAGCUAAUUUAUAAUUAUUCAAUCCUUUUUUUUAUUUUUAUAACACAAUUACAAAUAAUUUAUUUGACUUUGGUUGUUUUCAAUUUAUGACGGUUAAUGUUCUAGCUUAAUAAUUGAGUAUUAUUAUAUAUUUAAUUUGAUUUAUUUAUUUAUAAAUAAAUCAUUACAAUAAAUGUAAAAACAAUUUAAAAUAUAAAUUUAUUAAUAUGUAUAUAAAUUUAUUAAUAUAUGUAAAAACAAUUUUUUCAAAAACUAUUUUCAGGAAAUCUGCCAAACAACAAAAAAUAUUUUACACAGAUUCAUCCAAACACCAGAAAAGUAAAUCAUUUUCCAAAAAUCAUUUUCUGAAAAACAUUUUACUGGCAAACAAACAAAGCCUACAAUUCAAACGAGCACAUAUUUAUAAACAUUUCAUAUCAUAUCAAGAAAAAUAUUAAAACCAAUUCAAAACAUACACAUUGUCCCUUAUACGAGCCCUAAAGGCCCUAAAUACACGUUAGAAACAAUUCGGGACUAAAUCGGAAACUCAAAGGAUUUAUUAGAAAACAAGAAAAAUUUUCAAAACUGCAGGGGUCACAUGGCCGUGUGGCCAGGCCGUGUGGGCAUUCGAAGUAGGGACACACGACCAAGUCCCAGCCCAUUUCCGUGCCCGUGUAACUCACUAACUUGGGUCAUAUGGCCAAGCCACACGCCCAUGUGCCAGGCUAUAUACCUUUCGAAAUAACCUCACAUGCCUGUGUGACAGGCCGUGUGCUAGGUCGUGUAACAGUUUGACUUGUAACCCUUUAAAAGUGACAAGGGACACAUGGCAGAGACACACGCCCGUGUCUCUGCCCGUUUGGAUGAAAAUAGACCAUUUUGCAAGCCAUUUUUCUCACCCAACGCAUAUACCUACAACCAAAAUUGCACAUAUACACAAGCCAUAACAAGACAUCAAAAUCAUGCAUAAACAAGUCAUAUACAUAUGGUAUAAUAUCAUACAAUCAAUAUGCCCUUAGGCACCUCAAAUGAUAAUAUGUAAACAUAUCUAACUAUGUACUCUAUUUGGCCAAAAUGAUCAACUAACUUCCAAUUAGAUUUGCCUUAAUGCAUACCAUAAAAUCUACUUACUAAAACAUACUAAAUGGUACUAAACAUGCAAUUCAACUACUAAGUACCAAUACACAACAUUUCCAACAAGUUACAAACCGUAUAUAAUAUGCAUAUUCAACCCAUAAUUUCAUCUUCCACAAUUCAAGCAUAUCAAGCCAAACAUCAUCCAUAUAAGGCUAAUAUUUACAUGCCAAAACUAAAUUCAUUUGAACACCAAAAUACCAUAACUCAAGCCAAACUAAAUGACCAUUUCAACAUUCAAAACACAUGGCCAACAUUAGCCAAAAUACCUAUACAUGUCUAUAACCAAAAUUAAACUUCCAAAAGUACCGAUAGAGCCGGUGGAUAGUGUGAUAUAGCUCCAACAAGUUUCCAACCCGUACGAGCUUCUGAUUCACUAUAAAACACGAAAAAUAACAUAGAGUAAGCAUAAAAGCUUAAUAAGUUCAUAUAACAUAAAACAUAACUUACCAUUUCAAUACAUAAUAGGUAAGAUAACAUAGCAUAAUCCAACUACACUUGGCCAAAGCCUAAACAUGUACACUAAACAUGUUAGCCAUUUGAUCAUAUAACAUAGGCUAUGCAAUCAAGACAUAUAAUUAUAUCUCAUAGACAUGUAUCAUCCAUUUCAAUUCUCAAUAUGCCAUGUAGUACUAAUUCAAUGUAAUUAACAUAUGUCCCUGUAUUAGUUCAUAUCAAACUCUCACCAUGCUGUAUUAGAGUAGUGCCCAUUGAACCAUUUAGAAUACCGUGGGAUACCCGAGAUAACUCACACAUAGUGUGCUAAAUCAUAUAACUAUAAUCCGUCAAAUCCUGUACAUGUAUGCUCACACGAGCUGUGAAUUAGAAUGGUCACACGAGCUGUGAAAAUAGGUCUGCUCACACGAGCUAUGGGUGGAAUGUAGCUACACGAUCCUGAACACACGAGUUGUGGAGUAUCCGCAACACAUUCCAAACCUCAGCCAUCAGUAAGACAUUCAGAACCAACACCCGAAUCAUGUAAACCCUAAUGACAUGUCAUUUGUAUCCUACGAAUUCCUAAGGUUCAAACAGGACUCGGUAAUUUUCGUACUUCAUUGGAUAUGCAACCGUGUAUACAUGUAGCAAAUUUAGAAUUCAUGCAUAUUUCAAAAUAAAACAUAUAAUCACAAUUUAAUCACACGAACUUACCUCGACGAGUAUACGUAGAUACGAAGACGACUAGUUCGAGACUUUAUCUUUACCCCGAUCUAAAGCCGUACGAGGUCUGUCUUGAUCUAUACGGAUAAAUUUAGCUCAAUUCAAUAUGAAUUUUAUUCAAUUUAACCCAAAAUAAUAUUUUGGAAAAUUAUCAUUUUCCCCUAUACUUUUAAUUUCUUUACAAUUUAGUCCCUAUAUCAUAAAAGUGGAAAUUUAUGCAAUUUCACCACAACCCACUAUAUCUAAAGAUCUAUUAGGUCCCUAGCAAACCUUAUAUUUCAUUUAAUUCACAAUUUCACCAUGUGAAAUUUUUUAUUUUUCAAUUUAAUCCUUAUUUGACAAUUUCACUAAAAAUCACUUAACAAAAGUUGUUUAUCUAACAACAACUAUCCAUUUUUUUAUCAUCAAACAUCAAAAACAACCUCUAUUAAUUCAUGGAAAAACUCUAAUCUUUUAACAGUUUUACAAAUUAGUCCUCGAGCUAGCUAUAUUAAGUUACAACGAUCCCGAAAACAUAGAAAUUAUUAAAAACGAUACAAAAAUGCAUACGUAAUCAAGCAAACAAGGUGGCCAAACCCUAGCUCAAGAAUG